ACCGAAUAUCAAAUGAAAAAAUGGAAAGCAUAAGAGAUAAAAGAAUCUAAUUUUAUUGACCUUUUGACGACGAAGAGAGAUCCUUCAACAUCCUUACGACUCCAUUGGCUGAGAUCGAUGUUGAACUCGUAGAAGGUGACAUGAGCGGCCGUGAUGAGGAUCUCCUCAAUGAAUGGAUCGAUUCGCUGAAGAACUGUCAGGCUUAGGAGUUUUGUGCUCUGCUGGUCCAGAUUAGGCAUCAAUUUUCCGUUCUGCGACAUAUUUCAUAGUCCUUUUGGGCUUCUGCCCCGAGCACAAGCCCCAUGGUUUUUCUGUGAGCUCUCUCUCUUUUGUAAAUAAAGUGUUUGAUGAGAUAGCCGAGAGAGAGUGAAGAGUUGAACAGCUAAACAAGGUGAGGUGAACAGUUUCGGACUGAGACUCGAGAUUGAUCUUGCUUUAACGUCUUUUAAACAUUUGGGAAAUAGCAUUUAUUUCUUUCAAUUUCUCUACUGUUUUUUUCCUUUAUGUCAUUUAGACCCCAAAAUUAGAUUUAUUAUAAUCAUAUUGUACCCAUACACUAUUAACCCCUUUUAUUUUUUAUAUUGUCAAUAUUAAUGUAUUAGAAUAAUGUUAGAAAUCUCAAUUAUUAUCUCAAUGUUUCAAUCAUAACUAAUGUGAUAACUCAUCGGUAACUGCAACAUUAACUUAAUUAUUAAUGUAACACAAUAAAAGUUUCGUACAGAUUUUGAUAUUGAGAGUAACACAAUAAAAGUUUCGUACAAAUUUCGCAAACGAAAAGCACAUAAUAUACUUAACUAGGUGGAAAAAUUAAAGUGUAUAUAUUACAAACUGCUAACAAUAUACAAUAGUAAAAAUCACUCUUAUGAACUCACAAAUACUAGGCACCAAUAAGAGUAUGAUACAGCCAUUCUAAAUGAAAGAGAAUACAACUGUUUUACAACUAUGUCACAUCAGGAGAUAUGUUAGCAUGAUUAAUCCAGAUACCUUCGAACCCAAUUAACGAACUCGAGUCAGAAACCAGGGGCCCCCAACUAAACCUUACAAUCUUGAAGGAAGAAUGAGACUUGUGGUCCAGAUAGGUGACUUACUAGAUCUCCUGCCAUGAGAAUAUCUAUUGCUUUGGACCUCCAUUGAAAUUUCUUUUUCCCUUUUUCUUGUUUUGACUUGGAACUUUCCAGGAUCAUCUAUUUGAAGAAGCUAUACCAAACAGACUCUUAGACUGAAUAACUCGAUCUUAAGUUUGUAAAAUUGGGCACAGAAUCUCCACUAACAACCCCGCUUCGGUGAGAAAGCCCAAGCGUGAUACUUUGUAUAACCUUAUUCUGGAUGUUUGAUUGCAGGAACUGGCCGAUCAUACCGACGAGGUGAGUGUGCAACAUGAGGUGCUUGACGGGAUGUUUACUUUCUAUGAUUCAACUAAAGCUAGCCUCAACAUAUAUCAGGUGCCUGCUUGUUUUUACCUUCUAGAUACUAAUGUUGUUUAGACGUGUAAUCUCUCUCUCCAUUGAACGCUAGACGGCUCGUCUCAAGCCUUCUACGUACUUCAGAGUCCUUCAUUAGCUUUUUAUGUAUAAAGUUUUGAUCUUUUUCCUUCAUUUGCUUGAAGCUCAUUACUGCAGAUUUGUUUUACAGGUUGGUAGUGUAACAUUCGACUUGCUAGAUACUUCUAGAAACUCUACAUGCACACUCGCACUGAGCUAGUGGUUACUAAAACCGUUACAACGAUAUUGCCAGCUCAGCAUAACCAACUUAUAACUAACACACUCAGCUGCAGGGGAAACCAUCAAGCUUACUGUGCAUCCUCUGUAAUCAAGCUUCUUUAAGCAUGCUCUGCAGAUCAUACGUCUGAAUUAUCGAAACAAGAUGAAUUAUUUUUUGUUUAUUUCAGCAGGCGAUCUAUGAGCGGAAUUUCUUGCAACAAAAGAUGUGUGUCCACCGGCUUGUAUUCAAUUCGCGAUGGAAUAAAACCAUCAUGCGCCAAGGUACCAAUGAUGUUUCUUCCAGCUUAUGAGAACUUCAAAUCAACUUAGGUCAUAUUUACACAAGGGCGCACAUGAUAUUAAUCUAAUGGCAAUUAUAUCAUCUAAAAUCCAAAACGAAGAGUCUCCCAUUUUCUUGUUCUCUACUCUGUUCAUAUUAUCAUAAAUUGACGAUUGCAAGGCAGCCGCAGAAAGGGAAUCGGCUUUUGGAACGGGCGGCAUUUUUUUCAUAUGAAACAUAAAACAAUUUAAUAUCAAUUUUCUUCAGGAGACUGAGCAGAUUGUCUCGCAAGUGGCGCAUCGGUAUUGUAACGUCUGCUGGGUCUUACAUUAUCCACAAAAAUAUAAGCAUGGUAAAUUAGAGAAAAAUGAUGCAAUUUUACCUUCCCAUUCAUGUCUGCCAAGGCUUUUUGGGCUUCCUCUUCUGUACUGAAAGUCACAUACCCGUAACCUUUUGAUCUAUUCUUACCUUUAUCCAUUAUUAUUGUAGCUGCAAAAAGAAAAGAAUCGGAUAUUACAAAAUAGUGAAGAGGGAAGAGGGGUUGAGACUUAAAACAGAAAUAGACCAAACCCUCAGUGACGUGGCCAAAUUGUGAAAAAGCAUCAGCUAACAUUUCUUUAGUGGUUGAGAAAGAUACGCCUGCAAAGGAUGCCCAGUUAAUUUUAUCAUAAUUAGAUGGUAAGAUUGCAAAUUCUGUAGCCAAAGGUAGUACGGAACUGAAUGAAGGAAAUCAAAUAUGAAUAUGUUUUCAAUCUCAAAAUAUUAAGAGUAGCAUAAGUAACUUGUGAAACAGUUAUAAGUUCAAGGGAAUUAGAUGAUGGUAUGGUUGAAUUUAUAAAUAUUUGAUAUUUAACAAGUUAGUGUGUACAAUGCAAUUGGUACAAAUUAUUGUUCCUUUAACAUGAUGCAUCACAUAAUAUUUUGUUUGCAAAAUAAAGAAGAAAGAUGACAUAAUAGAAACACUCAGAGAGAGAGAAUACCUUUGACGAAAAGCUUAGAAGUGAAUCCUCUGUAAAAUACGAGUUGAGCUGCUGAAUUUUCGAGUUUGAAUGAGAGACUGCGGCAAUUCUGAAAAUGUUUUUUUCUCAUUAGCGCCGCCAUUUUUGUAAUAGAGGGUAAAGAAAUAAGUAACAGAGUAAGAGGUGAGCAGAAGCGGCCCAAUUUAGUUAUAUGCCAUGCAUGCGAUCAAAAUUGAAUGGUUAAAUGGCAGCCACUAUGUUACAUCUUGUGUAAGUAACAAACCGCCUACAUGGAUCGUUGGAUUUGGGAAUAUGAAAUCCAAUGGAUAAUAUUGAAUUUAACGAAAAAUAGAUUACAGGUUGCAUUAGUCCAAGAUUAUUUCAAACAAACCAGCUGAUGAAACAGCCGCUAAUCAAAUUUAAAAGGAAAAAAAAAUCAAAUUAUAGGUUAUAGAUCUUAUUUCCAUCUUAAAUCUCUGUCUUUCAUGGUGACUCAAUGUGUAUACUAAUUUAUAAUUUGGAUCUAUAUUAGAGCUAAUGCUUCCCUAAAUAACUAAGAAAAUUUUCUUUUCAUUGAUUAAAUAUUUAUUUCCAAUAUCUUGUAUAUGUAGGAUUUGAAAAGAGGGAAAAUAGUAGGGAUGAUAAUGAGAGAAAAUAGAGAUGUCGAUUCUCAAAUCUAAUAUUAAUGCUAUACUUAUAUUCCUAUACUAAAUAAAUUAUCCAAGGUUCGUGGUUAACGAUACGUUGCAAAAUUUUAAUUUCUAUUUAAAGCUCUGUCUAAUAUGGCUUUUCAUAAAACUUAGAGAAAAGUAGAGUUUUUAUAAAAAAAAUAUUUAAUUAGAAUUGUCGAUGAUAAAUUUUAAAAAGUACUUUAAUAAAUAAGCUUUUAAAGUUAUAUAUAUUAUGAAAGAAAUGAAAUAAGAUUAUAUAAUAAAUUAAAAGUAUCUUAGAUAAUUGAACUUAAAAAAAAAAAACUUGCUAAGAGGUUUAAAAACUUGCUGUUGCUUCUAGUGCUGGGAUCGUAUUUAAUUGUGCUUUUCAGCUUUCUUGUCAUCACAACUAGGGUAUGACUCUUUCUCCAUAUCAAGCUUGAAGUUCUAAAGUUCAGUUUUAUCUUGUAUUCGGUGUUUCAUAAUUUUGUUGCAAACAGAUUAGAAUAGAAACUUCAAAAGUUCCAAGUGACUAACAAUGUUUUCCAACAGGGUCUUGAUGAUCUAAUCAGUUUGUUUCGAAGACCCCCAUCCCGUAAGGUAAAAACAGCUUGAUGCAGAAGCACAAUGCUGCACCAGUCCUGUGUAACUAUUUCAGAGAAGAUUUUCUCUCGUAACGUAGGUGGAAGUCUCCCAGGAGAAGUUGGCAAAUGACAACUACGAAUGUGUUAUGGUUUGGUUCAGUGACACGAAGGAUAGUUUUCAACAAUUGAUCCUAGGAAGAUGUCCAUAGCUUGUUGUGCCAAAAACAGAAAUUCUAAGAUGCGAAAAAAUUUUGUUGAGAUUCAUUUUUCAUCUAGCUAUUACAGCCAACCUUUUUUUUUUUUUUUUUUUUUUGGGGGCAGAGAAUAAUGCUUAUAUGAUUUCUGAAUUUGGUGACUAUAGCGGAUAGAGACAGUAAGCCAAGAGAAAUGUCUGAAUUAUUCGAAAGAUUAAUUAAUCUUUGCUUAUCGCAUUAGAUGGUCUAUGAGCGGAAUUUCUUACAACAAAAGAUGCGUGUUCAUCGGCUUGUAUCUAGUCUCGUCAUGCAUAUUUUACAUAUAUAUAUAUAUAUAGAGAGAGAGAGAGAGAGAGAGAGAGAGAGAGAGAGAAAUUCUAAAAUAUCACUUAUAUAUUAUAAGUAAUUGAUGCAUGCAUGUAUGUACACACUUUGAGAAGACUCAGACCAUUAAUUUUCUUUUGAGCCAACCAACAGAACGUACAUUUCUUGCACGAAUUUGUAACCGAAACCGCAGUUGCUUGGUUGAUGCAUUUGGGAAAAUUAUCAGAUGGAAUAAAACUAUCAUGCCCCAAGGCGCCAAUGACAUUUUUUUUUUUUAAAGCUUAUGAGCACUUCAAUCAACUUAGGUCAUAUUUACACAAGGGCACAUGAUAUCAAUCCAAUGACAAUUAUAUCAUCUAAAAUCCAGAACCAACAGUCUCCCAUUUUCCCGUUCUCUACGCUGUUCAUAUUAUCACAAAUUGAAGAUUGCAAGGCAGCCGCAGAUCCUAUGCAAUCUCCCAGAUCUUUGCUCUUUCCUUGUAGCAGUUAGUCAAACAGUAAACAGAGAUAUACCAUGUCAACAAGAAGGUAAUCAUAAAAGAACAACAGAAUUGUAAAAUAAAUUUUGUUAUAGAUGAAAUGAUUUGAGCACCCAUGUAUCCAGCAUUAAGGACACCGCAAUAUAUUCAUAUGAAAUGUAAAACAAUUUAAUGUCGGCUAUCUUCAGCUGACUGAGGAGGUUGUCUCGCAAGUGGCACAUCAGUAUUGUAACGUCUGCUGGGUCUUACAUUGUCCACAAAAAGGACUCGUCCAUCUAGUAACUGCAAGUAUAUACUGGGUGAUGCUUAAACUCAACAAUUUAAGCAUGGUAAAUCAGAGAAAAUGAUGCAAUUUUACCUUCCCAUUCAUCUCUGUCAAGGCAUUUUGGGCUUCCUCUUCUGUGCUGAAAGUCACGUACCCGUAACCUUUUGAUCUGUUCUUACCUUUAUCUGUUAUUAUUGUUGCUGCAAAAGGAAAAGAAUUGGAUAUUAGAAAAUAGUGCAGAUGGAACAGGGGUUGAGACUUAAAAUAGAAAUAGAACAAACCCUCAGUGACUUGGCCAAAUUGUGAAAAAGCAUCAGCUAACAUCUCUUCAGUGGUUGAGAAAGAUACGCCUGCGGAACAUGCCAAUUAUUUUAUCACAAUUAGAUGGUAAGAUUGCAAGUUCUGCAGCCAAAAGUAGUACACAACUGAAGGAAGGAAAUAAAAAAUAUGAACAUGUUUUCAAUCUCAGUUACUUGUGAAACAUUUACAAGUUCAAGGGAAUUAGAUAGAGGCGUGGCUAAGUUUGAUAUUUUGGACCAAAAAGGGCAAACAGAUGAAUCCAGAUAAUUAAGAAAAGCAUCAAUUCCAAUGCAAUUGUGGACAAUGGAAUUGCCUUCCCUAUGAGAGUAGAGGGCCUAAAUACGAGCAAAAACCUACUGAUGCAUCUACAGAAGCUCACAUUCACAUGCUGCGUGACUAAACCACCGGAUGGUCUUACUAUACAGUGAAGAAUGUAAUAAUUAACGACCUGAUAAGGCUACAAGGUGAAGAAACUAUUCACCAGAAAAGUUCAAAAUCAAAUCAGAGUGGCUUUGAUUUUUGAAAAAAUGAAACAAUGUCACUUGAGCAACACUAUAAAAUUAUUCAAAGAAAUCUCUAAGUCAGUAUUCAAAUAUAUGGAUUCGUCCAUUCCACCACAACCUCAAAAAUCAGAACCAAGGACCCCCCAUUUGGAUUCGAUUGAUUAAUUUGAGCAAUAUAAAAUCGGAUUUUGAACUUCCCUAAUCAAAAUUUAUAUUCCACACAAUCGGUUCCUUUAACAUGAUGCAUUACAUAAUAUUUUGUUUGCAAAAUAAAGAAAAAAGAUGACAUAAUAGAAACACUCACAGAGAGAGAAUACCUUUGACAAAAAGCUUAGAAGUGAAUCCUCUGUAAGAUACGAGUUGGGCCGCUGAAAUUUUCAAGUUUGAAUGAGAGACUGCGCCAUUUCUGAAAAUGUUUUUUCGUAUUAGCGCCGCCAUUUUUGUAAUAGAGGGUAAAGAAAUAAGUAACAAAGUAAGAGGUGAGGCAGAAGCGGCCCAAUUUAGUUACAUGCCAUGCAUGCGAUCAAAAUUGAACGGUUAAAUGGCAGCCGCUAUGUUACAUCUUGUGUAAGUAACAAACCGCCUACAUGGAUCGUUGGAUUUGGGAAUAUGAAAUCCAAUGGAUAAUAUUGAAUUUAACGAAAAAUAGAUUACAGGUUGCAUUAGUCCAAGAUUAUUUCAAACAAACCAGCUGAUAAAACAGCCGCUAAUCAAAUUUAAAAGGGAAAAAAAAUCAAAUUAUAGGUUAUAGAUCUUAUUUCCAUCUUAAAUCUAUUUGUCUUUCAUGGUGUCUCAAUGUGUAUACUAAUUUAUAAUUUGGAUCUAUAUUAGAGCUAAUGCUUCCCUAAAUAACUAAGAAAAUUUUCUUUUCAUUGAUUUAAUAUUUAUUUCCAAUAUCUUGUAUAUGUAGGAUUUGAAAAGAGGAAAAAUAGUAGGGAUGAUAAUGAGAGAAGAUAAAGAUGUCGAUUCUCAAAUCUAAUAUUAAUACUAUACUUAUAUUCCUAUACUAAAUAAAUUAUCCAAGGUUAGUGGUUAACAAUAUGUUGCGAAAUUUUAAUUUCUAUUUAAAGCUCUGUCUAAUAUGGCUUUUCAUAAAGCUUAGAGAAAAGUAGAGCUUUUACAAAAAAAAAAAAAAUUAAUUAGAAUUGUCAAUGAUAAAUUUUAAAAAGUACUUUAAUAAAUAAGCUUUUAAAGUUAUAUAUAUUAUGAAAGAAAUGAAAUAAGAUUAUAUAAUAAAUUAAGAGUAUCUUAGAUAAUUGAACUUUAAAAAAAAAACUGCUAAGAGGUUUAAAAUUUGAGUUUUUAAUAGUGGAUACAAAAUAGUUUAUUUAAUUCUCAAAAGCACUACUCAAAAUACAACCAUGUAACACAAAAAUUUUUAAUAAGUUUUUUGGACUAGUUAAGUACUUUUUUUAAAAAAAAAAAAUAUUUUUUUCAUUGAGUAAAUAAUACUAAACAUGCACUAAAGUGUUAGGACCAGAAGUUGUACAAAUAAAACCAUGAAAUUAUAUGUUGUUGGAUGGAUAUUUUUCAAAUUUGCUGUAGUUUUUUUUUUUAAUUUUCUGCUGGGAAAUUGAAAUGAUGGCUAAAACUUAAAUUAUGAAUGGAGUAAUCGGAGAAUAUUGAAACCCAUUUAAUUUGGAUCGUGCAUUGAGGGACGAAAGGAUAAAAAUUUAAUUUUGAAAUUGUUGUUGGCUACGGUACAAUGACUUACCGUUGACAGCUUGUGCAACCGAAUUACAAUCAGUUAGUUCAAUAAUUUUAUAUCCCUAUUUAACCGCCACGUGCUGCUGUUACAUGGGUCAAUUAGUCAUGUCAUUACUGUUACUUACAGCUGCUGUAACAUAACCGGAUCCUGGUUAAAUUAUGUUGUUUCCAAUAAUUUUAUGAUGUAUCUUCUUUAAUAAUAAAGAAAACUUGCAUUAAAAUUAAAAUUAGGGUAAUACCUGAUUUUAUAAAUAGAUUGCAAUGUAAUUUUGAAAAAUAAAACAAUAAUUUACGAAAUGUUUAUAACAUAAUUUUAAUUUUUUUUAAAAAGGAAAAACAACAAAAGUAAGAAAUAGAGAAUGAGGGCUACAAACUUUGCAUCUUAAACGGCCGUUAGAUUAUUUGUAAAUGAAAGCAACGGUCAGAUAUUGGUGGAUUAUGGAAACAUGUAAUCAUAAGGACUACGACUUUUUUUUGUUACAUUAAUAUAUUACAAUCAAAAUUCUAUUGGUAUUUACAACCAGAAUUUCAUUUGACUAUCUUUGAUAAUUCUAAACUAGUACAGCCCAAAUUCUUAUUCUCAUAUAAUAUCAAAGAGAGAUAUAUAUUCUUCUCCUCUAUUAAUAAAGAGACAUUUUUACUUCUAUCCAAUUUAAAUAGAACAAGAAUUAAGUCAUUUUAAUAGUUAGGACUCAGAACUCAUACACGCUAGUUUGAGAGCGUGGGGUGUGACAAUGGGCCAAGAGACCAUUGACAAAUACAAAAGAGUGGUAGAAAUUAAUUCAAACCGCUACACACGCUAUUGCAACCAAAUUGAGGGCACAUUUUUGUUUAUUUAGUUGAAAAGUAGUCUGUAAAAUUAACUCAAACCGCUACAUACGCUAUUGCAACCCAAUUGAGGGCCCAUUUUUGUUUAUUUCGUUGAAAAGUAGUUCGCGCAAUUAAUUCAAACCGCUACACACACUAUUGCAUCUUUUGAAAAAGAAAAAUGGAAUAAUUUUUCAAAAUUAAUUUAGAGAAUAAGAUUUACUAAUAAUGAUGUUAGAAAUCUUGAUAUUUGAAUCUUAAUAUUAUCUAUCACUCAUUUAUUAAAUAAUAGAUUUCAUAGUUUGUAAAAUUACUUAACCACUUGAUAAAUGUUAUAUUUGUUGGGACUAGAUUGGGACUUAAAUAUUGGAAUAUCUAGUAUUGCAUAAAAAAAAAACUUAACAAUUUAUCUUCACACGACUAAUUGUUUUUACAUCACAACUAACCUUAAUUAUUUUAAAAGUUUAUGCAUUAUUAAAUUGCCCUAACUAGUUAUCAAAAGGUGAAAGCAUGUUUAAAAAAGAAAUUACUAAGAAACAUUUGUUUAAACGAAGGUUAAGGUUAUGAUCAAUUAAUUAAGAAGAAACUUACUAUCAAAGGUUAAGAUUAUGAACAAUUUAAGGAAGUUAUUGAGUAGAGAAAGGGACAGAAUGGUUGUCUGAUUUGCCGGUGACAAGAAUGCUUGUGUUGUGAAAAGAAAUCCGAUGGUUUGUAAAUUUGUUGAAUUGGUCCCAAUUAGUAUAGUAACCAUCUAUUGAGCGGUAAAAUAUUAAUUUAAAUAGUCAUGAAAUCUAAUAUAUAAUAGAUUACUAACACACAUAAAUUAAAACUUAACUGUCAGAAAUCAUAACAUUAUUCUAAGCUUCAGUGGAGUUCUCUUAACAGAUUAUGUGAGAUUGCCUAUAUUAAAAAUAUGUUAAGACUGCUUGUUGAAAGCAAUAUUCGCUUUUUGAUUAUAUCCAUAACUUUGAAUUGAUAAAGUUGUAUUCAACAGCUCUUGAAAAGACUAAGCAGGUCUUCUUUGCAUUUGAUCACUGGUAUUUCAGUUAAGUUUGUCGUUUACUUAAAUUUUUCUUGCUUUCAAUUUCCACUGUUGUUUUUUUUUUAAUAAAAUAAUUUGUUUAACUAGUCAUAGAAAUAAGAGAGAAAAUGGGUCAUUUCUUGACUCAAAGUCAAUUAUAAUUAUCAAAACUUGAGGGGACAUCGCAUGCCUAAAUUCCACGCACCCUAAAACAGUUUGAUUUGCUUUCACGCGUUCAUGAAUUUCCAUGAAAGAGCCUGUCUUUCGUCUCUUUCGGGACAAUGACUACAAUUAUGGAAAAAAAUUAUAAUUCUCGUUAGAUUGUAACCAAAUUAUUAUCCCUAAUUUUUUAAAGUUAAAUAAAAUAAAAUUCAUGCUUAAGUAUUUAGUAAUUAGAGAGAGAUAGAGAGGAUUGAGGGCCAAUGUUUCGCGAUUUGGGGUCAAUUCAAAGUCAACUAACGUGUAAAACACGUGUAUGCAUAGAAAACGCUUAGAUUAUUUGUGUUCCAAGUGCAAGAAAUUAAGAAAAGAAAAAUUGAACUUCCAAGAAAGAAAGAAGACCCUUCACCUUGUUCGUGACAACAAAUGAAUGAAUGAUGUUGAUAUGACAAAUACAAGCGCUAUUACAGGGAACAGCAUAAGACCGAGACUUGAUAAAAGGUUUGUUGAAUUACAUGUUAUUUUCUUUUGACUUGAAUGAUGUUGAAAAUAAAAUAAAAUAAAAUUGUAAUCAGGGUGAUGUGUGCAAUAUAGUGAAAUAAAUAAAUAGAGAAGAGAAAUUCGUUGAUCAAUAUUAAAGAACUCAUCCAAAGUGAUCGUCAAAGUCUAGAGGUUCGGUAUGAUUAGCAUUUAUUUUUAUUUUUUUUGGCUUAGCAUCAUAUAUAGUCACUUGUCGUGUGAUCUAGGACAGGUUUAGAAAUCCUUUUAUUUUAACUUCCGUAUUCUUAUUAUUUAAUUAGUUAUAAAGUUUUUAAGUAUUUGAGUAUUGAUCACAUGUCUCCUAAUCUAAAAAUAUGUUUUUACGAGUACAAAUAACAAACUAGGAUUUUAACAUCCUUUUAUACUAAACCCUAAAAAUACAUGAAUUUAUCAAAAUAAGUAAAUUAAUUUAAAUUGGUAUGGCAUAAUAGAAGUUUUACCUGCCGAAACAAAUUAAAAAAAUAUUACACUUAAAUCAAAUAUUGACAAAAAUAGAUAACAAUCUAAUGAGAAUCUUAACUAGACAUUUUUAAUUCUAUCCAAUUUAACUGGAACGAGAAUUAAGUCCUUUCAAUACUUAGGACUCAUAACUCAUACACACUAGUUUGAGAGUGUGGGGUGUGACAAUGGGACCAUUGACAAGUAUAAAAGAGUGGUCGCAAUUAAUUCAAACCACUACACACGCUAUAUUGAGGGCCCAUUUUUGUUUAUUUCGUUGAAAAGUAGUUUUCACAAUUAAUUCAAACCGCUACACACGCUAUUGCGUCUUUUAAAAAAGAAAAAUGGAGUAGUUUUCCAAAAUUAAUUCAGAGAAGAAGAUUUACUAAUAAUGAUGUUAGAAAUCUUAAUAUUUGAAUCUUAAUAUUAUGUAUCACUCAUUUAUUAAAUAAUAGAUUUCAUAGUUUGUAAAUUUACUUAACCACUUGAUAAAUGUUAUAUUUGUUGGGACUAAAUUGGGACUUCAAUGUUGGAAUAUCUAGUAUUGCAUAAAAAAAAAAAUAAAAACUUAACAAUUUAUCUUCGCAUGACUAAUUGUUUUUACAUCACAACUAACCUUAGUUAUUUUUUAAAGUUAUAGUAUUAUUAAAUUGCCCUAACUGGUUAUCAAAAGAUGAAAGCAUGUUAAAAUAAGAAAUUACUAAGAAACAUGUGCUUAAACAGAGGUUAAGGCUACGAACAAUUAAGAAGAAACAACUUACAAUCAAAGGUUAAGAUUAUGAACAAAUUAAGGAAGGUAUUGAGCAGAUAAAGGGACGGAAUCAUUGUCUGAAUUGCCGGUGACAAGAAUGCUUGUGUUGUGAAAAGAAAUUUGAUGGUUUGUAAAUGGGUUGAAUUUUUUAUUCGCUCGCUCCAACUGACUUACUAAUGCCAAAUUUAUUACUUUGCACAGUAGUGUUUAGGAUCCUCAAGAUCAACUCUUAAUUUGGUCCCAAUUAGUGCAGAAAUCAUCUAUUGAGCAAUAGAAUAAGAAUUUUUCUAGUCAUGAAAUUCAAUAUAUAAUAUAUCCUUGACACACAUCGAUUAUAACUUAACUGUUAGAAUUCACAACAUUACUCUACUCUCAAGGGGAGUUCUCUUAACAUAUUAUGUUAGGUUGCCUACAUUCAAAAUAUGUUAGACUGCUCUUUGAAAGCAAUAUUCCCUUUUCCGUAACUUUGAAUUGAUCCAAUAGCUCUUGAAAAGCACAUAAUAAUCAUUAUAAAUUUAAUCAAAGACUAAGCAGGUCUUCUUUGCAUUUGAUCACUGGCAUUUCAGUUAAGUAUGUCAUUUACUUAAAUUUUUCUUGCUUUCAAUUUUCACUGUUGUUUUUUUUUUUAAUAAAAUAAUUUGUUUAACUAGUCACAGAAAUAAGAGAGAAAAUGGGCCAUUUCUUGACUCAAAGUCAAUUAUAAUUAUCAAAACUUGAGCGGACAUUGCAUGCCUAAAUUCCACACACCCUAAAACGGUUUGAUUUGCUUUCACGCGUUCAUGAUUUUCCAUGAAAGAGAGUGCCUCUCGUCUCUUUCCGGACAGUGACGACAAUUAUGUUAACGUGACAAAUACAUAACGUUAUUACAUACAAGAAUAAGUUUUUGGAGCCGAGACUUGAGGGAGGUUCUAUCUAAUUCUAAAGAUUGUAACCAAAUCAUUAUCCCCAAUUUUUUUCAGUUAAAUAAAAUAAAAUUUAUGCUUAAGUAUAAAUAAAAUCCAUAGUGGAUAAAUAUUUGAUUAUCGAUUUUUUUUAAUGUAAAAUUGCUGGUUUGUUGCUUAAAAUUUUCAAUAAUAAUUUCACUUAUUUAGUAAUUAGAGAGAGAGAGAGGAUUGAGGGCCAAUGUUUCGCGAUUUGGGGUCAAUUCAAAGUCAACUAAGGUGUAAAACAUGAUUUCCUUUCAUGAACUUCGAAGAAAGAAAGAAGACUCUUCACCUUCUUCAUGACAACGAAUGAUGUUGAUAUGACAAAUACAAUCGCUAUUACAGGGAACAGCAUAAGACCGAAAUUUGAUAAAGGGUUUGUUAAAUUACAUGUUAUUUUCUUGUUAACUGAAUUGGAAGAAAAAAUAAAAAUAAAAUAAAAUUGUAAUCAGUGUGAUGUGUGGAAUAUAUUGAAAUAAAUAAAUAGAGAAGAGAAAUUCGUUGAUCAAUAUUCAAGAACUCAUCCAAAGUGACUGUUAAAGUCUAGAGGUUCCGUAUGAUUAGCAUUUAUUUUUUAAUUUUUUGGCUUAACAUCAUAUGUAGUCACUGGUCGUGUGAUCUAGGACAGGUUUAGAAAUCUUUUUUUUUUUUAACUUCCGUAUUCUUAUUAUUUAAUUAGUUAUAGGGUUUUUUAGUAUUUGAGUAGUGAUCACAGGUCUCCUAAUCUAAAAAUAUGUUUUACGAGUACAAAUAAAAACUAGGAUUUUAACAGCCUUUUAUACUGAACCCUAAAAAUACAUGAAUUUAUCAAAAUAAAUAAAUUUGAAUUGGUAUGCCAUAAUAAAAAUUUUACUUGCCAAAACAAAUUAAAAAAAAUAUGACGCUUAAAUCAAAUAUCGACAAAAAUAGAUAAAAAUCCAACAAGAAUCUCAAAAAUAAGAAAGAUAUCUUCAAAAUAGAAGCGUCCAAGAGAAAUUUGGCGAAGAUUUGCUAAUCCACAUUGAAAAUGUCACUUUUCCUUGAGAACUUCAUAAUGAUAUAUUAUGAGCCUAAGACAAAUACCAAUUACUCAAGUUAUGGCCCUAUGAAGACAUCCUAUUCAUUCUCCCUAGACCAGGACGUGUCGCACAUGUUUGCAUUCAAAUUUAGGUGAAAAUCUACUCUCAUUCAAGGGAUAUAUAGGUACCUGUGAAGUCUCAAACCCGAGAUAAUGUGAAAGCAAAUCGGGAGUUUGAUUAAAUUCAGCCAAUUAUUAGUGUGUACGGAUGGUAGGGAUGGAAAAAAACUCCGACCGUUCUUAGGUAUGGUAUUACCCAGAUCUGGCCUAAGCAUGUUUUUUUUGAACACUCAGAAUUUUUUAAUCAAAACUUAAAAAACCUAGAAUUUAUAUUUUAUAAUAUUAUAUAUAUUUAUUUUAUUUUAUAAUUUUAUAUUUUCAAAUUUUAUUUUAAUGAAUUGGAAUUAAAAAUAUGAGUUUUAAAUGUUUAAAAUUUUAAAAAUAGAUAAUAAGUGGACCAAAUGAACAAAAUAAUAGAUAUUUUAUAAUAUUCUUCAUAAAAAUCCAAGUUUUGAGCUAGCCCAUAAGCUUGUCUAGUGAAGUCUGGGUACCCGCGUUGCCCAAGGUUCCGUCAGAAUCCAGGCUGUGCAGAUAUUUAUGGACGGAGAGGAAAUAUUUUCAGUUGACUGAAUUAAAUAAAAAUAUAUUACAAUCAUAUUAUAUAUUAACAGUAAAAAUAAAAAGAAAUGAAGAAAAACGCAUGCAAGACUUAGACAAAGUCAAUUAAAAGCUGGGAGUAUCAUCAGUUCAAUUGGUUUUAAAUAGCGUAGAGCCAUCCUCUCGUUGUUGCAGAAGAGAGACAGAAAGAGUGUGUGUAGGCGAUUAUAAUUAAGCAGAUAUAAUGUGUGGUUCAAAAAGAGUGUGGGUGAGUGAGUUAAUUUUCAUAUUAUUAGUAGUAAAAGGGUGGUGGAGUGAGGGAUGUUUGGAGCAAGAGAGGUCUGCUCUCCUCCAACUCAGACAUUUCUUCAAUGAUGAUCACCGUCUUCAAAACUGGGUAGACGAUGAGUAUUAUUCAGAUUGUUGUCAGUGGGAACGGGUUGAGUGCAACGACACCACUGGCAGAGUGAUUGAAUUAGAUCUAGCAGUAACUCGGAAUUGGGAAUCAGCAGAGUGGUAUAUGAAUGCCUCUCUGUUUACUCCUUUUGAACAAUUAGAGUCUCUUGAUCUAAUAGGGAACAAUAUAGCCGGUUGUGUUGAAAAUGAAGGUCCGUAAUUUACUCUAUUUUAAUUCUUCCUCAUAAUUUUUUCCAUUUAUCUGAUCCCUUUUGGUUUUUAUUUAAUUUGUAUGUGAUACAAUAAAAUUACUUUUUAUUUUUUGGCAGGUCUAGAUAGGUUAUCAAGGUUGAACAACUUGAAGUUUCUUUAUUUAGACCUUAACCACUUCAACAACAGCAUCUUUUCAUCUCUAGGUGGUCUUUCAUCACUCAGAAACUUAUCAUUGGCUGCUAAUCGAUUGAAUGGAAGUGUUGAUAUUAAAGGUAAGUAAGCUUCAUCCCUUCUCCCCUGUCCCAUCUUUUGUGGAUCUUAUUUCACUGAGCAGCUGGAAGUAUUGAUACGAGAUCUAGCUAGACUCUUGCGAGUUUAGGCUUCACGGCUUUGAAUAGUAUAAAAAUAAGUUGAAUAAAUUAUCAAUAUAUGCAAUUUUCAAUGCUUCUCAUAAUCAGACACAAUUCAAUCUAAUUAUUUCGUAUGUCCUGUCUUCAAAAGUAAAGAAUUGUACACUAAUUGGAAAUCGACAUCGUAGCUUUUUAUUUUCUAUAAUGCUAUUUCUUCGUUAACAAGUUUAUAUCCUAAGAGGGAUUGGAUUGAAAAAAAAAAAGAAGUUUUGAUGUUCAAUGUCAGCCAUGAUAACCUGCAUCUUAUUUGUCUGCCGACAUCCAAAUUUGUGCACUGAAUUUAGUAUUUUGGUUAUUGUGAAGGGAUCAGAUAUUGGCUUCCAUAGACCAACUUGUAUUUACUUAAUUAAUUAAUUAACGACAUUUAGUAUUUAACAAAUUAAAAUUUCAUGUUUAAUCUAUUUUAAUUUUUUUAAGAAAAAAGAAAUAGAUAUAGCAGCAGGUAAAGCUGAAAUAAAUUUUAAUUCCUUACAAAUUUAAAUUCAUGGUUGUCAGCUAAAUAUACCUGCUUAAAGCCACUCUUUUCGCUGAGAUUUAACCAAAAAAAAAAGGAGAAAAUAAUUUAUUUAAUUAACUCUGUUUUAAGUGUUGGAAUAAAUACAGGACUGGAAUCCUUGAGUAACUUGGAGAUGCUGGACAUGAGGGACAAUGCAAUCGACAAUCUAGUGGUUCCUAAAGGUAUACAAAAUGACACUAACCCAAAAUAAUUUAAUCCGAAAUUGUAUCCCAAAUAGAUUACAGAGGUUUGAGGAAGUUGGAUACCCUUUAUUUGGGGGGGAAGGGAAAUUGCAGUGAUAUAUGGAAGCAAGGUGUUGCAAUCAAUAAAGAAAUUCGUUGGUCAAUAUUCAAGGACUCAUCCAAAGUAAUCGUUAAAGUCUAGAGGUCUGCUCUCCACCAACUCAAACAUUUCUUCAAUGAUGAUCAACGUCUUCAAAACUAGGUAGACGCGGGAGAUGAUGAGAAUAAUUUAGAUUGUUGUCAGUGGGAAGGGAUUGAGUGCAACAAAACCACAGGCAGAGUGAUUAAAUUAGAUCUAGCACAAACUCGAAAAUGGGAAUCAGCGAAGUGGUAUAUGAAUGCCUCUCUGUUUACUCCCUUUCAACAAUUAGAGUCUCUUGAUCUAAUUGGGAACAAUAUAGCUGAUUGUGUUAAAAACGACGGUCAUUAAUUUACUCUAUUUUAAUUCUUCCUCCUCGUAAUUUCUUACAUCUAUCUGAUCCCUUUCGGCUUUUGUUUAAUUUGUACGUGAUACAAUAAAAUUAUUUUUUUUCAGGUCUGGAGAGGUUAUCAAGGUUGAACAACUUGAAGUUUCUUGAUUUAGGCUUUAACCACUUCAACAACAGCAUCUUUUCAUCUCUAGGUGGUCUUUCAUCACUCAGACACUUAUCAUUGGCUGAUAAUAGAUUGAAUGGAAGUAUUGAUGUUAAAGAUAAGCAAGCUUCAUCCCUUCUCUCGUGUCCCAUCUUUGUGGAUCUUAUUUCAUCGACCAGCUGGAAGUAUUGAUACGAGAUCUAGCUAGACUCUUGCUAGUUUAAGCUUCAAGGCUUUGAAUAUUAUAAAAAUAAGUUUAAGGAAUUAUCAAUAUAUGCAAUUUUCUAUGCUUCUCAUAAUCAGACACAAUUCAAUCUAAUUAUUUCGUAUGUCAUGUCUUCAAAAGUAAAGAAUUGUACACUAAACGGAAAUCGACAUUGUAGCUUUUUAAUUUUUCUAAUGCUCUUUCUUUGUUAACGAGUUUAUAUCCUGAGAGUGGAUUGGAUUAAAAAAAAAAAAAAAAGUUUUGAUGUUCAAGGUAAGCCAUAAUAACAUGCAUCUUAUUUAUCUGCCUAUAUCUAAAUUUGUGCACUGAAUUUAGUAUUUUGGUUAGUGUAAAGGGAUCAGAUAUUGGCUUCCAUAAACCAACUUGUAUUUACUUAAUUAAUUAAUUAACACCAUUUAGUAUUUAACAAAUUAAAAUUUCGUGUUUAAUUUGUCUUAUUUUUUAUUUUUUGAAGCAAGAAUAAGGUAUAGCAGUAGGUAAAGUUGAAAUACAUAUUUAUUCCUUACAAAUUUAAAUUCGUUUUCAGCCAAAUAUACCUACUUAAAACCACUCAAUCAGGCCAUUGGCAACAGUUUUUUAGGUUUUUCUAGUUAACCGUGUACUUUUUUGCUUAUUAAUAAAAUUCUUUUGUGCUGAGAUUUAAAAUAAAGAAGGAGAAAAUAAGUUAUUUAAUUAACCCUGUUUUUAAGUGUUGGCAUAAAUACAGGACUGGAUUCCUUGAGUAACUUGGAGGAGCUGGACAUGACAGGCAAUGCAAUCGAUAAUCUUGUGGUUCCUAAAGGUAUACAAAAUGUUCAAAUAUUAAUAAUUUGGAGGACAGUUUAAUUGAUUUGAUUAGGGAAUGCCCAAUGACACUUACCCAAAAUAAUUUAAUCUGAAAUUGUAUCCAAAACAGAUUUCAGAGGUUUGAGGAAGUUGAAUACCCUUCGUAUAGGGGGAACCAGAAUUCAAAUGAUAGAUGGAAGCAAGGUGUUGCAAUCAAUAGGAUCACUACCGUCCCUCAAAACACUUGACCUUUGGUAUACUAAUUUUACGGGAACAGUAGUUAAUCAAGGUAAGUAAAUCUUUUAUGUCGAAAAUAAUUGAAUUAAUAUAUAUAGCUAAAAUUUAUUGUUUCUACUUCUUUCUAAAUAGAAUUGCACAAUUUCACCAACUUGGAAGAAUUGAUAUUGCUCGAGUCUGAUCUCCAUGUAAGCCAGCUUCUACAAAGCAUCGCAUCAUUCACUUCGUUAAAGUAUUUGUCAAUGGGAGGUUGUACUUAAUGAAGCAAUUAUGGGUAUCCAAAAGAUUUUUUCUUAAUUCGAUAAUAAAUUAUGGGUAUCUGAAGCUUUUAUGAUAUUAAUUCGAUAAUAAUUCUUUCUUUUCAAGUUAAUUUUUUCCCCUAAAAUAAGAUUUUUUUUCUUUUAAAUUUCAUAUAUUUUCAUUGUCCAAUAGUUCUAGCUUCUCUUAAUUGCAGGAUUCUUGAUUAAGGUUAAUGAAAUUUUAGUUCUGUUAUGUUAAGAAUAUUUCGAUCGCUUAGAAGAGUAAAGAAAAAUAAGUAAAUUAACCAAAAAAAAAAGAGAAAAGGACCGGAUUAUCCUUAUUCCCUUGCAUUAUGUGAUCAAUAUCAAAAUUAUAACCAUUUCUUGUUUAUUGCUUGUAGAUUUUCUUAAAUUCAAGAAUUUGGAACAUCUGGACAUGGGUGGGGCGCAAGUUGACGUCAACACCAGUUUUCUUCAAAUUGUCGGCGAAUCGAUGCCUUCUCUUAAGUUUUUAUCACUGACAGGUUCAAGUCUUAAUAAAAACGCCAUUCUUGAUCAAGGUUAGUUAAUGAUUCUCUUUCUCCCUCUCUCGCAUCUUAACUAAAUUUAAUUGAGAAUAUCUAUAAUGCUAGCUAUUUAUAAACUUAAUGAAAGAUGAUAAGGAGCUACUAUAAUGACAAAAACAACUGUAAAAUAGUGCGCUGUUGUAGUGUUAAUUGAAAAAUAAUGCUAAUUUUAUAGUCAUUUUGUUGCCAUUACGUCAGAUUCCAUUGUUCAAUUAUUUAAGUUUUAUGCAAAUAUAUUUUUCAGGACUUUGUCGGUUAGUGCAUCUACAAGAGUUAUACAUCGGCGGUAAUGAUUUGAGAGGUAGCUUGCCAUGGUGCUUGGCAAACAUGACAUCCCUCCAAGUGUUAGAUGCCUCUUUUAAUCAACUUACUGGAAACAUCUCCCCAGGCCUUUGUGAGUUGGUGCUUCUGAGAGAGUUAUACAUUGAUUACAAUUAUUUAAGAGGUAGCUUGCCUUUGUGCUUGGCAAAUUUGACUUCCCUUCGAGUAUUAGAUGUCUCUUACAAUCAACUUACUGAAAACAUCUCAUCUUCCCUCAUGCAUCUAAUAUCUAUGGAAAAGCUCAUACUUUCAAAUAAUCACUUCUUCCAAAUCCCUAUUUCACUUGAACCACUUUUCAAUCUCACAAAACUCAAGACUUUCGAUGGUGAAAUAUACGCAGAAACUGAGUCACAUUAUAAUUCUUUGACCCCAAAAUUCCAAUUGACUUCUAUCUCAUUGUCUGGCUACGGAGAUGGUGGCACAUUUCCCAAAUUCUUGUACCAUCAGCAUGACUUGAAGAAUGCUGAUCUCUCACACCUUAACUUGAGUGGAAAUUUUCCAAAUUGGUUGGUAGAAAACAAUACGAACUUAGAGACGCUUCUUCUUGCCAAUAACUCUCUUUUUGGAUCAUUUCGGAUGCCAAUUCAUUCCCACCAGAAAUUAGCAACAUUGGAUGUCUCCAACAAUUUCUUUCAAGGCCAUAUCCCAGUAGAAAUCGGAACAUAUCUGCCAGGCUUAAUGCAUUUAAACUUAUCUAGAAAUGCUUUCAACGGUAGCAUUCCCUCUUCAUUUGCUGAUACGAAAAUGUUGAAAAGCUUGGACAUAUCCUACAAUCAGUUGACUGGUGAAAUCCCUGAGCGCAUGGCCAUGGGUUGCUUCUCAUUGGAAAUUCUUGCAUUGUCAAACAACAGUUUGCAAGGUCAUAUAUUCUCUAAAAAAUUUAACUUGACAAAUUUGAUGAUGUUGCAGUUGGAUGGUAAUAAAUUCAUUGGAGAGAUCCCAGAAAGCUUAUCUAAGUGCUAUUUGUUGGGAGGAUUGUAUCUGAGUGAUAAUCAUCUCUCUGGUGAGAUUCCAAGAUGGUUGGGUAAUUUGUCAGGUUUAGAAGAUAUUAUAAUGCCCAAUAACAAUCUUGAAGGACCAAUUCCAAUCGAGUUUUGUCAGCUUGAUUAUCUGAAGAUUUUAGACCUUUCAAACAAUAGUAUUUUUGGAACUUUACCAUCUUGUUUUAGUCCAGCAUCUAUCGAACAAGUUCAUUUGUCGAAAAACAAGAUAGAAGGACGGCUGGAGAGUAUAAUCCAUGACAGCCCUCAUUUGGUGACAUUCGAUCUUAGUUAUAACAGCUUACACGGAAGUAUUCCAAAUCGGAUUGACAGACUACCUCAGUUAAACUACCUUCUUUUAGCUCAUAAUUAUAUUAAAGGCGAAAUACCAGUUCAAUUAUGCCAGUUGAAGGAAGUGCGGUUGAUUGAUCUUUCUCAUAAUAAUCUAUCUGGUCAUAUUCCUCCUUGCUUGGUUAACACUUCACUCAGUGAAGGUCAUCAUGAGGCAGUAGCUCCAACUUCUAGUUCGUGUGGUCGAGCGUCUGGCUAUGCAAGUCCAUGUGCGAAAAAUACAAGUGGACUUCCGAUGGGAAAGGAAGAAACUGUACAGUUCACAACAAAGAAUAUGUCCUACUAUUAUCAAGGAAGAAUUUUGACGAGUAUGUCUGGGAUUGAUCUUUCUUGUAACAAACUGACAGGUGAGAUUCCUACUCAAAUUGGAUAUCUUACAAGGAUUCGUGCGCUAAAUCUAUCUCAUAACAAUUUGACGGGCACAAUCCCGACAACAUUUUCAAACCUGAAGCAAAUCGAAAGCUUGGACCUCUCCUACAACCUACUGCAUGGGAAAAUCCCUUCUCAGCUCACUGUGCUAAAUACAUUGGCGGUCUUCACAGUAGCAUACAAUAACUUAUCAGGAAAAAUUCCAGAUAGAGUUGCACAAUUUUCAACUUUUGAGGAAGAUAGCUAUGAGGGAAUCCUUUUCUUUGUGGAUGGCCACUGUCUAAAAGUUGCAAUGAUAGUGGAUUAUCAGCAGUGACACGAGAAGCUUACACUGAUAAUGAAGAAGGUGAUAGUUUAAUUGACAUGGACAGUUUCCUAAUCACUUUUACAGUAUCUUAUGGAAUUGUGAUAUUAGGAAUUAUUGGAGUUUUGUACAUAAACCCCUAUUGGCGACGAAGAUGGUUUUACCUUGUUGAAGUAUGUAUGAUCUCUUGCUACUAUUUUGUAGUAGAUAAUCUUAUUCCUAGAAGAUUCUAUGGUGGAUGGAUGUAAUUUCAUUUACUUUACAACUUAUAUGUAAUUUUUAAAGAAUUUUCUUUUGCAUGCAUGGAAUAGCAACUCAAUAAAAGUAUUUGAUGCAAAUUGUCCUAGAACAACUUAGUAAUUUCAUUGCUACUAUUUGGUUGUAUAUAUACAGUUAAUGAAAUUUUUAAUCAUUCGCAGUAGGAAUUUCUUUAGAUGGCGGCCAAAACUAACAGAUUUGGGGCUCUACUUCUACACAUCAUAACAGGCAAAAGGUCUCUCUUUUACACGAUCUGAAUGAAGAUUAACUUACGCCCUCUAGGCUCUGGAGUGUGUGUAAGUUCUCUAUUAAACUUGACGGUUGAGAUUUCAGGUCCAGAUGAAAGUGAAAUGCAGGCGACGAGACUACACUUUAAGUAAACUGGGACAAACUUAAAAUAAAAAAAAUUGUAGUCCAGGGUGAGAGUGAUGGGUAGCUCAACUUAUGGAGGAUAACUAGGACUUGGAAUAACUAUCAGAUUUGCAACUCUUGUUAUAUGCUAGUGGGGAUUUAGGUAGCAAUUUUUUUUUUUUUUCCUUUUUGCCCUCUUCCUCACAAUAAAAACACGUAACACACCAAGCCGUGCCCAAAAUAAUCCUAUUUUAUUCAUGUCAUGAAUCCAAAAACUAUCCCAGCUCACUUUGUUUAACCAGCAUAACUAAAUUGUGGGUAUAAAUGAACACACUUUCGAAGCCUGUAACUUAUAAUAAGCUCAAACCCAAAAAUGACAUUUAAAUCCUGCAAGUGUUUUUUCAUCAUCCCUAACAAAAGAAACAAGAAUAAUUAUAUACCAAUAAUUUUUCCAUAAAAAUACUGAUUUGAGUUGAAACACUAUACAAACUGGGUUUUAUACACUUCCAGAAAGCUACACGGUAGACAAAAUCUAGCAGCUACAUAUUGGUAUCACUUUCAGCUGGUCAUGAAUGGUGUGCAUUCAGCAGUGCUCGAUAGACCAUGUCUAUGAAUUGAUUGUCCUAUUACAUAUAAAAGCUGGUCAGAAUAUACAAGGAAAAAAAAUAAUAAUUGAAAAUGCAUCACAAAAAAUAAGUGUUUCGCAUUAGUGUUUGCACUCUAAGCAUGGCAAAGUGGUGCGGGGUUCAUGAUUUUGAAGACUGUGAUAAGUGAAAAAUAGUUCAAUCCACUGAUGAACAUAAAUUUAUUUACAUGUCAAUUUAGAUAUCAUCAAAAAGUAAACAGUAAUUCAGAGUCACUUAAAAUAGUUGAUAAAAUGCGUGCCAUGAAUGUAUUUUUGUACAUAAGAAAUCCAAAGAGUAUUUCUGACAAUACAAAUAUGCUAGCUUUAAGUCUGCUGUCAAUAUGCAAUUAAGAAGAUUAUACCAGCUGCAUGAUAAAGUUCCCUAAUCUUAAUAACAGUAAACAUGAACAUGUCAGAUGCAAUUAUAGCUUUGAGCAUUUGCAUAACCAGAAAUCCUAACCUGAACAAGCACCAGAAGUGUCUCUCGGACUUUCUCCUUGCUGAUAAAUGGUCCGCUGUCUGAAGUAAGAGCAGGAGUAAGAGAUGGUGGAGGGGUUGGUGGUGGAAAAGGUUGAAGCACUGGGGCACCAUAUGGGCGUUGCAGACUCGGGGGAGGAUUAAGUGGCGAGCUGUUGGUGUAGAUGAAGAGACAAGCUGCAUCAUCCGUGCAUAGGAGGAUGGAGGAGGAACAAAGAAUAAGGAAGGCUUUACAAGAUUAGGGGUAGGUGCUGAUAGAGGUGGAGAUGGUAUUUGCAAAGUUGGCACGAUAGGAGAAGCAACACUGCGGGAUGAGAAGGUAAAGAAAUAGUUGUAUUGGACUGGUAAGGUUGUGCAGAGAUUGCUGCAUUAGAAUUAUUCCCCACAGUCAAAGCUGUCUGCAAUGAUAAGGACAGAUGUCAUAUAAAAGGACUCAUAGAAGUUGAACCUCACACAAAAAUGAAGUGAUAACAUAUGAAAAUAGUAUAUGACUUGCUGCAUUUUUGUGGUAAUGUUGCAUACUUAUGUAGAAACAUAUUAUUUCAAAGAAAACAUACAUGAAGAAGUUCACAAAAGCAGGAUCUUCAGGAACAUCAACAGCAUUUGAGGAGUUGACUCUAGAGGACCAUCCAUAACUGCCAUAGUUGGAACAGCUUCCAGUUCCUCAAACUCACUGCAGUUUAACAUAAAAGGAACUUGAUGACCAAUUUAAGUAAUAAUUAGAUGAUAUAAGAGGUUAGGGAAAAUGAUGAGUGGACCCUUAUGGAAGAUGAUUUCACCUUAGCUAAACACGAAAAUAAAAUGAAAUCAAAGCUGAAUCCUCGAGUGCAAUGCAAAUAAUUUUUUCUCUCUCUUCUCUAACUCCUCUUAUUCGAAAUUGCUCAUCAUUGUGCAGUUCCUCGAGAUUUUGCUAGAGUAGAGAAAGCUAUUCUCCCCGUUAAGUGCAGAGGAAAAAGAAGGGCAAGGGCCUGGUAUGAUGCUAUUCUAUAGGAAGUGAGAAGGUGAAGGGCUAAAAUAUUUUGCAAUUUGGAGGUGGUGUUUGUUAGUGUGUGUACUUCUGAAUUUAUUACCUCUUUAGGAUCCAUAGAAAUUGCCUCUUGUUCAGCAUGCACUGUGCCUACGAGUAAGGCGAGCUUGCAUGGUAUCUAUUGUCUAUUUACUUGGAUAUUCAAACAGGACUACCAGCAACCAAACACAAAUCCCCAAACAAAACACUCUUUCAAGUGCAAGGAAAGAGUAACUUGGGCAUAUUUAUGGUUCAAGCACUACAAUAACUAAGAAUGUGAUGACUGUCCACAAACACUAUAUCAGUGCCUUUUGAACUACAUCACAUGCUUGAAGACUUUUUUUUUAGUCAUACAUAAAUUAGCUAUAAAAUCAAGACCCUUAUACAACUAAAAAGAAAGAAAAAUUGUUUGCUACUACAUAUCAAAACUGGUAAUAGCAAUGUAAGAUGGCAGACUUCUUACUUAAACAGAUGAGAGGCUACAAAUAAAAAAUUUGUGCAAAUAAAAUAUAUGAUAAAGAGCAUAAUACUUUCUUGGGGGCUAAAAAUAAUAUACAACUUGUGAAAUAUAAAUUGAGCUACCAUUACCUUUUAGAUGUGGCAACUUUCGACUUUUGAGGCACCUUGGAAUAUGCAUUCAGAAUCCUGCAUUUGGAAGCCAAAUAAAUAAUGUUAAUAACAAUUUUACAAUAGAAAAAUUAAAAAUUGAUAAAUGGCAGUUGUAAUUUAUGUAUGGUAAAGAUAGCAUCACAUCCAGGUUCCUCCCAUAAACAUGCUUGUAACAAGAAUUAGUUUGCCUCAACUGCUAGCAACUAUACAAUAGUAAAAAUCACUCUUAUGAACUCAACAAUACUAGGCACCAAUAAGAGUAUGACACAGCCAUUCUAAAUGGAAGAGAAUACAACUGUUUUACAACUAUGUUGCAUCAGGAGAUAUGUUAGGAGGAUUAAUCCAGAUACCUUCCAACCCAAAUUAGGAAAACUCGAGUCAGAAACCAGGAGCUGCAACCAAACCUUACAAUCUUGAAGGAAGAAGGAGACUUGGGGCAUUUUUCCAGAUAGGUGACUUACAAGAUCUCCUGCCAAGAAAAUAUCUAUUGCUUUGAACCUCCAUUGAAAUUUCUUUUCCUUUUUUCUUGUUUUGACUUGGAACUUUCCAGCAUCAUCUAUUUGAUCUUUUUUAAAGCUAAAAUAGCAAUCUAUGCGUUGUCAACAUCUUAUCCCCCGCCCCCCCGGGGGGCCACCAAAAAAAAAAAAAACCAAUGAGUUGUCAAUAAAUAGCGCCUACUCAACUUAUGUUCUCCAAUGAUGACAAUGUGCAAAUUGACCUAGCAGCCACAUUUUUCCCCCUUUCAACCACCAUUAGGCAACUUUUCUAACCUUUCUUCAUUGCCCACGUCUACAGAACUAUCAUAUAAAGACUACAUUAUUAUUGGGACAGAGAAAAAAAUACAGACUAUAUUAUUAUUAUAUCUCAUUUUAUUAAUUAACUAGUGCAAGACUUAUUUAGUGUCAAAUCAAGAACUAAUUAGAAAAGACAACUCAUGAUAAUACAGACUUUAAAAAGCAAUAGCUAGCAAACCCCAUAUACUCCUAUUUUAGCCUUCAAUAUCCUGGUAAAAAACACAAUUAAGUCUAGCAAAAGAACAUUCACAAGUAAAUUCAACAUUAAUUAAGAUUAAGUAUCUACUGCACCUUCAAUCAAUGACUCGGUGAAUAGCAUGGUCAACCAUCUAGUUCCUGUAGCCCCUUGUACCUAUGUUAGUUACAUUUUACAUAUUAAGCCACGAAAAUGAAGGAUCACAGCCUGGUAAAGAAAGCCAUUAAUUAAUAGUUUUUGUUUAAAAAGUUCUCGUUUAGAUCUUUCCUAUUCAAUGAAUCAAUGUAAUCCAAGGAGAACUCUUCCAUUUCAAGCAGUGUUAGAAGAUAAUUGGAAAGCCUAAAGAUAAUAUACAGGACCAAGAUAUCGAUUAGGUCAAAUAGUGAAUGUCAAAUAUAAAAAAUAAAUAAAAGAAGUUGUACAUGAUCAUUUACUAUCAAGUUCUGUAAAACUGAAAAUACCAUUAUCCCUGUAGAGAUUCUCAAACAACUCUUUAGCAAAUUAUAAAAUAGUUAAAAAAAGAACGAAAGUUUAAAAAAAAAAAAUGUACAACAGCCAUAUCAGGAGAUGUUUUUCUUCUCAAUCUCAAUAUUUUCUAGCCGUAAACAAUUGAAAAGCUUAACACCAAGUGAAUUAUUAAGAAUUCAUCAUUUAAAUUCCCAAAUCGUAAAUGUUGGUGCAACUACGAAAGUGCAAAUGCAAUCACUUUACUUACACAAGAAACAUCAAUAGUGAGAAGCCAACUUUGUAUCAAAUUUGAAGCAGAUAGAUAGAGGUCAAAAAAAUUAUAAAGACACUCAAUUAAAAGCCUUUCAAACAGCUUUUGCAUGCAACAAGAACAAAUCAAAGGCGAUGUGAAUGUAUUCAAAGACUAAUUUACAAUCAUCUACAGGACAUAAAUAUCUUGGAUAACUACUCUCUAUACCUUACUGUCCCACUGAAAAUCAUCAAAUCCUCCAAACAAAAAUGACAAAAUGGAUAAGAAUUGUGUGGUCAAACAUCAAUAACUUAGCAGCCACAGCAAAAACUUAUGUAGACACGCAAGCCACUCAAAAUAGUCAUAUUGUUUGCUUUCCAAACACAAGCCACUUUGUAAUGAAUAUUCAUAAAUUGCUACUACCAUGUUUGUUAAAACACGUGAAAACCGCCAUCACUAACUAAAUGUAACUGAUGAUCAUCAUCACGUUCAUGGAAUCACAUGUCUGACAGUAUUAAUUNGUUGAAAAGUAGUCUGUAAAAUUAACUCAAACCGCUACAUACGCUAUUGCAACCCAAUUGAGGGCCCAUUUUUGUUUAUUUCGUUGAAAAGUAGUUCGCGCAAUUAAUUCAAACCGCUACACACACUAUUGCAUCUUUUGAAAAAGAAAAAUGGAAUAAUUUUUCAAAAUUAAUUUAGAGAAUAAGAUUUACUAAUAAUGAUGUUAGAAAUCUUGAUAUUUGAAUCUUAAUAUUAUCUAUCACUCAUUUAUUAAAUAAUAGAUUUCAUAGUUUGUAAAAUUACUUAACCACUUGAUAAAUGUUAUAUUUGUUGGGACUAGAUUGGGACUUAAAUAUUGGAAUAUCUAGUAUUGCAUAAAAAAAAAACUUAACAAUUUAUCUUCACACGACUAAUUGUUUUUACAUCACAACUAACCUUAAUUAUUUUAAAAGUUAUGCAUUAUUAAAUUGCCCUAACUAGUUAUCAAAAGGUGAAAGCAUGUUUAAAAAAGAAAUUACUAAGAAACAUUUGUUUAAACGAAGGUUAAGGUUAUGAUCAAUUAAUUAAGAAGAAACUUACUAUCAAAGGUUAAGAUUAUGAACAAUUUAAGGAAGUUAUUGAGUAGAGAAAGGGACAGAAUGGUUGUCUGAUUUGCCGGUGACAAGAAUGCUUGUGUUGUGAAAAGAAAUCCGAUGGUUUGUAAAUUUGUUGAAUUGGUCCCAAUUAGUAUAGUAACCAUCUAUUGAGCGGUAAAAUAUUAAUUUAAAUAGUCAUGAAAUCUAAUAUAUAAUAGAUUACUAACACACAUAAAUUAAAACUUAACUGUCAGAAAUCAUAACAUUAUCUAGCUUCAGUGGAGUUCUCUUAACAGAUUAUGUGAGAUUGCCUAUAUUAAAAAAUAUGUUAAGACUGCUUGUUGAAAGCAAUAUUCGCUUUUGAUUAUAUCCAUAACUUUGAAUUGAUAAAGUUGUAUUCAACAACUCUUGAAAAGACUAAGCAGGUCUUCUUUGCAUUUGAUCACUGGUAUUUCAGUUAAGUUUGUCGUUUACUUAAAUUUUUCUUGCUUUCAAUUUCCACUGUUGUUUUUUUUUUUAAUAAAAUAAAUUGUUUAACUAGUCAUAGAAAUAAGAGAGAAAUGGGUCAUUUCUUGACUCAAAGUCAAUUAUAAUUAUCAAAACUUGAGGGGACAUCGCAUGCCUAAAUUCCACGCACCCUAAAACAGUUUGAUUUGCUUUCACGCGUUCAUGAAUUUCCAUGAAAGAGCCUGUCUUUCGUCUCUUUCGGGACAAUGACUACAAUUAUGGAAAAAAAUUAUAAUUCUCGUUAGAUUGUAACCAAAUUAUUAUCCCUAAUUUUUUAAAGUUAAAUAAAAUAAAAUUCAUGCUUAAGUAUUUAGUAAUUAGAGAGAGAUAGAGAGGAUUGAGGGACAAUGUUUCGCGAUUUGGGGUCAAUUCAAAGUCAACUAACGUGUAAAACACGUGUAUGCAUAGAAAACGCUUAGAUUAUUUGUGUUCCAAGUGCAAGAAAUUAAGAAAAGAAAAUUGAUUUCCUUUCAUGAACUUCCAAGAAAGAAAGAAGACCCUUCACCUUGUUCGUGACAACAAAUGAAUGAAUGAUGUUGAUAUGACAAAUACAAGCGCUAUUACAGGGAACAGCAUAAGACCGAGACUUGAUAAAAGGUUUGUUGAAUUACAUGUUAUUUUCUUUUGACUUGAAUGAUGUUGAAAAUAAAAUAAAAUAAAAUUGUAAUCAGGGUGAUGUGUGCAAUAUAGUGAAAUAAAUAAAUAGAGAAGAGAAAUUCGUUGAUCAAUAUUAAAGAACUCAUCCAAAGUGAUCGUCAAAGUCUAGAGGUUCGGUAUGAUUAGCAUUUAUUUUUAUUUUUUUUGGCUUAGCAUCAUAUAUAGUCACUGUCGUGUGAUCUAGGACAUGUUUAGAAAUCCUUUUAUUUUAACUUCCGUAUUCUUAUUAUUUAAUUAGUUAUAAAGUUUUUAAGUAUUUGAGUAUUGAUCACAUGUCUCCUAAUCUAAAAAUAUGUUUUUACGAGUACAAAUAACAAACUAUGAUUUUAACAUCCUUUUAUACUAAACCCUAAAAAUACAUGAAUUUAUCAAAAUAAGUAAAUUAAUUUAAAUUGGUAUGGCAUAAUAGAAGUUUUACCUGCCAAAACAAAUUAAAAAAAUAUUACACUUAAAUCAAAUAUUGACAAAAAUAGAUAACAAUCUAAUGAGAAUCUUAACUAGACAUUUUUAAUUCUAUCCAAUUUAACUGGAACGAGAAUUAAGUCCUUUCAAUACUUAGGACUCAUAACUCAUACACACUAGUUUGAGAGUGUGGGGUGUGACAAUGGGACCAUUGACAAGUAUAAAAGAGUGGUCGCAAUUAAUUCAAACCACUACACACGCUAUAUUGAGGGCCCACUUUUGUUUAUUUCGUUGAAAAGUAGUUUUCACAAUUAAUUCAAACCGCUACACACGCUAUUGCGUCUUUUAAAAAAGAAAAAUGGAAUAGUUUUCCAAAAUUAAUUCAGAGAAGAAGAUUUACUAAUAAUGAUGUUAGAAAUCUUAAUAUUAUGUAUCACUCAUUUAUUAAAUAAUAGAUUUCAUAGUUUGUAAAUUUACUUAACCACUUGAUAAAUGUUAUAUUUGUUGGGACUAAAUUGGGACUUAAUGUUGGAAUAUCUAGUAUUGCAUAAAAAAAUAAAUAAAAACUUAACAAUUUAUCUUCGCAUGACUAAUUGUUUUUACAUCACAACUAACCUUAGUUAUUUUUUAAAGUUAUAGUAUUAUUAAAUUGCCCUAACUGGUUAUCAAAAGAGGAAAGCAUGUUAAAAUAAGAAAUUACUAAGAAACAUGUGCUUAAACAGAGGUUAAGGCUACGAAUAAUUAAGAAGAAACAACUUACAAUCAAAGGUUAAGAUUAUGAACAAAUUAAGGAAGGUAUUGAGCAGAUAAAGGGACGGAAUCAUUGUCUGAAUUGCCGGUGACAAGAAUGCUUGUGUUGUGAAAAGAAAUCUGAUGGUUUGUAAAUUGUUGAAUUUUUUAUUCGCUCGCUCCAACUGACUUACUAAUGCCAAAUUUAUUACUUUGCACAGUAGUGUUUAGGAUCCUCAAGAUCAACUCUUAAUUUGGUCCCAAUUAGUGCAGAAAUCAUCUAUUGAGCAAUAGAAUAAGAAUUUUUCUAGUCAUGAAAUUUAAAUAUAUAAUAUAUCCUUGACACACAUCGAUUAGAACUUAAUUGUUAGAAUUCAUAACAUUACUCUACUCUCAAGGGGAGUUCUCUUAACAUAUUAUGUUAGGUUGCCUACAUUCAAAAUAUGUUAGACUGCUCUUUGAAAGCAAUAUUCCCUUUUCCGUAACUUUGAAUUGAUCCAAUAGCUCUUGAAAAGCACAUAAUAAUCAUUAUAAAUUUAAUCAAAGACUAAGCAGGUCUUCUUUGCAUUUGAUCACUGGCAUUUCAGUUAAGUAUGUCAUUUACUUAAAUUUUUCUUGCUUUCAAUUUUCACUGUUGUUUUUUUUUUUAAUAAAAUAAUUUGUUUAACUAGUCACAGAAAUAAGAGAGAAAAUGGGCCAUUUCUUGACUCAAAGUCAAUUAUAAUUAUCAAAACUUGAGCGGACAUUGCAUGCCUAAAUUCCACACACCCUAAAACGGUUUGAUUUGCUUUCACGCGUUCAUGAUUUUCCAUGAAAGAGAGUGCCUCUCGUCUCUUUCCGGACAGUGACGACAAUUAUGUUAACGUGACAAAUACAUAACGUUAUUACAUACAAGAAUAAGUUUUUGGAGCCGAGACUUGAGGGAGGUUCUAUCUAAUUCUAAAGAUUGUAACCAAAUCAUUAUCCCCAAUUUUUUUCAGUUAAAUAAAAUAAAAUUUAUGCUUAAGUAUAAAUAAAAUCCAUAGUGGAUAAAUAUUUGAUUAUCGAUUUUUUUUAAUGUAAAAUUGCUGGUUUGUUGCUUAAAAUUUUCAAUAAUAAUUUCACUUAUUUAGUAAUUAGAGAGAGAGAGAGGAUUGAGGGCCAAUGUUUCGCGAUUUGGGGUCAAUUCAAAGUCAACUAAGGUGUAAAACAUGAUUUCCUUUCAUGAACUUCGAAGAAAGAAAGAAGACUCUUCACCUUCUUCAUGACAACGAAUGAUGUUGAUAUGACAAAUACAAUCGCUAUUACAGGGAACAGCAUAAGACCGAAAUUUGAUAAAGGGUUUGUUAAAUUACAUGUUAUUUUCUUGUUAACUGAAUUGGAAGAAAAAAUAAAAAUAAAAUAAAAUUGUAAUCAGUGUGAUGUGUGGAAUAUAUUGAAAUAAAUAAAUAGAGAAGAGAAAUUCGUUGAUCAAUAUUCAAGAACUCAUCCAAAGUGACUGUUAAAGUCUAGAGGUUCCGUAUGAUUAGCAUUUAUUUUUAAUUUUUUGGCUUAACAUCAUAUGUAGUCACUGGUCGUGUGAUCUAGGACAGGUUUAGAAAUCUUUUUUUUUUUUUAACUUCCGUAUUCUUAUUAUUUAAUUAGUUAUAGGGUUUUUUAGUAUUUGAGUAGUGAUCACAGGUCUCCUAAUCUAAAAUUAUGUUUUACGAGUACAAAUAAAAACUAGGAUUUUAACAGCCUUUUAUACUGAACCCUAAAAAUACAUGAAUUUAUCAAAAUAAAUAAAUUUGAAUUGGUAUGCCAUAAUAAAAAUUUUACUUGCCAAAACAAAUUAAAAAAAAAUAUGACGCUUAAAUCAAAUAUCGACAAAAAUAGAUAAAAAUCCAACAAGAAUCUCAAAAAUAAGAAAGAUAUCUUCAAAAUAGAAGCGUCCAAGAGAAAUUUGGCGAAGAUUUGCUAAUCCACAUUGAAAAUGUCACUUUUCCUUGAGAACUUCAUAAUGAUAUAUUAUGAGCCUAAGACAAAUACCAAUUACUCAAGUUAUGGCCCUAUGAAGACAUCCUAUUCAUUCUCCCUAGACCAGGACGUGUCGCACAUGUUUGCAUUCAAAUUUAGGUGAAAAUCUACUCUCAUUCAAGGGAUAUAUAGGUACCUGUGAAGUCUCAAACCCGAGAUAAUGUGAAAGCAAAUCGGGAGUUUGAUUAAAUUCAGCCAAUUAUUAGUGUGUACGGAUGGUAGGGAUGGAAAAAAACUCCGACCGUUCUUAGGUAUGGUAUUACCCAGAUCUGGCCUAAGCAUGUUUUUUUGAACACUCAGAAUUUUUUAAUCAAAACUUAAAAAACCUAGAAUUUAUAUUUUAUAAUAUUAUAUAUAUUUAUUUUAUUUUAUAAUUUUAUAUUUUCAAAUUUUAUUUUAAUGAAUUGGAAUUAAAAAUAUGAGUUUUAAAUGUUUAAAAUUUUAAAAAUAGAUAAUAAGUGGACCAAAUGAACAAAAUAAUAGAUAUUUAUAAUAUUCUUCAUAAAAAUCCAAGUUUUGAGCUAGCCCAUAAGCUUGUCUAGUGAAGUCUGGGUACCCGCGUUGCCCAAGGUUCCGUCAGAAUCCAGGCUGUGCAGAUAUUUAUGGACGGAGAGGAAAUAUUUUCAGUUGACUGAAUUAAAUAAAAAUAUAUUACAAUCAUAUUAUAUAUUAACAGUAAAAAUAAAAAGAAAUGAAGAAAAACGCAUGCAAGACUUAGACAAAGUCAAUUAAAAGCUGGAGUAUCAUCAGUUCAAUUGGUUUUAAAUAGCGUAGAGCCAUCCUCUCGUUGUUGCAGAAGAGAGACAGAAAGAGUGUGUGUAGGCGAUUAUAAUUAAGCAGAUAUAAUGUGUGGUUCAAAAAGAGUGUGGGUGAGUGAGUUAAUUUUCAUAUUAUUAGUAGUAAAAGGGUGGUGGAGUGAGGGAUGUUUGGGCAAGAGGUCUGCUCUCCUCCAACUCAGACAUUUCUUCAAUGAUGAUCACCGUCUUCAAAACUGGGUAGACGAUGAGUAUUAUUCAGAUUGUUGUCAGUGGGAACGGGUUGAGUGCAACGACACCACUGGCAGAGUGAUUGAAUUAGAUCUAGCAGUAACUCGGAAUUGGGAAUCAGCAGAGUGGUAUAUGAAUGCCUCUCUGUUUACUCCUUUUGAACAAUUAGAGUCUCUUGAUCUAAUAGGGAACAAUAUAGCCGGUUGUGUUGAAAAUGAGGUCCGUAAUUUACUCUAUUUUAAUUCUUCCUCAUAAUUUUUUCCAUUUAUCUGAUCCCUUUUGGUUUUUAUUUAAUUGUAUGUGAUACAAUAAAAUUACUUUUUAUUUUUUGGCAGGUCUAGAUAGGUUAUCAAGUUGAACAACUUGAAGUUUCUUUAUUUAGACCUUAACCACUUCAACAACAGCAUCUUUUCAUCUCUAGGUGGUCUUUCAUCACUCAGAAACUUAUCAUUGGCUGCUAAUCGAUUGAAUGGAAGUGUUGAUAUUAAAGGUAAGUAAGCUUCAUCCCUUCUCCCCUGUCCCAUCUUUUGUGGAUCUUAUUUCACUGAGCAGCUGGAAGUAUUGAUACGAGAUCUAGCUAGACUCUUGCGAGUUUAGGCUUCACGGCUUUGAAUAGUAUAAAAAUAAGUUGAAGAAAUUAUCAAUAUAUUGCAAUUUUCAAUGCUUCUCAUAAUCAGACACAAUUCAAUCUAAUUAUUUCGUAUGUCCUGUCUUCAAAAGUAAAGAAUUGUACACUAAUUGGAAAUCGACAUCGUAGCUUUUUAUUUUCUGUAAUGCUAUUUCUUCGUUAACAAGUUUAUAUCCUAAGAGGGAUUGGAUUGAAAAAAAAAAAAGAAGUUUUGAUGUUCAAUGUAAGCCAUGAUAACCUGCAUCUUAUUUGUCUGCCGACAUCCAAAUUUGUGCACUGAAUUUAGUAUUUUGGUUAUUGUGAAGGGAUCAGAUAUUGGCUUCCAUAGACCAACUUGUAUUUACUUAAUUAAUUAAUUAACGACAUUUAGUAUUUAACAAAUUAAAAUUUCAUGUUUAAUCUAUUUUAAUUUUUUAAGAAAAAAGAAAUAGAUAUAGCAGCAGGUAAAGCUGAAAUAAAUUUUAAUUCCUUACAAAUUUAAAUUCAUGGUUGUCAGCUAAAUAUAACUGCUUAAAGCCACUCUUUUCGCUGAGAUUUAACCAAAAAAAAAGGAGAAAAUAAUUUAUUUAAUUAACUCUGUUUUAAGUGUUGGAAUAAAUACAGGACUAGAAUCCUUGAGUAACUUGGAGAUGCUGGACAUGAGGGACAAUGCAAUCGACAAUCUAGUGGUUCCUAAAGGUAUACAAAAUGACACUAACCCAAAAUAAUUUAAUCCGAAAUUGUAUCCCAAAUAGAUUACAGAGGUUUGAGGAAGUUGGAUACCCUUUAUUUGGGGGGGAAGGGAAAUUGCAGUGAUAUAUGGAAGCAAGGUGUUGCAAUCAAUAAAGAAAUUCGUUGGUCAAUAUUCAAGGACUCAUCCAAAGUAAUCGUUAAACAUUUCUUCAAUGAUGAUCAACGUCUCAAAACUAGGUAGACGCGGGAGAUGAUGAGAAUAAUUUAGAUUGUUGUCAGUGGGAAGGGAUUGAGUGCAACAAAACCACAGGCAGAGUGAUUAAAUUAGAAUCUAGCACAAACUCGAAAAUGGGAAUCAGCGAAGUGGUAUAUGAAUGCCUCUCUGUUUACUCCCUUUCAACAAUUAGAGUCUCUUGAUCUAAUUGGGAACAAUAUAGCUGAUUGUGUUAAAAACGAAGGUCAUUAAUUUACUCUAUUUUAAUUCUUCCUCCUCGUAAUUUCUUACAUCUAUCUGAUCCCUUUCGGCUUUUGUUUAAUUUGUACGUGAUACAAUAAAAUUAUUUUUUUUUCAGGUCUGGAGAGGUUAUCAAGGUUGAACAACUUGAAGUUUCUUGAUUUAGGCUUUAACCACUUCAACAACAGCAUCUUUUCAUCUCUAGGUGGUCUUUCAUCACUUAGACACUUAUCAUUGGCUGAUAAUAGAUUGAAUGGAAGUAUUGAUGUUAAAGAUAAGCAAGCUUCAUCCCUUCUCUCGUGUCCCAUCUUUGUGGAUCUUAUUUCAUCGACCAGCUGGAAGUAUUGAUACGAGAUCUAGCUAGACUCUUGCUAGUUUAAGCUUCAAGGCUUUGAAUAUUAUAAAAAUAAGUUUAAGGAAUUAUCAAUAUAUGCAAUUUUCUAUGCUUCUCAUAAUCAGACACAAUUCAAUCUAAUUAUUUCGUAUGUCAUGUCUUCAAAAGUAAAGAAUUGUACACUAAACGGAAAUCGACAUUGUAGCUUUUAAUUUUUCUAAUGCUCUUUCUUUGUUAACGAGUUUAUAUCCUGAGAGUGGAUUGGAUUAAAAAAAAAAAAAAAAAAAGUUUUGAUGUUCAAGGUAAGCCAUAAUAACAUGCAUCUUAUUUAUCUGCCUAUAUCUAAAUUUGUGCACUGAAUUUAGUAUUUUGGUUAGUGUGAAGGGAUCAGAUAUUGGCUUCCAUAAACCAACUUGUAUUUACUUAAUUAAUUAAUUAACACCAUUUAGUAUUUAACAAAUUAAAAUUUCGUGUUUAAUUUGUCUUAUUUUUUAUUUUUUGAAGCAAGAAUAAGGUAUAGCAGUAGGUAAAGUUGAAAUACAUAUUUAUUCCUUACAAAUUUAAAUUCGUUUUCAGCCAAAUAUACCUACUUAAAACCACUCAAUCAGGCCAUUGGCAACAGUUUUUAGGUUUUUCUAGUUAACCGUGUACUUUUUUGCUUAUUAAUAAAAUUCUUUUGUGCUGAGAUUUAAAAUAAAGAAGGAGAAAAUAAGUUAUUUAAUUAACCCUGUUUUUAAGUGUUGGCAUAAAUACAGGACUGGAUUCCUUGAGUAACUUGGAGGAGCUGGACAUGACAGGCAAUGCAAUCGAUAAUCUUGUGGUUCCUAAAGGUAUACAAAAUGUUCAAAUAUUAAUAAUUUGGAGGACAGUUUAAUUGAUUUGAUUAGGAAUGCCCAAUGACACUUACCCAAAAUAAUUUAAUCUGAAAUUGUAUCCAAAACAGAUUUCAGAGGUUUGAGGAAGUUGAAUACCCUUCGUAUAGGGGGAACCAGAAUUCAAAUGAUAGAUGGAAGCAAGGUGUUGCAAUCAAUAGGAUCACUACCGUCCCUCAAAACACUUGACCUUUGGUAUACUAAUUUUACGGGAACAGUAGUUAAUCAAGGUAAGUAAAUCUUUUAUGUCGAAAAUAAUUGAAUUAAUAUAUAUAGCUAAAAUUUAUUGUUUCUACUUCUUUCUAAAUAGAAUUGCACAAUUUCACCAACUUGGAAGAAUUGAUAUUGCUCGAGUCUGAUCUCCAUGUAAGCCAGCUUCUACAAAGCAUCGCAUCAUUCACUUCGUUAAAGUAUUUGUCAAUGGGAGGUUGUACUUAAUGAAGCAAUUAUGGGUAUCCAAAAGAUUUUUUCUUAAUUCGAUAAUAAAUUAUGGGUAUCUGAAGCUUUUAUGAUAUUAAUUCGAUAAUAAUUCUUUCUUUUCAAGUUAAUUUUUUCCCCUAAAAUAAGAUUUUUUUUCUUUUAAAUUUCAUAUAUUUUCAUUGUCCAAUAGUUCUAGCUUCUCUUAAUUGCAGGAUUCUUGAUUAAGGUUAAUGAAAUUUUAGUUCUGUUAUGUUAAGAAUAUUUCGAUCGCUUAGAAGAGUAAAGAAAAAUAAGUAAAUUAACCAAAAAAAAAAGAGAAAAGGACCGGAUUAUCCUUAUUCCCUUGCAUUAUGUGAUCAAUAUCAAAAUUAUAACCAUUUCUUGUUUAUUGCUUGUAGAUUUUCUUAAAUUCAAGAAUUUGGAACAUCUGGACAUGGGUGGGGGCGCAAGUUGACGUCAACACCAGUUUUCUUCAAAUUGUCGGCGAAUCGAUGCCUUCUCUUAAGUUUUUAUCACUGACAGGUUCAAGUCUUAAUAAAAACGCCAUUCUUGAUCAAGGUUAGUUAAUGAUUCUCUUUCUCCCUCUCUCGCAUCUUAACUAAAUUUAAUUGAGAAUAUCUAUAAUGCUAGCUAUUUAUAAACUUAAUGAAAGAUGAUAAGGAGCUACUAUAAUGACAAAAACAACUGUAAAAUAGUGCGCUGUUGUAGUGUUAAUUGAAAAAUAAUGCUAAUUUUAUAGUCAUUUUGUUGCCAUUACGUCAGAUUCCAUUGUUCAAUUAUUUAAGUUUUAUGCAAAUAUAUUUUUCAGGACUUUGUCGGUUAGUGCAUCUACAAGAGUUAUACAUCGGCGGUAAUGAUUUGAGAGGUAGCUUGCCAUGGUGCUUGGCAAACAUGACAUCCCUCCAAGUGUUAGAUGCCUCUUUUAAUCAACUUACUGGAAACAUCUCCCCAGGCCUUUGUGAGUUGGUGCUUCUGAGAGAGUUAUACAUUGAUUACAAUUAUUUAAGAGGUAGCUUGCCUUUGUGCUUGGCAAAUUUGACUUCCCUUCGAGUAUUAGAUGUCUCUUACAAUCAACUUACUGAAAACAUCUCAUCUUCCCUCAUGCAUCUAAUAUCUAUGGAAAAGCUCAUACUUUCAAAUAAUCACUUCUUCCAAAUCCCUAUUUCACUUGAACCACUUUUCAAUCUCACAAAACUCAAGACUUUCGAUGGUGAAAUAUACGCAGAAACUGAGUCACAUUAUAAUUCUUUGACCCCAAAAUUCCAAUUGACUUCUAUCUCAUUGUCUGGCUACGGAGAUGGUGGCACAUUUCCCAAAUUCUUGUACCAUCAGCAUGACUUGAAGAAUGCUGAUCUCUCACACCUUAACUUGAGUGGAAAUUUUCCAAAUUGGUUGGUAGAAAACAAUACGAACUUAGAGACGCUUCUUCUUGCCAAUAACUCUCUUUUUGGAUCAUUUCGGAUGCCAAUUCAUUCCCACCAGAAAUUAGCAACAUUGGAUGUCUCCAACAAUUUCUUUCAAGGCCAUAUCCCAGUAGAAAUCGGAACAUAUCUGCCAGGCUUAAUGCAUUUAAACUUAUCUAGAAAUGCUUUCAACGGUAGCAUUCCCUCUUCAUUUGCUGAUACGAAAAUGUUGAAAAGCUUGGACAUAUCCUACAAUCAGUUGACUGGUGAAAUCCCUGAGCGCAUGGCCAUGGGUUGCUUCUCAUUGGAAAUUCUUGCAUUGUCAAACAACAGUUUGCAAGGUCAUAUAUUCUCUAAAAAAUUUAACUUGACAAAUUUGAUGAUGUUGCAGUUGGAUGGUAAUAAAUUCAUUGGAGAGAUCCCAGAAAGCUUAUCUAAGUGCUAUUUGUUGGGAGGAUUGUAUCUGAGUGAUAAUCAUCUCUCUGGUGAGAUUCCAAGAUGGUUGGGUAAUUUGUCAGGUUUAGAAGAUAUUAUAAUGCCCAAUAACAAUCUUGAAGGACCAAUUCCAAUCGAGUUUUGUCAGCUUGAUUAUCUGAAGAUUUUAGACCUUUCAAACAAUAGUAUUUUUGGAACUUUACCAUCUUGUUUUAGUCCAGCAUCUAUCGAACAAGUUCAUUUGUCGAAAAACAAGAUAGAAGGACGGCUGGAGAGUAUAAUCCAUGACAGCCCUCAUUUGGUGACAUUCGAUCUUAGUUAUAACAGCUUACACGGAAGUAUUCCAAAUCGGAUUGACAGACUACCUCAGUUAAACUACCUUCUUUUAGCUCAUAAUUAUAUUAAAGGCGAAAUACCAGUUCAAUUAUGCCAGUUGAAGGAAGUGCGGUUGAUUGAUCUUUCUCAUAAUAAUCUAUCUGGUCAUAUUCCUCCUUGCUUGGUUAACACUUCACUCAGUGAAGGUCAUCAUGAGGCAGUAGCUCCAACUUCUAGUUCGUGUGGUCGAGCGUCUGGCUAUGCAAGUCCAUGUGCGAAAAAUACAAGUGGACUUCCGAUGGGAAAGGAAGAAACUGUACAGUUCACAACAAAGAAUAUGUCCUACUAUUAUCAAGGAAGAAUUUUGACGAGUAUGUCUGGGAUUGAUCUUUCUUGUAACAAACUGACAGGUGAGAUUCCUACUCAAAUUGGAUAUCUUACAAGGAUUCGUGCGCUAAAUCUAUCUCAUAACAAUUUGACGGGCACAAUCCCGACAACAUUUUCAAACCUGAAGCAAAUCGAAAGCUUGGACCUCUCCUACAACCUACUGCAUGGGAAAAUCCCUUCUCAGCUCACUGUGCUAAAUACAUUGGCGGUCUUCACAGUAGCAUACAAUAACUUAUCAGGAAAAAUUCCAGAUAGAGUUGCACAAUUUUCAACUUUUGAGGAAGAUAGCUAUGAGGGGAAUCCUUUUCUUUGUGGAUGGCCACUGUCUAAAAGUUGCAAUGAUAGUGGAUUAUCAGCAGUGACACGAGAAGCUUACACUGAUAAUGAAGAAGGUGAUAGUUUAAUUGACAUGGACAGUUUCCUAAUCACUUUUACAGUAUCUUAUGGAAUUGUGAUAUUAGGAAUUAUUGGAGUUUUGUACAUAAACCCCUAUUGGCGACGAAGAUGGUUUUACCUUGUUGAAGUAUGUAUGAUCUCUUGCUACUAUUUUGUAGUAGAUAAUCUUAUUCCUAGAAGAUUCUAUGGUGGAUGGAUGUAAUUUCAUUUACUUUACAACUUAUAUGUAAUUUUUUAAAGAAUUUUCUUUUGCAUGCAUGGAAUAGCAACUCAAUAAAAGUAUUUGAUGCAAAUUGUCCUAGAACAACUUAGUAAUUUCAUUGCUACUAUUUGGUUGUAUAUAUACAGUUAAUGAAAUUUUUAAUCAUUCGCAGUAGGAAAUUUCUUUAGAUGGCGGCCAAAACUAACAGAUUUGGGGCUCUACUUCUACACAUCAUAACAGGCAAAAGGUCUCUCUUUUACACGAUCUGAAUGAAGAUUAACUUACGCCCUCUAGGCUCUGGAGUGUGUGUAAGUUCUCUAUUAAACUUGACGGUUGAGAUUUCAGGUCCAGAUGAAAGUGAAAUGCAGGCGACGAGACUACACUUUAAGUAAACUGGGACAAACUUAAAAUAAAAAAAAUUGUAGUCCAGGGUGAGAGUGAUGGGUAGCUCAACUUAUGGAGGAUAACUAGGACUUGGAAUAACUAUCAGAUUUGCAACUCUUGUUAUAUGCUAGUGGGGAUUUAGGUAGAAAUUUUUUUUUUUUUCCUUUUUGCCCUCUUCCUCACAAUAAAAACACGUAACACACCAAGCCGUGCCCAAAAUAAUCCUAUUUUAUUCAUGUCAUGAAUCCAAAAACUAUCCCAGCUCACUUUGUUUAACCAGCAUAACUAAAUUGUGGGUAUAAAUGAACACACUUUCGAAGCCUGUAACUUAUAAUAAGCUCAAACCCAAAAAUGACAUUUAAAUCCUGCAAGUGUUUUUCAUCAUCCCUAACAAAAAGAAACAAGAAUAAUUAUAUACCAAUAAUUUUUCCAUAAAAAAUACUGAUUUGAGUUGAAACACUAUACAAACUGGGUUUUAUACACUUGCAGAAAGCUACACGGUAGACAAAAUCUAGCAGCUACAUAUUGGUAUCACUUUCAGCUGGUCAUGAAUGGUGUGCAUUCAGCAGUGCUCGAUAGACCAUGUCUAUGAAUUGAUUGUCCUAUUACAUAUAAAAGCUGGUCAGAUAUACAAGGAAAAAAAUAAUAAUUGAAAAUGCAUCACAAAAAAUAAGUGUUUCGCAUUAGUGUUUGCACUCUAAGCAUGGCAAAGUGGUGCGGGGUUCAUGAUUUUGAAGACUGUGAUAAGUGAAAAAUAGUUCAAUCCACUGAUGAACAUAAAUUUAUUUACAUGUCAAUUUAGAUAUCAUCAAAAAGUAACAGUAAUUCAGAGUCACUUAAAAUAGUUGAUAAAAUGCGUGCCAUGAAUGUAUUUUGUACAUAAGAAAUCCAAAGAGUAUUUCUGACAAUACAAAUAUGCUAGCUUUAAGUCUGCUGUCAAUAUGCAAUUAAGAAGAUUAUACCAGCUGCAUGAUAAAGUUCCCCUAAUCUUAAUAACAGUAAACAUGAACAUGUCAGAUGCAAUUAUAGCUUUGAGCAUUUGCAUAACCAGAAAUCCUAACCUGAACAAGCACCAGAAGUGUCUCUCGGACUUUCUCCUUGCUGAUAAAUGGUCCGCUGUCUGAAGUAAGAGCAGGAGUAAGAGAUGGUGGAGGGGUUGGUGGUGGAAAAGGUUGAAGCACUGGGGCACCAUAUGGGCGUUGCAGACUCGGGGGAGGAUUAAGUGGCGGAGCUGUUGGUGUAGAUGAAGAGACAAGCUGCAUCAUCCGUGCAUAGGAGGAUGGAGGAGGAACAAAGAAUAAGGAAGGCUUUACAAGAUUAGGGGUAGGUGCUGAUAGAGGUGGAGAUGGUAUUUGCAAAGUUGGCACGAUAGGAGAAGCAACACUGGCGGAUGAGAAGGUAAAGAAAUAGUUGUAUUGGACUGGUAAGGUUGUGCAGAGAUUGCUGCAUUAGAAUUAUUCCCCACAGUCAAAGCUGUCUGCAAUGAUAAGGACAGAUGUCAUAUAAAAGGACAUCAUAGAAGUUGAACCUCACACAAAAAUGAAGUGAUAACAUAUGAAAAUAGUAUAUGACUUGCUGCAUUUUUGUGGUAAUGUUGCAUACUUAUGUAGAAACAUAUUAUUUCAAAGAAAACAUACACUGAAGAAGUUCACAAAAGCAGGAUCUUCAGGAACAUCAACAGCAUUUGAGGGAGUUGACUCUAGAGGACCAUCCAUAACUGCCAUAGUUGGAACAGCUUCCAGUUCCUCAAACUCACUGCAGUUUAACAUAAAAGGAACUUGAUGACCAAUUUAAGUAAUAAUUAGAUGAUAUAAGAGGUUAGGGAAAAUGAUGAGUGGACCCUUAUGGAAGAUGAUUUCACCUUAGCUAAACACGAAAAUAAAAUGAAAUCAAAGCUGAAUCCUCGAGUGCAAUGCAAAUAAUUUUUUCUCUCUCUUCUCUAACUCCUCUUAUUCGAAAUUGCUCAUCAUUGUGCAGUUCCUCGAGAUUUUGCUAGAGUAGAGAAAGCUAUUCUCCCGUUAAGUGCAGAGGAAAAAGAAGGGCAAGGGCCUGGUAUGAUGCUAUUCUAUAGGAAGUGAGAAGGUGAAGGGCUAAAAUAUUUUGCAAUUUGGAGGUGGUGUUUGUUAGUGUGUGUACUUCUGAAUUUAUUACCUCUUUAGGAUCCAUAGAAAUUGCCUCUUGUUCAGCAUGCACUGUGCCUACGAGUAAGGCGAGCUUGCAUGGUAUCUAUUGUCUAUUUACUUGGAUAUUCAAACAGGACUACCAGCAACCAAACACAAAUCCCAAACAAAACACUCUUUCAAGUGCAAGGAAAGAGUAACUUGGGCAUAUUUAUGGUUCAAGCACUACAAUAACUAAGAAUGUGAUGACUGUCCACAAACACUAUAUCAGUGCCUUUUGAACUACAUCACAUGCUUGAAGACUUUUUUUUAGUCAUACAUAAAUUAGCUAUAAAAUCAAGACCCUUAUACAACUAAAAAGAAAGAAAAAUUGUUUGCUACUACAUAUCAAAACUGGUAAUAGCAAUGUAAGAUGGCAGACUUCUUACUUAAACAGAUGAGAGGCUACAAAUAAAAAAUUUGUGCAAAUAAAAUAUAUGAUAAAGAGCAUAAUACUUUCUUGGGGGCUAAAAAUAAUAUACAACUUGUGAAAUAUAAAUUGAGCUACCAUUACCUUUUAGAUGUGGCAACUUUCGACUUUUGAGGCACCUUGGAAUAUGCAUUCAGAAUCCUGCAUUUGGAAGCCAAAUAAAUAAUGUUAAUAACAAUUUUACAAUAGAAAAAUUAAAAUUGAUAAAUGGCAGUUGUAAUUUAUGUAUGGUAAAGAUAGCAUCACAUCCAGGUUCCUCCCAUAAACAUGCUUGUAACAAGAAUUAGUUUGCCUCAACUGCUAGCAACUAUACAAUAGUAAAAAUCACUCUAUGAACUCAACAAUACUAGGCACCAAUAAGAGUAUGACACAGCCAUUCUAAAUGGAAGAGAAUACAACUGUUUUACAACUAUGUUGCAUCAGGAGAUAUGUUAGGAGGAUUAAUCCAGAUACCUUCCAACCCAAAUUAGGAAAACUCGAGUCAGAAACCAGGAGCUGCAACCAAACCUUACAAUCUUGAAGGAAGAAGGAGACUUGGGCAUUUUUCCAGAUAGGUGACUUACAAGAUCUCCUGCCAAGAAAAUAUCUAUUGCUUUGAACCUCCAUUGAAAUUUCUUUUCCCUUUUUCUUGUUUUGACUUGGAACUUUCCAGCAUCAUCUAUUUGAUCUUUUUUAAAGCUAAAAUAGCAAUCUAUGCGUUGUCAACAUCUUAUCCCCCGCCCCCCCCGGGGGGCCACCAAAAAAAAAAAAAACCAAUGAGUUGUCAAUAAAUAGCGCCUACUCAACUUAUGUUCUCCAAUGAUGACAAUGUGCAAAUCGACCUAGCAGCCACAUUUUUCCCCCCUUUCAACCACCAUUAGGCAACUUUUCUAGCCUUUCUUCAUUGCCCACGUCUACAGAACUAUCAUAUAAAGACUACAUUAUUAUUGGGACAGAGAAAAAAAUACAGACUAUAUUAUUAUUAUAUCUCAUUUUAUUAAUUAACUAGUGCAAGACUUAUUUAGUGUCAAAUCAAGAACUAAUUAGAAAAGACAACUCAUGAUAAUACAGACUUUAAAAAGCAAUAGCUAGCAACACCCCAUAUACUCCUAUUUUAGCCUUCAAUAUCCUGGUAAAAACACAAUUAAGUCUAGCAAAAGGAACAUUCACAAGUAAAUUCAACAUUAAUUAAGAUUAAGUAUCUACUGCACCUUCAAUCAAUGACUCGGUGAAUAGCAUGGUCAACCAUCUAGUUCCUGUAGCCCUCCUUGUACCUAUGUUAGUUACAUUUUACAUAUUAAGCCACGAAAAUGAAGGAUCACAGCCUGGUAAAGAAAGCCAUUAAUUAAUAGUUUUUGUUUAAAAAGUUCUCGUUUAGAUCUUUCCUAUUCAAUGAAUCAAUGUAAUCCAAGGAGAACUCUUCCAUUUCAAGCAGUGUUAGAAGAUAAUUGGAAAGCCUAAAGAUAAUAUACAAGGACCAAGAUAUCGAUUAGGUCAAAUAGUGAAUGUCAAAUAUAAAAAAUAAAUAAAAGAAGUUGUACAUGAUCAUUUACUAUCAAGUUCUGUAAAACUGAAAAUACCAUUAUCCCUGUAGAGAUUCUCAAACAACUCUUUAGCAAAUUAUAAAAUAGUUAAAAAAAGAACGAAAGUUUAAAAAAAAAAAAUGUACAACAGCCAUAUCAGGAGAUGUUUUUCUUCUCAAUCUCAAUAUUUUCUAGCCGUAAAACAAUUGAAAAGCUUAACACCAAGUGAAUUAUUAAGAAUUCAUCAUUUAAAUUCCCAAAUCGUAAAAUGUUGGUGCAACUACGAAAGUGCAAAUGCAAUCACUUUACUUACACAAGAAACAUCAAUAGUGAGAAGCCAACUUUGUAUCAAAUUUGAAGCAGAUAGAUAGAGGUCAAAAAAAUUAUAAAGACACUCAAUUAAAAGCCUUUCAAACAGCUUUUGCAUGCAACAAGAACAAAUCAAAGGCGAUGUGAAUGUAUUCAAAGACUAAUUUACAAUCAUCUACAGGACAUAAAUAUCUUGGAUAACUACUCUCUAUACCUUACUGUCCCACUGAAAAUCAUCAAAUCCCUCCAAACAAAAAUGACAAAAUGGAUAAGAAUUGUGUGGUCAAACAUCAAUAACUUAGCAGCCACAGCAAAAACUUAUGUAGACACGCAAGCCACUCAAAAUAGUCAUAUUGUUGCUUUCCAAACACAAGCCACUUUGUAAUGAAUAUUCAUAAAUUGCUACUACCAUGUUUGUUAAAACACGUGAAAACCGCCAUCACUAACUAAAUGUAACUGAUGAUCAUCAUCACGUUCAUGGAAUCACAUGUCUGACAGUAUUAAUUAGUGCAAAUGGCAUGCCUUCUUAAAACUCCUAUUUAUCACACGGGCGCCAUUCCAAUCAACCAAUGAUUCUGAUCUAGUCGGCAUAUUCAACCCACGAGCGAGUAAUAGCUCCUAUUGCUUCUUUACAUUUCUCCAACGAAAUUCCACAUUCUAACCAUACUUCUGAACUUGUUGCUCCCAUAGACUUAAUACAAUAUAAAGAUUUCUUCCCACACCGCCUCAGCCCCCACUCCUAAAAAACCAAUUAAAUUCUCAAUUGACUGUACAACCUAUAGUCCAUACCAAAUUGAAAAAUUUACAAAUAUAGAAACCUCAAAGAAUCUUCUUGCAUUCCAUUUUUUACGUCAAGAAUUUGACUUUUACACAUGCAAGUCAACAAAUAAAAAAAUCAUGUCUUUGUGAGAUGCACAUUUUCAGACGAAUCUGAAGAGCAAUGAAACCGUAAAAACCGAAUAUGAGAACACCGAGGACUCCAGAUAUCACUAUAGAAUCUUCGGUCCACACUUGCAUGAUGAAAAUGAUGAAAAAAAAUUGAAGGCUUCGUCACCAACUCCCCAGGUUGUUUUGUUCUCCUAUCUCCUAAAUGUAAAGGAAAGGCAACCCGUUCUUUUUUCCAAUCUUAAGGGGCACAGAACGACUCUGGUAUAAAAUAGUCAGUUUCUAUACAAAAAUAACUCCUUUGCACUUGGCACUGCACAUCUCAAAAUAAAAAGCAUGCAAGGAGGAGAAUAUAAUAGCAUUAAACAAGUUUUAUUAACCAAACUUCAAAGAUGCCACACAAGGCAAAAAAGAAAUCUGUACAAGCCAGAUCCCAAGAAUAAUAAUUCCAAUAUACAAUUCAGGAAAACAAUAACUAAAACCAGGUUCAUGAGGCCUCAGCAGAAGCAACAUGUAAUAGCCAUACUCUAUUAUUUGAAACACAUUUCCAAGUUUGGUUAAGAUUCUAAACUAUUCUCUAUGUGUCAAUUAUUAACAUGUAAAACAUAAUAAUAUACACUUAUACUACUACAGUAGUAAAACCAGUAAAACAACAAUACCUGCUGAAAAGAUUUGCUACCUCUUCACAUUCACGAGCAUUGUAGAAUCAAAUCCCAUUUACUUCUUGGGAUGCAUUCCGAUAUAACAAAUACGGAACCUGAACUUCAAACUCAAAAUCUCCCAAAAGAUUUUCCACUAAAUUAUCUGCACAUAUCCAAGAUAUUGAAGCUUAUCAGUGCAAAAACAUAUGCAAAAAGACAUGAAGGUUAGAAGACAUAACUAAAACUUAGCAACAACUGAUAAGCACAACAAGACAUGAAAUAUAACACUAGUUGUAAAUACUCUAAAACUUACCAACCCCUCUCCUGAUUGUCAUAAAACGGCCAAUAUUUAACCCUAGACAACAAAAUUGCAAAUACUCUAGCCUCUAUAUUAUUGGCAUAUAAAUAUUUUCGGUUAGGUACGUUAUAUUCUUCGUUCUAAAACCUCAAUUAUUAGCUAGUACUGUGAUAAAAUGAUUCAUCACUGAAAUUAAAACUAGUUCACGUACAAAUAAUCAAAACUGAAAUAGAAGCAACGAUAAACCAACCUGUAUUACGUCGAUUCAUCACAACAAACUGAAAUCGAGGCUGUGUGUUCCUGAAAAUUGAAAAAAUAAUAAUUUCACCAACUUCAUAUGUAAUACAAUCUCCAAAACACCGAAUAUCAAAUGAAAAAAUGGAAAGCAUAAGAGAUAAAAGAAUCUAAUUUUAUUGACCUUUUGACGACGAAGAGAGAUCCUUCAACAUCCUUACGACUCCAUUGGCUGAGGUCGAUGUUGAACUCGUAGAAGGUGACAUGAGCGGCCGUGAUGAGGAUCUCCUCAAUGAAUGGAUCGAUUCGCUGAAGAACUGUCAGGUUUAGGAGUUUUGUGCUCUGCUGGUCCAGAUUAGGCAUCAAUUUUCCGUUCUGCGACAUUUUUCAUAGUCCUUUGGGCUCUGCCCCGAGCACAAGCCCCAUGGUUUUUCUGUGAGCUCUCUCUUUUGUAAAUAAAGUGUUUGAUGAGAUAGCCGAGAGAGAGUGAAAGAGUUGAACAGCCAAACAAGGUGAGGUGAACAGUUUCGGACUGAGACUCGAGAUUGGUCUUGCUUUAACUCUUUUAAACAUUUGGAAAUAGCAUUUAUUUCUUUCAAUUUCUCUACUGUUUUUUUCCUUUAUGUCAUUUAGACCCCAAAAUAGAUUUAUUANNNNNNNNNNNNNNNNNNNNNNNNNNNNNNNNNNNNNNNNNNNNNNNNNNNNNNNNNNNNNNNNNNNNNNNNNNNNNNNNNNNNNNNNNNNNNNNNNNNNNNNNNNNNNNNNNNNNNNNNNNNNNNNNNNNNNNNNNNNNNNNNNNNNNNNNNNNNNNNNNNNNNNNNNNNNNAUUUUAACAGCCUUUUAUACUAAACCCUAAAAAUACAUGAAUUUAUCAAAAUAAGUAAAUUAAUUUAAAUUGGUAUGGCAUAAUAGAAGUUUUACCUGCCGAAACAAAUUAAAAAAAUAUUACACUUAAAUCAAAUAUUGACAAAAAUAGAUAACAAUCUAAUGAGAAUCUUAACUAGACAUUUUUACUUCUAUCCAAUUUAACUGGAACGAGAAUUAAGUCCUUUCAAUAGUUAAGACUCAUAACUCAUACAUGCUAGUUUGAGAGUGUGGGGUGUGACAAUGGGUCAAAAGACCAUUGACAAGUACAAAAGAGUGAUUGCAAUUAAUUCAAACCGCUACACACGCUAUAUUGAGGGCCCAUUUUUGUUUAUUUCGUUGAAAAGUAGUUUUCACAAUUAAUUCAAACCGCUACACACGCUAUUGCGUCUUUUAAAAAAAGAAAAAUGGAGUAGUUUUCCAAAAUUUAAUUCAGAGAAGAAGAUUUACUAAUAAUGAUUAGAAAUCUUAAUAUUUGAAUCUUAAUAUUAUGUAUCACUCAUUUAUUAAAUAAUAGAUUUCAUAGUUUGUAAAUUUACUUAACCACUUGAUAAAUGUUAUAUUUGUUGGGACUAAAUUGGGACUUAAUGUUGGAAUAUCUAGUAUUGCAUAAAAAAAAAAUAAAAACUUAACAAUUUAUCUUCGCAUGACUAAUUGUUUUUACAUCACAACUAACCUUAGUUAUUUUUUAAAGUUAUAGUAUUAUUAAAUUGCCCUAACUGGUUAUCAAAAGAUGAAAGCAUGUUAAAAUAAGAAAUUACUAAGAAACAUGUGCUUAAACAGAGGUUAAGGCUACGAAAAUUAAGAAGAAACAACUUACAAUCAAAGGUUAAGAUUAUGAACAAAUUAAGGAAGGUAUUGAGCAGAUAAAGGGACGGAAUCAUUGUCUGAAUUGCCGGUGACAAGAAUGCUUGUGUUGUGAAAAGAAAUUUGAUGGUUUGUAAAUGGGUUGAAUUUUUUAUUCGCUCGCUCCAACUGACUUACUAAUGCCAAAAUUUAUUACUUUGCACAGUAGUGUUUAGGAUCCUCAAGAUCAACUCUUAAUUUGGUCCCAAUUAGUGCAGAAAUCAUCUAUUGAGCAAUAGAAUAAGAAUUUUUUCUAGUCAUGAAAUUCAAUAUAUAAUAUAUCCUUGACACACAUCGAUUAUAACUUAACUGUUAGAAUUCAUAACAUUACUCUCUCUCAAGGGGAGUUCUCUUAACAUAUUAUGUUAGGUUGCCUACAUUCAAAAUAUGUUAGACUGCUCUUUGAAAGCAAUAUUCCCUUUUCCGUAACUUUGAAUUGAUCCAAUAGCUCUUGAAAAGCACAUAAUAAUCAUUAUAAAUUUAAUCAAAGACUAAGCAGGUCUUCUUUGCAUUUGAUCACUGGCAUUUCAGUUAAGUAUGUCAUUUACUUAAAUUUUUCUUGCUUUCAAUUUUCACUGUUGUUUUUUUUUAAUAAAAUAAUUUGUUUAACUAGUCACAGAAAUAAGAGAGAAAAUGGGCCAUUUCUUGACUCAAAGUCAAUUAUAAUUAUCAAAACUUGAGCGGACAUUGCAUGCCUAAAUUCCACACACCCUAAAACGGUUUGAUUGCUUUCACGCGUUCAUGAUUUUCCAUGAAAGAGAGUGCCUCUCGUCUCUUUCCGGACAGUGACGACAAUUAUGUUAACGUGACAAAUACAUAACGUUAUUACAUACAAGAAUAAGUUUUUGGAGCCGAGACUUGAGGGAGGUUCUAUCUAAUUCUAAAGAUUGUAAACCAAAUCAUUAUCCCCAAUUUUUUCAGUUAAAUAAAAUAAAAUUUAUGCUUAAGUAUAAAUAAACAUCCAUAGUGGAUAAAUAUUUGAUUAUCGAUUUUUUUAAUGUAAAAUUGCUGGGUUUGUUGCUUUAAAAUUUUCAAUAAUAAUUUCACUUAUUUAGUAAUUAGAGAGAGAGAGAGGAUUGAGGGCCAAUGUUUCGCGAUUUGGGGGUCAAUUCAAAGUUCAACUAAGGUGUAAAACAUGAUUUCCCUUUCAUGAACUUCGAAGAAAGAAAGAAGACUCUUCACCUUCUUCAUGACAACGAAUGAUGUUGAUAUGACAAAUACAAUCGCUAUUACAGGGAACAGCAUAAGACCGAAAUUUGAUAAAGGGUUUGUUAAAUUAACAUGUUAUUUUUCUUGUUAACUAUGAAUUGGAAGAAAAAAUAAAAAUAAAAUAAAAUUGUAAUCAGUGUGAUGUGUGGAAUAUAUUGAAAUAAAUAAAAUAGAGAAGAGAAAUUCGUUGAUCAAUAUUCAAGAACUCAUCCAAAGUGACUGUUAAAGUCUAGAGGUUCCGUAUGAUUAGCAUUUAUUUUUUUAAUUUUUUGCUUAACAUCAUAUGUAGUCACUGGUCGUGUGAUCUAGGACAGGUUUAGAAAUCUUUUUUUUUUUAACUUCCGUAUUCUUAUUAUUUAAUUAGUUAUAGGUUUUUUAGUAUUUGAGUAGUGAUCACAGGUCUCCUAAUCUAAAAAUAAUGUUUUACGAGUACAAAUAAAAACUAGGAUUUUAACAGCCUUUAUACUGAACCCUAAAAAAUACAUGAAUUUAUCAAAAAUAAAUAAAUUUGAAUUGGUAUGCCAUAAUAAAAAUUUUACUUGCCAAAACAAAUUAAAAAAAAUAUGACGCUUAAAUCAAAUAUCGACAAAAAUAGAUAAAAAUCCAACAAGAAUCUAAAAAUAAGAAAGAUAUCUUCAAAAUAGAAGCGUCCAAGAGAAAUUUGGCGAAGAUUUGCUAAUCCACAUUGAAAAUGUCACUUUUCCUUGAGAACUUCAUAAUGAUAUAUUAUGAGCCUAAGACAAAUACCAAUUACUCAAGUAUGGCCCUAUGAAGACAUCCUAUUCAUUCUCCCUAGACCAGGACGUGUCGCACAUGUUUGCAUUCAAAUUUAGGUGAAAAUCUACUCUCAUCAAGGGAUAUAUAGGUACCUGUGAAGUCUCAAACCCGAGAUAAUGUGAAAGCAAAUCGGGAGUUUGAUUAAAAUUCAGCCAAUAUUAGUGUGUACGGAUGGUAGGGAUGGAAAAAAACUCGACCGUCUUAGGUAUGGUAUUACCCAGAUCUGGCCUAAGCAUGUUUUUUUUGAAACACUCAGAAUUUUUUAAUCAAAACUUAAAAAACCUAGAAUUUAUAUUUUAUAAUAUUAUAUAUAUUUAUUUUAUUUUAUAAUUUUAAUAUUUUCAAAUUUUAUUUUAAUGAAUUGGAAUUAAAAAUAUGAGUUUUAAAUGUUUAAAAUUUUAAAAAUAGAUAAUAAGUGGACCAAAUGAACAAAAUAAUAGAUAUUUUAUAAUAUUCUUCAUAAAAAUCAAGUUUUGAGCUAGCCCAUAAGCUUGUCUAGUGAAGUCUGGGUACCCGCGUUGCCCAAGGUUCCGUCAGAAUCCAGGCUGUGCAGAUAUUUAUGGACGAGAGGAAAUAUUUUCAAGUUGACUGAAUUAAAUAAAAAUAUAUUACAAUCAUAUUAUAUAUUAACAGUAAAAAUAAAAAGAAAUGAAAGAAAAACGCAUGCAAGACUUAGACAAAGUCAAUUAAAAGCUGGGAGUAUCAUCAGUUCAAUUGGUUUUAAAUAGCGUAGAGCCAUCCUCUCGUUGUGUUGCAGAAGAGAGACAGAAGAGUGUGUGUAGGCGAUUAUAAUUAAGCAGAUAUAAAUUGUGGGUUCAAAAAGAGUGUGGGUGAGUGAGUUAAUUUUCAUAUUAUUAGUAGUAAAAGGGUGGUGGAGUGAGGGAUGUUUGGAGCAAGAGAGGUCUGCUCUCCUCCAACUCAGACAUUUCUUCAAUGAUGAUCACCGUCUUCAAAACUGGGUAGACGAUGAGUAUUAUUCAGAUUGUUGUCAGUGGGAACGGGUUGAGUGCAACGACACCACUGGCAGAGUGAUUGAAUUAGAUCUAGCAGUAACUCGGAAUUGGGAAUCAGCAGAGUGGUAUAUGAAUGCUCUCUGUUUAUCCUUUUGAACAAUUAGAGUCUCUUGAUCUAAUAGGGAACAAUAUAGCCGGUUGUGUUGAAAAUGAAGGUCCGUAAUUUACUCUAUUUUAAUUCUUCCUCAUAAUUUUUUUCCAUUUAUCUGAUCCCUUUUGGUUUUUAUUUAAUUUGUAGUGAUACAAUAAAAUUACUUUUUAUUUUUUGGCAGGUCUAGAUAGGUUAUCAAGGUUGAACAACUUGAAGUUUCUUUAUUUAGACCUUAACCACUUCAACAACAGCAUCUUUUCAUCUCUAGGUGGUCUUUCAUCACUCAGAAAACUUAUCAUUGGCUGCUAAUCGAUUGAAUGGAAGUGUUGAUAUUAAAGGUAAGUAAGCUUCAUCCUUCUCCCCUGUCCCAUCUUUUGUGGAUCUUAUUUCACUGAGCAGCUGGAAGUAUUGAUACGAGAUCUAGCUAGACUCUUGCGAGUUUAGGCUUCACGGCUUUGAAUAGUAAUAAAAUAAGUUGAAUAAAUUAUCAAUAUAUGCAAUUUUCAAUGCUUCUCAAUAAUCAGACACAAUUCAAUCUAAUUAUUUCGUAUGUCCUGUCUUCAAAAGUAAAGAAUUGUACACUAAUUGGAAAUCGACAUCGUAGCUUUUUAUUUUCUAUAAUGCUAUUUCUUCGUUAACAAGUUUAUAUCCUAAGAGGGAUUGGAUUGAAAAAAAAAAAAGAAGUUUUGAUGUUCAAUGUCAGCCAUGAUAACCUGCAUCUUAUUUGUCUGCCGACAUCCAAAUUUGUGCACUGAAUUUAGUAUUUUGGUUAUUGUGAAGGGAUCAGAUAUUGGCUUCCAUAGACCAAACUUGUAUUUACUUAAUUAAUUAAUUAACGACAUUUAGUAUUAACAAUUAAAAUUUCAUGUUUAAUUCUAUUUAAUUUUUUUAAGAAAAAAGAAAAUAGAUAUAGCAGCAGGUAAAGCUGAAAUAAAUUUUAAUUCCUUACAAAUUUAAAUUCAUGGUUGUCAGCUAAAUAUACCUGCUUAAAGCCACUCUUUCGCUGAGAUUUAACCAAAAAAAAAAGAGAAAAUAAUUUAUUUAAUUAAACUCUGUUUUAAGUGUUGGAAUAAAUACAGGACUGGAAUCCUUGAGUAACUUGGAGAUGCUGGACAUGAGGGACAAUGCAAUCGACAAUCUAGUGGUUCCUAAAGGUAUACAAAAUGACACUAACCCAAAAUAAUUUAAUCCGAAAUUGUAUCCCAAAUAGAUUACAGAGGUUUGAGGAAGUUGGAUACCCUUUAUUUGGGGGGGAAGGGAAAUUGCAGUGAUAUAUGGAAGCAAGGUGUUGCAAUCAAUAAAGAAAUUCGUUGGUCAAUAUUCAAGGACUCAUCCAAAGUAAUCGUUAAAGUCUAGAGGUCUGCUCUCCACCAACUCAAACAUUUCUUCAAUAUGAUCAACGUCUUCAAAACUAGGUAGACGCGGGAGAUGAUGAGAAAUAAUUUAGAUUGUUGUCAGUGGGAAGGGAUUGAGUGCAACAAAACCACAGGCAGAGUGAUUAAAUUAGAUCUAGCACAAACUCGAAAAUGGGAAUCAGCGAAGUGGUAUAUGAAUGCCUCUCUGUUUACUCCCUUUCAACAAUUAGAGUCUCUUGAUCUAAUUGGGAACAAUAUAGCUGAUUGUGUUAAAAACGACGGUCAUUAAUUUACUCUAUUUUAAUUCUUCCUCCUCGUAAUUUCUUACAUCUAUCUGAUCCCUUUCGGCUUUUGUUUAAUUUGUACGUGAUACAAUAAAAUUAUUUUUUUUCAGGUCUGGAGAGGUUAUCAAGGUUGAACAACUUGAAGUUUCUUGAUUUAGGCUUUAACCACUUCAACAACAGCAUCUUUUCAUCUCUAGGUGGUCUUUCAUCACUCAGACACUUAUCAUUGGCUGAUAAUAGAUUGAAUGGAAGUAUUGAUGUUAAAGAUAAGCAAGCUUCAUCCUUCUCUCGUGUCCCAUCUUUGUGGAUCUUAUUUCAUCGACCAGCUGGAAGUAUUGAUACGAGAUCUAGCUAGACUCUUGCUAGUUUAAGCUUCAAGGCUUUGAAUAUUAUAAAAAUAAGUUUAAGGAAUUAUCAAUAUAUGCAAUUUUCUAUGCUUCUCAUAAUCAGACACAAUUCAAUCUAAUUAUUUCGUAUGUCAUGUCUUCAAAAGUAAAGAAUUGUACACUAAACGGAAAUCGACAUUGUAGCUUUUUAAUUUUUCUAAUGCUCUUUCUUUGUUAACGAGUUUAUAUCCUGAGAGUGGAUUGGAUUAAAAAAAAAAAAAAAAGUUUUGAUGUUCAAGGUAAGCCAUAAUAACAUGCAUCUUAUUUAUCUGCCUAUAUCUAAAUUUGUGCACUGAAUUUAGUAUUUUGGUUAGUGUAAAGGGAUCAGAUAUUGGCUUCCAUAAACCAACUUGUAUUUACUUAAUUAAUUAAUUAACAACCAUUUAGUAUUUAACAAAUUAAAAUUUCGUGUUUAAUUUGUCUUAUUUUUUAUUUUUUGAAGCAAGAAUAAGGUAUAGCAGUAGGUAAAGUUGAAAUACAUAUUUAUUCCUUACAAAUUUAAAUUCGUUUUCAGCCAAAUAUACCUACUUAAAACCACUCAAUCAGGCCAUUGGCAACAGUUUUUUUAGGUUUUUCUAGUUAACCGUGUACUUUUUUGCUUAUUAAUAAAAUUCUUUUGUGCUGAGAUUUAAAAUAAAGAAGGAGAAAAUAAGUUAUUUAAUUAACCCUGUUUUUAAGUGUUGGCAUAAAUACAGGACUGGAUUCCUUGAGUAACUUGGAGGAGCUGGACAUGACAGGCAAUGCAAUCGAUAAUCUUGUGGUUCCUAAAGGUAUACAAAAUGUUCAAAUAUUAAUAAUUUGGAGGACAGUUUAAUUGAUUUGAUUAGGGAAUGCCCAAUGACACUUACCCAAAAUAAUUUAAUCUGAAAUUGUAUCCAAAAACAGAUUUCAGAGGUUUGAGGAAGUUGAAUACCCUUCGUAUAGGGGGAACCAGAAUUCAAAUGAUAGAUGGAAGCAAGGUGUUGCAAUCAAUAGGAUCACUACCGUCCCUCAAAACACUUGACCUUUGGUAUACUAAUUUUACGGGAACAGUAGUUAAUCAAGGUAAGUAAAUCUUUUAUGUCGAAAAUAAUUGAAUUAAUAUAUAUAGCUAAAAUUUAUUGUUUCUACUUCUUUCUAAAUAGAAUUGCACAAUUUCACCAACUUGGAAGAAUUGAUAUUGCUCGAGUCUGAUCUCCAUGUAAGCCAGCUUCUACAAAGCAUCGCAUCAUUCACUUCGUUAAAGUAUUUGUCAAUGGGAGGUUGUACUUAAUGAAGCAAUUAUGGGUAUCCAAAAGAUUUUUUCUUAAUUCGAUAAUAAAUUAUGGGUAUCUGAAGCUUUUAUGAUAUUAAUUCGAUAAUAAUUCUUUCUUUUCAAGUUAAUUUUUUCCCCUAAAAUAAGAUUUUUUUUCUUUUAAAUUUCAUAUAUUUUCAUUGUCCAAUAGUUCUAGCUUCUCUUAAUUGCAGGAUUCUUGAUUAAGGUUAAUGAAAUUUUAGUUCUGUUAUGUUAAGAAUAUUUCGAUCGCUUAGAAGAGUAAAGAAAAAUAAGUAAAUUAACCAAAAAAAAAAGAGAAAAGGACCGGAUUAUCCUUAUUCCCUUGCAUUAUGUGAUCAAUAUCAAAAUUAUAACCAUUUCUUGUUUUAUUGCUUGUAGAUUUUCUUAAAUUCAAGAAUUUGGAACAUCUGGACAUGGGUGGGGCGCAAGUUGACGUCAACACCAGUUUUCUUCAAAUUGUCGGCGAAUCGAUGCCUUCUCUUAAGUUUUUAUCACUGACAGGUUCAAGUCUUAAUAAAAACGCCAUUCUUGAUCAAGGUUAGUUAAUGAUUCUCUUUCUCCCUCUCUCGCAUCUUAACUAAAUUUAAUUGAGAAUAUCUAUAAUGCUAGCUAUUUAUAAACUUAAUGAAAGAUGAUAAGGAGCUACUAUAAUGACAAAAACAACUGUAAAAUAGUGCGCUGUUGUAGUGUUAAUUGAAAAAUAAUGCUAAUUUUAUAGUCAUUUUGUUGCCAUUACGUCAGAUUCCAUUGUUCAAUUAUUUAAGUUUUAUGCAAAUAUAUUUUUCAGGACUUUGUCGGUUAGUGCAUCUACAAGAGUUAUACAUCGGCGGUAAUGAUUUGAGAGGUAGCUUGCCAUGGUGCUUGGCAAACAUGACAUCCCUCCAAGUGUUAGAUGCCUCUUUUAAUCAACUUACUGGAAACAUCUCCCCAGGCCUUUGUGAGUUGGUGCUUCUGAGAGAGUUAUACAUUGAUUACAAUUAUUUAAGAGGUAGCUUGCCUUUGUGCUUGGCAAAUUUGACUUCCCUUCGAGUAUUAGAUGUCUCUUACAAUCAACUUACUGAAAACAUCUCAUCUUCCCUCAUGCAUCUAAUAUCUAUGGAAAAGCUCAUACUUUCAAAUAAUCACUUCUUCCAAAUCCCUAUUUCACUUGAACCACUUUUCAAUCUCACAAAACUCAAGACUUUCGAUGGUGAAAUAUACGCAGAAACUGAGUCACAUUAUAAUUCUUUGACCCCAAAAAUUCCAAUUGACUUCUAUCUCAUUGUCUGGCUACGGAGAUGGUGGCACAUUUCCCAAAUUCUUGUACCAUCAGCAUGACUUGAAGAAUGCUGAUCUCUCACACCUUAACUUGAGUGGAAAUUUUCCAAAUUGGUUGGUAGAAAACAAUACGAACUUAGAGACGCUUCUUCUUGCCAAUAACUCUCUUUUUGGAUCAUUUCGGAUGCCAAUUCAUUCCCACCAGAAAUUAGCAACAUUGGAUGUCUCCAACAAUUUCUUUCAAGGCCAUAUCCCAGUAGAAAUCGGAACAUAUCUGCCAGGCUUAAUGCAUUUAAACUUAUCUAGAAAUGCUUUCAACGGUAGCAUUCCCUCUUCAUUUGCUGAUACGAAAAUGUUGAAAAGCUUGGACAUAUCCUACAAUCAGUUGACUGGUGAAAUCCCUGAGCGCAUGGCCAUGGGUUGCUUCUCAUUGGAAAUUCUUGCAUUGUCAAACAACAGUUUGCAAGGUCAUAUAUUCUCUAAAAAAUUUAACUUGACAAAUUUGAUGAUGUUGCAGUUGGAUGGUAAUAAAUUCAUUGGAGAGAUCCCAGAAAGCUUAUCUAAGUGCUAUUUGUUGGGAGGAUUGUAUCUGAGUGAUAAUCAUCUCUCUGGUGAGAUUCCAAGAUGGUUGGGUAAUUUGUCAGGUUUAGAAGAUAUUAUAAUGCCCAAUAACAAUCUUGAAGGACCAAUUCCAAUCGAGUUUUGUCAGCUUGAUUAUCUGAAGAUUUUAGACCUUUCAAACAAUAGUAUUUUUGGAACUUUACCAUCUUGUUUUAGUCCAGCAUCUAUCGAACAAGUUCAUUUGUCGAAAAACAAGAUAGAAGGACGGCUGGAGAGUAUAAUCCAUGACAGCCCUCAUUUGGUGACAUUCGAUCUUAGUUAUAACAGCUUACACGGAAGUAUUCCAAAUCGGAUUGACAGACUACCUCAGUUAAACUACCUUCUUUUAGCUCAUAAUUAUAUUAAAGGCGAAAUACCAGUUCAAUUAUGCCAGUUGAAGGAAGUGCGGUUGAUUGAUCUUUCUCAUAAUAAUCUAUCUGGUCAUAUUCCUCCUUGCUUGGUUAACACUUCACUCAGUGAAGGUCAUCAUGAGGCAGUAGCUCCAACUUCUAGUUCGUGUGGUCGAGCGUCUGGCUAUGCAAGUCCAUGUGCGAAAAAUACAAGUGGACUUCCGAUGGGAAAGGAAGAAACUGUACAGUUCACAACAAAGAAUAUGUCCUACUAUUAUCAAGGAAGAAUUUUGACGAGUAUGUCUGGGAUUGAUCUUUCUUGUAACAAACUGACAGGUGAGAUUCCUACUCAAAUUGGAUAUCUUACAAGGAUUCGUGCGCUAAAUCUAUCUCAUAACAAUUUGACGGGCACAAUCCCGACAACAUUUUCAAACCUGAAGCAAAUCGAAAGCUUGGACCUCUCCUACAACCUACUGCAUGGGAAAAUCCCUUCUCAGCUCACUGUGCUAAAUACAUUGGCGGUCUUCACAGUAGCAUACAAUAACUUAUCAGGAAAAAUUCCAGAUAGAGUUGCACAAUUUUCAACUUUUGAGGAAGAUAGCUAUGAGGGGAAUCCUUUUCUUUGUGGAUGGCCACUGUCUAAAAGUUGCAAUGAUAGUGGAUUAUCAGCAGUGACACGAGAAGCUUACACUGAUAAUGAAGAAGGUGAUAGUUUAAUUGACAUGGACAGUUUCCUAAUCACUUUUACAGUAUCUUAUGGAAUUGUGAUAUUAGGAAUUAUUGGAGUUUUGUACAUAAACCCCUAUUGGCGACGAAGAUGGUUUUACCUUGUUGAAGUAUGUAUGAUCUCUUGCUACUAUUUUGUAGUAGAUAAUCUUAUUCCUAGAAGAUUCUAUGGUGGAUGGAUGUAAUUUCAUUUACUUUACAACUUAUAUGUAAUUUUUAAAGAAUUUUCUUUUGCAUGCAUGGAAUAGCAACUCAAUAAAAGUAUUUGAUGCAAAUUGUCCUAGAACAACUUAGUAAUUUCAUUGCUACUAUUUGGUUGUAUAUAUACAGUUAAUGAAAUUUUUAAUCAUUCGCAGUAGGAAUUUCUUUAGAUGGCGGCCAAAACUAACAGAUUUGGGGCUCUACUUCUACACAUCAUAACAGGCAAAAGGUCUCUCUUUUACACGAUCUGAAUGAAGAUUAACUUACGCCCUCUAGGCUCUGGAGUGUGUGUAAGUUCUCUAUUAAACUUGACGGUUGAGAUUUCAGGUCCAGAUGAAAGUGAAAUGCAGGCGACGAGACUACACUUUAAGUAAACUGGGACAAACUUAAAAUAAAAAAAAUUGUAGUCCAGGGUGAGAGUGAUGGGUAGCUCAACUUAUGGAGGAUAACUAGGACUUGGAAUAACUAUCAGAUUUGCAACUCUUGUUAUAUGCUAGUGGGGAUUUAGGUAGCAAUUUUUUUUUUUUUCCUUUUUGCCCUCUUCCUCACAAUAAAAACACGUAACACACCAAGCCGUGCCCAAAAUAAUCCUAUUUUAUUCAUGUCAUGAAUCCAAAAACUAUCCCAGCUCACUUUGUUUAACCAGCAUAACUAAAUUGUGGGUAUAAAUGAACACACUUUCGAAGCCUGUAACUUAUAAUAAGCUCAAACCCAAAAAUGACAUUUAAAUCCUGCAAGUGUUUUUCAUCAUCCCUAACAAAAAGAAACAAGAAUAAUUAUAUACCAAUAAUUUUUCCAUAAAAAAUACUGAUUUGAGUUGAAACACUAUACAAACUGGGUUUUAUACACUUCCAGAAAGCUACACGGUAGACAAAAUCUAGCAGCUACAUAUUGGUAUCACUUUCAGCUGGUCAUGAAUGGUGUGCAUUCAGCAGUGCUCGAUAGACCAUGUCUAUGAAUUGAUUGUCCUAUUACAUAUAAAAGCUGGUCAGAUAUACAAGGAAAAAAAUAAUAAUUGAAAAUGCAUCACAAAAAAUAAGUGUUUCGCAUUAGUGUUUGCACUCUAAGCAUGGCAAAGUGGUGCGGGGUUCAUGAUUUUGAAGACUGUGAUAAGUGAAAAAUAGUUCAAUCCACUGAUGAACAUAAAUUUAUUUACAUGUCAAUUUAGAUAUCAUCAAAAAGUAAACAGUAAUUCAGAGUCACUUAAAAUAGUUGAUAAAAUGCGUGCCAUGAAUGUAUUUUUGUACAUAAGAAAUCCAAAGAGUAUUUCUGACAAUACAAAUAUGCUAGCUUUAAGUCUGCUGUCAAUAUGCAAUUAAGAAGAUUAUACCAGCUGCAUGAUAAAGUUCCCCUAAUCUUAAUAACAGUAAACAUGAACAUGUCAGAUGCAAUUAUAGCUUUGAGCAUUUGCAUAACCAGAAAUCCUAACCUGAACAAGCACCAGAAGUGUCUCUCGGACUUUCUCCUUGCUGAUAAAUGGUCCGCUGUCUGAAGUAAGAGCAGGAGUAAGAGAUGGUGGAGGGGUUGGUGGUGGAAAAGGUUGAAGCACUGGGGCACCAUAUGGGCGUUGCAGACUCGGGGGAGGAUUAAGUGGCGGAGCUGUUGGUGUAGAUGAAGAGACAAGCUGCAUCAUCCGUGCAUAGGAGGAUGGAGGAGGAACAAAGAAUAAGGAAGGCUUUACAAGAUUAGGGGUAGGUGCUGAUAGAGGUGGAGAUGGUAUUUGCAAAGUUGGCACGAUAGGAGAAGCAACACUGGCGGGAUGAGAAGGUAAAGAAAUAGUUGUAUUGGACUGGUAAGGUUGUGCAGAGAUUGCUGCAUUAGAAUUAUUCCCCACAGUCAAAGCUGUCUGCAAUGAUAAGGACAGAUGUCAUAUAAAAGGACAUCAUAGAAGUUGAACCUCACACAAAAAUGAAGUGAUAACAUAUGAAAAUAGUAUAUGACUUGCUGCAUUUUUGUGGUAAUGUUGCAUACUUAUGUAGAAACAUAUUAUUUCAAAGAAAACAUACACUGAAGAAGUUCACAAAAGCAGGAUCUUCAGGAACAUCAACAGCAUUUGAGGGAGUUGACUCUAGAGGACCAUCCAUAACUGCCAUAGUUGGAACAGCUUCCAGUUCCUCAAACUCACUGCAGUUUAACAUAAAAGGAACUUGAUGACCAAUUUAAGUAAUAAUUAGAUGAUAUAAGAGGUUAGGGAAAAUGAUGAGUGGACCCUUAUGGAAGAUGAUUUCACCUUAGCUAAACACGAAAAUAAAAUGAAAUCAAAGCUGAAUCCUCGAGUGCAAUGCAAAUAAUUUUUUCUCUCUCUUCUCUAACUCCUCUUAUUCGAAAUUGCUCAUCAUUGUGCAGUUCCUCGAGAUUUUGCUAGAGUAGAGAAAGCUAUUCUCCCGUUAAGUGCAGAGGAAAAAGAAGGGCAAGGGCCUGGUAUGAUGCUAUUCUAUAGGAAGUGAGAAGGUGAAGGGCUAAAAUAUUUUGCAAUUUGGAGGUGGUGUUUGUUAGUGUGUGUACUUCUGAAUUUAUUACCUCUUUAGGAUCCAUAGAAAUUGCCUCUUGUUCAGCAUGCACUGUGCCUACGAGUAAGGCGAGCUUGCAUGGUAUCUAUUGUCUAUUUACUUGGAUAUUCAAACAGGACUACCAGCAACCAAACACAAAUCCCCAAACAAAACACUCUUUCAAGUGCAAGGAAAGAGUAACUUGGGCAUAUUUAUGGUUCAAGCACUACAAUAACUAAGAAUGUGAUGACUGUCCACAAACACUAUAUCAGUGCCUUUUGAACUACAUCACAUGCUUGAAGACUUUUUUUUUAGUCAUACAUAAAUUAGCUAUAAAAUCAAGACCCUUAUACAACUAAAAAGAAAGAAAAAUUGUUUGCUACUACAUAUCAAAACUGGUAAUAGCAAUGUAAGAUGGCAGACUUCUUACUUAAACAGAUGAGAGGCUACAAAUAAAAAAUUUGUGCAAAUAAAAUAUAUGAUAAAGAGCAUAAUACUUUCUUGGGGGCUAAAAAUAAUAUACAACUUGUGAAAUAUAAAUUGAGCUACCAUUACCUUUUAGAUGUGGCAACUUUCGACUUUUGAGGCACCUUGGAAUAUGCAUUCAGAAUCCUGCAUUUGGAAGCCAAAUAAAUAAUGUUAAUAACAAUUUUACAAUAGAAAAAUUAAAAAUUGAUAAAUGGCAGUUGUAAUUUAUGUAUGGUAAAGAUAGCAUCACAUCCAGGUUCCUCCCAUAAACAUGCUUGUAACAAGAAUUAGUUUGCCUCAACUGCUAGCAACUAUACAAUAGUAAAAAUCACUCUUAUGAACUCAACAAUACUAGGCACCAAUAAGAGUAUGACACAGCCAUUCUAAAUGGAAGAGAAUACAACUGUUUUACAACUAUGUUGCAUCAGGAGAUAUGUUAGGAGGAUUAAUCCAGAUACCUUCCAACCCAAAUUAGGAAAACUCGAGUCAGAAACCAGGAGCUGCAACCAAACCUUACAAUCUUGAAGGAAGAAGGAGACUUGGGGCAUUUUUCCAGAUAGGUGACUUACAAGAUCUCCUGCCAAGAAAAUAUCUAUUGCUUUGAACCUCCAUUGAAAUUUCUUUUCCCUUUUUCUUGUUUUGACUUGGAACUUUCCAGCAUCAUCUAUUUGAUCUUUUUUAAAGCUAAAAUAGCAAUCUAUGCGUUGUCAACAUCUUAUCCCCCGCCCCCCCGGGGGGGCCACCAAAAAAAAAAAAAAAACCAAUGAGUUGUCAAUAAAUAGCGCCUACUCAACUUAUGUUCUCCAAUGAUGACAAUGUGCAAAUUGACCUAGCAGCCACAUUUUUCCCCCCUUUCAACCACCAUUAGGCAACUUUUCUAACCUUUCUUCAUUGCCCACGUCUACAGAACUAUCAUAUAAAGACUACAUUAUUAUUGGGACAGAGAAAAAAAUACAGACUAUAUUAUUAUUAUAUCUCAUUUUAUUAAUUAACUAGUGCAAGACUUAUUUAGUGUCAAAUCAAGAACUAAUUAGAAAAGACAACUCAUGAUAAUACAGACUUUAAAAAGCAAUAGCUAGCAACACCCCAUAUACUCCUAUUUUAGCCUUCAAUAUCCUGGUAAAAACACAAUUAAGUCUAGCAAAAGAACAUUCACAAGUAAAUUCAACAUUAAUUAAGAUUAAGUAUCUACUGCACCUUCAAUCAAUGACUCGGUGAAUAGCAUGGUCAACCAUCUAGUUCCUGUAGCCCUCCUUGUACCUAUGUUAGUUACAUUUUACAUAUUAAGCCACGAAAAUGAAGGAUCACAGCCUGGUAAAGAAAGCCAUUAAUUAAUAGUUUUUGUUUAAAAAGUUCUCGUUUAGAUCUUUCCUAUUCAAUGAAUCAAUGUAAUCCAAGGAGAACUCUUCCAUUUCAAGCAGUGUUAGAAGAUAAUUGGAAAGCCUAAAGAUAAUAUACAAGGACCAAGAUAUCGAUUAGGUCAAAUAGUGAAUGUCAAAUAUAAAAAAUAAAUAAAAGAAGUUGUACAUGAUCAUUUACUAUCAAGUUCUGUAAAACUGAAAAUACCAUUAUCCCUGUAGAGAUUCUCAAACAACUCUUUAGCAAAUUAUAAAAUAGUUAAAAAAAGAUCGAAAGUUUAAAAAAAAAAAAAUGUACAACAGCCAUAUCAGGAGAAGUUUUUCUUCUCAAUCUCAAUAUUUUCUAGCCGUAAAACAAUUGAAAAGCUUAACACCAAGUGAAUUAUUAAGAAUUCAUCAUUUAAAUUCCCAAAUCGUAAAAUGUUGGUGCAACUACGAAAGUGCAAAUGCAAUCACUUUACUUACACAAGAAACAUCAAUAGUGAGAAGCCAACUUUGUAUCAAAUUUGAAGCAGAUAGAUAGAGGUCAAAAAAAUUAUAAAGACACUCAAUUAAAAGCCUUUCAAACAGCUUUUGCAUGCAACAAGAACAAAUCAAAGGCGAUGUGAAUGUAUUCAAAGACUAAUUUACAAUCAUCUACAGGACAUAAAUAUCUUGGAUAACUACUCUCUAUACCUUACUGUCCCACUGAAAAUCAUCAAAUCCCUCCAAACAAAAAUGACAAAAUGGAUAAGAAUUGUGUGGUCAAACAUCAAUAACUUAGCAGCCACAGCAAAAACUUAUGUAGACACGCAAGCCACUCAAAAUAGUCAUAUUGUUUGCUUUCCAAACACAAGCCACUUUGUAAUGAAUAUUCAUAAAUUGCUACUACCAUGUUUGUUAAAACACGUGAAAACCGCCAUCACUAACUAAAUGUAACUGAUGAUCAUCAUCACGUUCAUGGAAUCACAUGUCUGACAGUAUUAAUUAGUGCAAAUGGCAUGCUUCUUAAAACUCCUUAUUUAUCACACGGGCGCCAUUCCAAUCAACCAAUGAUUCUGAUCUAGUCGGCAUAUUCAACCCACGAGCGAGUAAUAGCUCCUAUUGCUUCUUUACAUUUCUCAACGAAAUUCCACAUUCUAACCAUACUUCUGAACUUGUUGCUCCCAUAGACUAAUACAAUAUAAAGAUUUCUUCCCACACCGCCUCAGCCCCCACUCCUAAAAAACCAAUUUAAAUUCUCAUUGACUGUACAACCUAUAGUCCAUACCAAAUUGAAAAAUUUACAAAUAUAGAACCUCAAAGAAUCUUCUUGCAUUCCAUUUUUUACGUCAAGAAAUUUGACUUUUACCACAUGCAAGUCAACAAAUAAAAAAAUCAUGUCUUUGUGAGAUGCACAUUUUCAGACGAAUCUGAAGAGCAAUGAAACCGUAAAAACCGAAUAUGAGAACACCGAGGACUCCAGAUAUCACCUAUAGAAUCUUCGGUCCACACUUGCAUGAUGAAAAUGAUGAAAAAAAAUUGAAGGCUUCGUCACCAACUCCCCAGGUUGUUUUGUUCUCCUAUCUCCUAAAUGUAAAGGAAAGGCAACCCGUUCUUUUUCCAAUCUUAAGGGGCACAGAACGACUCUGGUAUAAAAUAGUCAGUUUCUAUACAAAAAUAACUCCUUUGCACUUGGCACUGCACAUCUCAAAAUAAAAAGCAUGCAAGGAGGAGAAUAUAAUAGCAUUAAACAAGUUUUAUUAACCAAACUUCAAAGAUGCCACACAAGGCAAAAAAGAAAUCUGUACAAGCCAGAUCCCAAGAAUAAUAAUUCCAAUAUACAAUUCAGGAAAACAAUAACUAAAACCAGGUUCAUGAGGCCUCAGCAGAAGCAACAUGUAAUAGCCAUACUCUAUUAUUUGAAACACAUUUCCAAGUUUGGUUAAGAUUCUAAACUAUUCUCUAUGUGUCAAUUAUUAACAUGUAAAACAUAAUAAUAUACACUUAUACUACUACAGUAGUAAAACCAGUAAAACAACAAUACCUGCUGAAAAGAUUUGCUACCUCUUCACAUUCACGAGCAUUGUAGAAUCAAAUCCCAUUUACUUCUUGGGAUGCAUUCCGAUAUAACAAAUACGGAACCUGAACUUCAAACUCAAAAUCUCCCAAAAGAUUUUCCACUAAAUUAUCUGCACAUAUCCAAGAUAUUGAAGCUUAUCAGUGCAAAAACAUAUGCAAAAAGACAUGAAGGUUAGAAGACAUAACUAAAACUUAGCAACAACUGAUAAGCACAACAAGACAUGAAAUAUAACACUAGUUGUAAAUACUCUAAAACUUACCAACCCCCUCUCCUGAUUGUCAUAAAACGGCCAAUAUUUAACCCUAGACAACAAAAUUGCAAAUACUCUAGCCUCUAUAUUAUUGGCAUAUAAAUAUUUUCGGUUAGGUACAUUAUAUUCUUCGUUCUAAAACCUCAAUUAUUAGCUAGUACUGUGAUAAAAUGAUUCAUCACUGAAAUUAAAACUAGUUCACGUACAAAUAAUCAAAACUGAAAUAGAAGCAACGAUAAACCAACCUGUAUUACGUCGAUUCAUCACAACAAACUGAAAUCGAGGCUGUGUGUUCCUGAAAAUUGAAAAAAUAAUAAUUUCACCAACUUCAUAUGUAAUACAAUCUCCAAAACACCGAAUAUCAAAUGAAAAAAUGGAAAGCAUAAGAGAUAAAAGAAUCUAAUUUUAUUGACCUUUUGACGACGAAGAGAGAUCCUUCAACAUCCUUACGACUCCAUUGGCUGAGAUCGAUGUUGAACUCGUAGAAGGUGACAUGAGCGGCCGUGAUGAGGAUCUCCUCAAUGAAUGGAUCGAUUCGCUGAAGAACUGUCAGGCUUAGGAGUUUUGUGCUCUGCUGGUCCAGAUUAGGCAUCAAUUUUCCGUUCUGCGACAUUUUUCAUAGUCCUUUUGGGCUUCUGCCCCGAGCACAAGCCCCAUGGUUUUUCUGUGAGCUCUCUCUCUUUUGUAAAUAAAGUGUUUGAUGAGAUAGCCGAGAGAGAGUGAAGAGUUGAACAGCUAAACAAGGUGAGGUGAACAGUUUCGGACUGAGACUCGAGAUUGAUCUUGCUUUAACGUCUUUUAAACAUUUGGGAAAUAGCAUUUAUUUCUUUCAAUUUCUCUACUGUUUUUUUCCUUUAUGUCAUUUAGACCCCAAAAUUAGAUUUAUUAUAAUCAUAUUGUACCCAUACACUAUUAACCCCUUUUAUUUUUUAUAUUGUCAAUAUUAAUGUAUUAGAAUAAUGUUAGAAAUCUCAAUUAUUAUCUCAAUGUUUCAAUCAUAACUAAUGUGAUAAUUCAUCGGUAACUGCAACAUUAACUUAAUUAUUAAUGUUUAUCAUGAAAUGAUGAGAUUAUUAUUCAAGAAAGAAUUAGUAAACAUCAAUGACUAAAAUAAUGUGACAAUUAUAGCUGAAUAUUAGUACAAUAAUUAGAAUUCCUAAAGUUAGUGAAUGUAUUAUAAUAUAUGUGUGUUACACCACUUUAUGUCUCUCAAAUUCAAUUAAGUAAUUUCAGAAACCUGACCUUUUAUUAUAUUAAUUAGGAAUGCAUACAUGAACGAAAGAUGUGCAAAUUUUGUUCUAUUUUUCACUAUUAUUUACCUUUCAUCUACAUACGUCACUUGAUUUUUUGUGAUUAAUAUGCUUAAAUGGAUCUCUUUGAUAUAAAUAAAAUAAACAAAAAGUCUAAGAGAAAAAAAAAAUGAGGACCGAAAUUAUUACACCUACAACAAAUUUGCCCAGAGAGCAAUAAAUCAAACUUGCUUAGGAAGUACAAUGAUUAGUUAAUAACUAUCAUGUUAAAGCUUCUGUCAAGCAAACACCCAUUGAAUUUUUCGCUCGCUUCAAUGACUUACUUAUGCCCAAUAUAUUACUUUGCACAGUAGUAUUUGGGAUCCUAACAAUCAACUCUUAAUUUGGUCCCAAUAUAUUACUUUAUGAAUGCUUGUGUUGUUUUUUUUAUAUAAAAUAAUUUAUUUAAGUAAUCAUAGAAAUAAGGGAGAAAAGGGGGCAUUUGUUGACUCAAAGUCAAUUACAAAUAUUCCAUGCCUAACUUCCACGCACCCUAAAACGGUUUUAUUUGCUUUCACGCGUUCAUGAAUUUCCAUGAAAGAGAGUGCCUCUCGUCUCUUUCCGGACAGUGCCGACAAUUAUGUUAACGUGACAAAUACAUAACGUUAUUACAUACAAUAAUAAGUUUUUGGACCCGAGACUUGAGGGAGGUUCUAUCUAAUUCUAAAGAUUGUAACCAAAUCAUUAUCCCCAAUUUUUUUCAGUUAAAUAAAAUAAAAUUUAUGCUUACGUAUAAAUAAUACUUUGGACAUUCUUGAUAUUUGUCCUUUUAAGAUAAACACCAACCCAAUUAUCUAUUUGUUUGUCUGUUUUUUUUUUUCAAUAACAGUUUGUUAGCAUAAAUAUUUACCUGUGAAAUCGAGGAGGAGAAAAUGUUAGAAAAAAUAAAAAGAAAAAAAAUUAAGGGAGAUAGAAUCAGAUUUUCUUUUUUGAGCAAAGAACAUACAUAAAAAGAUAUUAAAUCUAUUAAGUCUACUUGUCUAUAACGGUAAAUUGCAUAACGAAUAAUUUAUCAGAACAAAAUAAAUUUUAUUAGAUUAUGAGUGUUCUGAUUAUUUUUUAGAGUACCAAUUGUCCCAUGGCACAACAAAAUGCCAGAAAAUAUAAUGUAAAAUUGCUGGUUUGUUGCUUAAAAUUUUCAAUAAUAAUUUCACCUUUUUAGUAAUUAGAGAGAGAUGGAGAGGAUUGACGGCCAAUGUUUAGCGAUUUGGGGUCAAUUCAAAGUCAACUAACGUGUAAAACACGUGUAAGCAUAGAAAACGCUUAGAUUAUUUGUGUUUCAAGUGCAAGAAAAGUAAGAAAAGAAAAAAUGAUUUCCUUUCAUGAACUUCCAAGAAAGAAAGAAGACCCUUCACCUUCUUCGCGACAACAAAUGAUGUUGAUAUGACAAAUACAAGCGCUAUUACAGGGAACAUCAUAAGACCGAGACUUGAUAAAGGGUUUGUUAAAUUACACGUUAUUUUCUUGUUGACUGAAUUGGAAGAAAAAAAUAAAAUAAAAUAAAAUUGUAAUCAGGGUGAUGUGUGGAAUAUAGUGAAAUAAAUAAAUAGAGAAGAGAAACUCGUUGAUCAAUUAAAAGCUGGGAGUAUCAUCAGUUCAAUUGGUUAUAAAUAGCGUAGAGCCAUCCUCUCGUUGUUGCAGAACUGAAGGAAAGAGAGACAGAAAGAGUGUGUGUAGGUGAUUAUAAUUAAGAAGAUAUAAUGUGUGGUUCAAAAAGAGUGUGGGUGAGUGAGUUAAUUUUCAUAUUAUUAGUAGUAAACGGGUGGUGGAGUGAGGGAUGUUUGGAGCAAGAGAGGUCUGCUCUCCUCCAACUCAGACAUUUCUUCAAUGAUGAUCAACGUCUUCAAAACUGGAUAGACGAUGAGUAUUAUUCAGAUUGUUGUCAGUGGGAACGGGUUGAGUGCAACAACACCACUGGCAGAGUGAUUAAAUUAGAUCUAAGAUAUACUCGGAAUCGGAAAUCAGCAGAGUGGUAUAUGAAUGCCUCUCUGUUUACUCCCUUUCAACAAUUAGAGUCUCUUGAUCUAAUUGGGAACAAUAUAGCCGAUUGUGUUGAUAAUGAAGGUCCUUAAUUUACUCUAUUUUAAUUCUUCCUCAUAAUUUUUUCCAUUUAUCUGAUCCCUUUUGGUUUUUAUUUAAUUUGUAUGUGAUACAAUAAAAUUAUUUUUUAUUUUUUAUUUUUUGGCAGGUCUAGAUAAGUUAUCAAGGUUGAACAACUUGAAGGUUCUUUAUUUAGACCUUAACCACUUCAACAACAGCAUCUUUUCAUCUCUAGGUGGUCUUUCAUCACUCAGAAACUUAUCAUUGGCUGCUAAUCGAUUGAAUGGAAGUGUUGAUAUUAAAGGUAAGUAAGCUUCAUCCCUUCUCCCCUGUCCCAUCUUUUGUGGAUCUUAUUUCACUGAGCAGCUGGAAGUAUUGAUACGAGAUCUAGCUAGACUCUUGCGAGUUUAGGCUUCACGGCUUUGAAUAGUAUAAAAAUAAGUUGAAGAAAUUAUCAAUAUAUGCAAUUUUCAAUGCUUCUCAUAAUCAGACACAAUUCAAUCUAAUUAUUUCGUAUGUCCUGUCUUCAAAAGUAAAGAAUUGAGCUCCGAUUGGAAAUCGACAUCGUAGCUUUUUAUUUUCUGUAAUGCUAUUUCUUCGUUAACAAGUUUAUAUCCUAAGAGGGAUUGGAUUCGAAAAAAGUUUUGACGUUCAAGGUAAGCCAUAAUAACCUGCAUCUUAUUUGUCUGCCUGUAUCUAAAUUUGUGCACUGAAUUUAGUAUUUUGGUUAUUGUUAAGGGAUCAGAUAUUGGCUUCCAUAGACCAACUUGUACUUAGUUAACUAAUUAAUUAACGACAUUUAGUAUUUAACAAAUUAAAAUUUUGUAUUUAAUCUAUUUUAAUUUUUUUAAGAAAAAAGAAAAAGAUAUAGCAACAGGUAAAGCUAAAAUAUACCUGCUUAAAGCCACUCAGUCGAGCCAUUUGAGAGCUGCUUUAAAUUUUUCGGAUUAGCCAUAUUCUUUUCUUAUUAAUAAAAUUCUUUUCGCUGAGAUUUAACAAAAAAAAAGGAGAAAAUAAUUUAUUUAAUUAACUAUGUUUUAAGUGUUGGAAUAAAUACAGGACUGAAAUCCUUGAGUAACUUGGAGGAGCUGGACAUGAGCUUCAAUGCAAUCGACAAUCUUGUGGUUCCUAAAGGUAUACAAAAUGUUCAAAUAUUAAUAAUUUGGAGGACAGUUUAAUUGAUUUGAUAAGGUGAAGAAACGUGUUUUCAUUUCUUAAAUAAAGCAUUAUACAUUGAGAGUUAUUUAUAGAUGCAGAGGCUACAUUUUUUCAAAGAUUACAUAUGUGAAUACGGAAGGAAAUGUGUCAAUCCGUUCGGCGCGGAUCUUGUCUUUGACAAGUGCAGAUUCUGUCUUUGAAAGCUUCAUUCAAUGUCGUUUUAUUUGAUUCUCAACACUCCCCCUCAAGUUGGUGCAUAGAUGUCUUGCAUACCCAACUUGUUUAGGAAUUUUGUAAAUGCCCUGCUUGAAAUGGCCUUCGUUAAAAUAUCUGCAAGUUGAUCUUCUGAUCGAAUUUUCGGCAGUUCUAAGAUUUUUUCAUCUAAUUUCUCCUUGAUGAAAAAUCUAUCUACCUCCACAUGUUUUGUUCGAUCGUGUUGAACUGGGUUAUGAGCAAUAUCUCGUGCAGCUUUGUUGUCACAGUGUAAUUGUAUUGGUUGUUGUGAUGGAUAGCCCAAAUCGUUUAAGAUAAAACUUAUCCAUUGCCCUUCACAUAUCCCAAGGGCCAUGCCUCGAUAUUCUGCUUCAGCGCUCGAACGGGCAACGACAUGUUGUUUCUUGCUUCUCCAUGUGACAAGGUUUCCUCCCACAAAGGUAAAGUAUCUUGAAGUAGAGCGUCUAUCACUAACUGACCCCGCCCAAUCUGCAUCAGUAUAAACUUCUAUGUUGCUGUAAUCUUCAUUUUUGGAAAAUAAGAUUCCUUUUCCUGGAUUUGUCUUCAGGUACCUCAAGAUCCGCAUUACUGCUUUCAUGUGUUGUUCUCUGGGAUUAUGCAUAAACUGGCUUACAACACUCAAUGCAUAAGCAAGAUCUGGCCUUGUGUGGGACAAGUACAUCAAUCUUCCAAUCAGCCUUUGAUAUCUUCCUUUGUCUACUGGAACUUGGUCUGAAGUAAUACAAAACUUCAAUCCUUCUUCUAUUGGGGUGUCAAUAGGCUGACAAGCUGUCAUUCCCGUUUCGUGCAAUAGAUCUAAGGCAUAUUUCCUUUGAGACAGAAAGAUUCCUCCCUUAGAUCGAGAAACCUCAAUUCCAAGAAAGUAUUUUAAGGCACCUAAAUCCUUUAUCUCAAACUCUCUUGACAAGUACUUCUGAAGAGCCUCUGUUUCUUCCUCGUCGUUGCCUGUAACUACCAUAUCAUCCACAUAGACAAUAAGGGCAGUGAUUUUACCUUGUCGUUUUUUUAAUGAAUAAGGUAUGAUCUGAAUUGCUUUGGUUAUACCCAAAACGAACCAUAGCCUUUGUGAAUUUCCCGAACAAUGCUCUUGGGGAUUGCUUCAACCCAUACAAUGAUUUCUUCAAUUUGCAUACUUUCUGACUGAGUCGUUCUAGUCCACUGCAUCCUGGUGGCAGAUCCAUAUAAAUUUCUUCAGACAGGUCUCCAUGGAGGAAAGCAUUCUUUACAUCGAACUGUUGCACUGGCCAAUCCAAGUUGACUGCUAAUGAUAAUAAGAUACGAAUAGUAUUAAUUUUUGCUACCGGUGCAAACGUAUCAAUAUAAUCAAUCUCGUAGGUUUGGGUGUAACCCUUAGUUACGAGUCUUGCUUUGUAUCGUUCAAUAGAGCCAUAUGCUUUGUAUUUUAUAGUGUAGAUCCAUCGACAACCCAUUGGUUUCUUUCCUGAUAGAAGAUCAACUAGUUCCCAUGUUUGAUUUUUCUGAAGAGAUCUCAUUUCAUCAUUCAUAGCCGCUUUCCACUUUGGAUCUUUUAAAGCUUCCUGAACACUGUUAGGAAUAGAUACAGCAGAUAAUUGAUUCACAGAUGACUGAUUUGAUUCUGACAAGCGAUGGUUAGACACAAAAUGACUCAUAGGGUAUUUGACUCUACUAGAGAAGUCAGGCUCAUAUGUGGGUUUAGGGAUACCUCUAUUUUGACGUUGGGGAAGAAUUCUUCUUAUUGGACUUGUGGUAGGAACAUCCUCUGCAGACGAUUGGUUAGGUAUUUCUUCAUGUGACUCAUUCUCGAUUGCAGUUGUGUUUGAGUUAUUGUGCUCCCCAAAUGUGUCUUCACAUAUCUCAGCCUGCGAAUCAUCACCAUUUGCUUUUCCAGUAUUUUGAAGGUUUACUAUCUCAAUGGAAGAUUGACUUUCUUCAGGUGGAAGAUAUGUAAGAGUAUGAAUUUCCUAUUCAUUAUACUCCCCCUGAAAUUCAGACUCUGACAAGUAGUAUAUGAUAUCUUCAUGAAAAACGACAUCCAUGGUGAUGUAUAUUUUUCUUGAUGGUGGAUGAUAGCAUCGAUAUCCCUUUUGAUGUAAGGCAUACCCUACAAACACACAACGUAGUGUUCGAGGAGAUAAUUUGUCUUGUUGUGGCAAAUGAACGAAGGCAACACAGCCAAACACAUGUGGGGGCAGAUUCGGCAUAUUUGGUGACAUAAUUGCAUCAUUCAGAACUUGGAAAGGAGUCUGGAAUCCAAGGGAGCUUGAAGGUGUUCGAUUGAUCAAGUAUGCUGCGGAUGCCAGUGCUUCUCCCCAAUAAGAUAAUGGCAUGUGGGCUUGGAUUAGUGAUGCUCGAACAACUUCUAGUAAAUGUCUAUUUUUUCGUUCAACAACGCCAUUUUGUUGGGGUGUCCCCACACAAGUGGUUUGAUGGACAGAUCCUUGUGAUUUCAGAAACUGUUGAAUUGCUGUGCUCAUAUACUCGCCUCCAUUAUCAGUAUGUAGAACUCGAAUUUGUGUCUGAAAUUGAGUAGUCACCAUCUUAUGAAAUCUUUGAAAUAAAGAGUUUACUUCGUCUUUCGAUUUCAUCAGAAAAAUCCAUGUCAUUCUGCUACAAUCAUCAAUAAAUGUAACAAACCAACGAGCACCUCCAAUUGUAGAAACUUUAGAUGACCCCCAUACAUCAGAAUGUACUACCAUAAAAGGAACUGGAUUUUUAUUUAAGGACAAUGGAAAAGUAGUUCGAUGGCUUUUUGAAAGUUCACAAACAUCACAUUUAAAGUUACAAACAUCAAAUUUCAAAAACAAACUAGGAAAUAAUUUUUUUAAGUAACCAAAUGACACAUGCCCUAAACAUCUAUGCCAUAACCAAAUUUCUGAUUUCCCUUUUUUAUGGAACUAUCUGCGACUAGUGCGGGGCUUAGCUUUCCAGUGUUUGUUGAUGACAUCUCCAAGUAGUACAAGUUGCCUCGUCUAAUACCAUAACCAAUCGUUUGCUUCGUUUGGAUGUCCUUAAACACACAAUGAUCAGGCCAAAAAAUUACAACACAUGAUAAGUAAGUGGUUAAUUGAGACACAAAUAAAAGAUUAUAAUCUAAAGAUGGAACAAUUAACACAGUGUCUAAAUUUAAUUCAUUUGUGAGUCAUAAAGAUCCUUCCCCAAUAACUGAGGUUGUGGUUCCAUUUGCAGUAGAAAUAUGUUUUUGUGAAGAUGGUUUCAAUUGAGAAACUUGUCGAGAAUCAAAAGUCAUAUGAUCAGUUGCCCCAGAAUCAAUUAUCCAUGUACUAUUAAUAACAGGUGUACGAGUUUUAAGGGCCUUACUUAGACUAACAGAGGUUGCGAUUUGCACUGAAGAUUCUUUUCUAAGAUCUGUAGUGGAUGUGGAUUCAGCUACUGCAGUUUUUGAUCCAUGCUUGGUGUUCUUCUUUCGAGUAUCCCACCAGUUAGGAUAUCCAAUGAUUUCAAAACAUUGUUCUUUCGUAUGACCCUUCUUUCUACAAUGAGUGCAAUGGAGUGAUGACUUGUCAACAAACUUCCUUUGAGGCUGCUGUCGUGCUAUCAUAGUAGACGUUUCUGAGUCGACCUUCUUGUUUAGUUUGCUUUGCCGUAUAUCUUCUCUUCGGAUCAGAGAAUAACAUUCUUCUAACUCUGGGAUAAUGUCUUUUCGUAGAAUUUCUCCACGAACUUGGUCAAAUUCUUCAUCUAGCCCAGCAAGAAAAAUGUGCACUCUCAAUCUUUCAACAGACCUUCUGUAUAUUACAACAUCUUCUGGAUCCUUCAUGACCACUUUAUCUCGGUGAUCAAGUUCUCGAAAUAUUUCGACCAAUUCUCCAUAGAAUUUAGAGAGUGGUUGUCCAUUUUGCUUAGUAGAGAAUGCCUUCUGGUUUAGAGUGAAAACUUGUAAUUCAUCGCUUCCAUCAUAGAAGGCUUUUGAUAAUGCAUCCCAGAUUUCGUAGGCUGUAGGAAUUCGUAAAUAUCGCUUCAUGAUCACCAGAGACAUGGAUAUGAGUAACCAUCUUUUUAUUUUUUGGUUCUCACUAUACCAUUUCUCAUAUUCCUUUGAAGAUUCCUCAAAUGGCUUUGUGCUGCUACGAAUAUAUGAGAGUUUUUCUCUUUCUGCAAGAUGCAUCUCCAUUAUUUGAGACCAAACAUCGUAGUUUGUCUCAGUCAGGAUAAUUCCAGCAUUAAAUACUCCAUCAGAUUGAACAGAUUGAAUGACAACAUGACUAGAUUCAGUUGGAGUUUUCUCCAUUUUUUUUGUUUUUCUUUUUUCUCUUUUUUUUUUGUUUUUUUUGUUUUUUUUGUUUUUUUUGUUUGUUUUCUUUUUUUUGUUUUUUUUCCGUCUAGAUUGAAAGAAAAAAAAAAUAACCUUUUUAGGUAACAAAACGACAGGUCGUUUGGCCACUGCUUGCCAAACUGACAUGUCGGUUAUGGUGGAAUAUAAACGACAUGUCGUUUUAAUCCUGUUGCACUUCUGGAGACUAAGCGUCACGUCGUUUUACCUCUAAUUUAAAAUCGACAUGUCGGUUUUAAUAUAACGAAAAAAGACACGUCGUUUUUUGACUGCUGCACUUCUGAAAUAAAAACGACAUGUCGGCUGACGUCUUCUUCAACCUCUGGAGCAUGUGAGAGCGCGUGAAUGAUGACAGAGGCGCGUGGUUGACUGGCCGUGGCUUCGGGUGGCGGGUGGGAGCGCGUGGGAAUGUGUUUAAAUGCGAAAUUUUUACAGUUUCUUCACUGAAAACUGAGAAAUUUGAUGGUGUUCUUGGGUUUUGAGGAACACACUCUCAGAAAAUUGCUGGGAUUGUUGAUAAAUUUGUAAACUCAAGUUUUUUACGUAUGGGUGGCUUGUUUCUUGAUCGGCAUGGAUAUCUGUAAUGGUAGGAAUGGGUUUAAGAAAGAAAAUGGUGGGAAAAAUGGUUGUGGGAGGAAUUUGGUUUCCUCUAUUUUUGUUACAAACAGAGCAGCGGAACUUGAAGAAACUUGAGCGUAUUCAUGGCUCUGAUACCAUGAAGAAACGUGUUUUCAUUUCUUAAAUAAAGCAUUAUACAUUGAGAGUUAUUUAUAGAUGCAGAGGCUACAUUUGUUCAAAGAUUACAUAUGUGAAUACGGAAGGAAAUGUGUCAAUCCGUUCGGCGCGGAUCUUGUAUUUGACAAGUGCAGAUUCUGUCUUUGAAAGCUUCAUUCAAUGCCGUUUUAUUUGAUUCUCAACAGGAAUGCCCAAUGACACUUACCCAAAAUAAUUUAAUCCGAAAUUGUAUCCCAAAUAGAUUACAGAGGUUUGAGGAAGUUGGAUACCCUUUAUUUGGGAGGGAAGGGAAAUUGCAGUGAUAUAUGGAAGCAAGGUGUUGCAAUCAAUAAAGAAAUUCAUAGGGUCAAUAUUCAAGGACUCUCCUCCAACUCAAACAUUUCUCAAAUAGAUUAUUUAAUCUGAAAUAGUAUCUCAAAUAGAUUAUAGAGGUUUGAGGAAGUUGAAUACCUUUUAUUUGGGGGGGAAGGGAAAUUGCGGUGAUAUAUGGAAGCAAGGUGUUGCAAUCAAUAAAGAAAUUCGUUGGUCAAUAUUCAGGACUCAUCCAAAGUGAUCGUUAAAGUCUAGAGGUCUGCUCUUCUCCAACUCAAACAUUUCUUCAAUGAUGAGAAUUAUUCAAAUUGUUGUCAGUGGGAAGGGGUUGAGUGCAACAACACCACUGGCAGAGUGAUUAAACUAGAUCUAGGAGCCACUAGGAAUCGGGAAUCAUCAGAGUGGCAUAUGAAUGCUUCUUUGUUUACUCCCUUUCAACAAUUAAAGUCUCUUCAUCUAAUUGGGAACAAUAUAGCCGAUUGUGUUGAAAAUGAAGGUCUUUAAUUUACUCUAUUUUAGUUCUUCCUCGUAAUUUCUUACAUUUAUCUUAUCCCUUUUGGCUUUUGUUUAAUUUGUACGUGAUACAAUAAAAUUAUUUUUUAUUUUUUGGCAGGUCUAGAGAGGCUAUCAAGGUUGAACAACUUUAAGUUUCUUUAUUUAGACCUUAACCACUUCAACAACAGCAUCUUUUCAUCUCUAGGUGGUCUUUCAUCACUCAGACAAUUAUCAUUGGCUACUAAUCGAUUGAAUGGAAGUGUUGAUAUUAAAGGUAAGUAAGCUUCAUCCCUUCUCCCGUGUCCCAUCUUUUGUGGAUCUUAUCUCAUUGACGGGCUGGAAGUAUUGAUACGAGAUCUAGCUAGACUCUUGCUAGUUUAGGCUUCAAGGCUUUGAAUAUUACAAAAAUAGGAUUAAGAAAAUAUCAAUAAAUGCAAAUUUCAAUGCUUCUCAUAAUCAGACACAAUUAAAUCUAAUUAUUUUGUAUGUCCUGUCUUCAAAAGAAAAGAAUUGUACACCAAAUGGAAAUCGACAUUAUUGUUUGCUUUUGAUUAGUGGAUCAAAAAUCGACUAAUUUUUGUUUAACAUAAAAAUAAAAAAGAGAAAAUAAGUUAUUUAAUUAACCCUGUUUUAAGUGUUGGCAUAAAUGCAGGACUGAAUUCCUUGAGUAACUUGGAGGAGCUGGACAUGAGCUUCAAUGCAAUCGAAAAUCUUGUGGUUCCUAAGGGUAUACAAAAUGUUCAAAUAUUAAUAAUUUGGAGGACAAUUUAAUAGAUUUGAUUAGGGAAUGCCCAAUGACACUUACCCAAAAUAAUUUAAUCCAAAAUUGUAUCCCAAACAGAUUUCAUAGGUUUGAGAAAGUUGAAUACCCUUUGUUUAGGGGGAAGCAGAAUUCGAAUGAUAGAUGGAAGCAAGGUGUUGCAAUCAAUAGGAUCACUACCGUCCCUUAAAACACUUUAUCUUUCGUCUACUAAUUUUACGGGAACAGUAGUUAAUCAAGGUAAGUAAAUCUUUUAUGUAGAAAAUAAUUGAAUUAAUAUAUAUAGCUAAAAUUUACUGUUUCUACUUCUUUCUAAAUAGAAUUGCACAAUUUCACCAACUUGGAAGAAUUGAUAUUGCUCGGGUCUCAUCUCCACGUAAGCCAGCUUCUGCAAAGCAUCGCAUCAUUCACAUCGUUAAAGCAUUUGUCAAUGCCAGUUUGUACGCUUACAGGUGCCGUACAUGGUCAAGGUAAAUUACGGGUAUCUGAAGCUUUUAUGAUAUUAAUUCGAUAAUAAUUAUUUCUUUUCAAGUUAAUUUUCUCCCAUAAAAUAAUAUAUAUUUUUUUAAAUUUUAUAUAUUUUCACUGUCCAAUAGUUCUAGCUUCUCUAAUUUGCAGGAUUCUUGAUUAAGGUUAAUGAAAUUUUAGUUCUGUUAUGUUAAGAAUAUUUUGAUCGCUAAGAAGAGUAAAGAAAAAUAAGUAAAUUAACCCAAAAAAAGAAAAGAACAGGAACAUAUUAUCCUUAUUACCUUGCAUUAUGUGAUCAAUAUCAAAAUAAUAACCAUUUCUUGUUUAUUGCUUGUAGAUUUUCGUAAAUUCAACAAUUUGGAACAUCUGUACAUGGGUGAUGUGCAGGUUGACGUCAACACCAGUUUUCUUCAAAUUGUCGGCGAAUCGAUGCCUUCUCUUAAGUUUUUAUCACUGACAGAUUCAAGUCUUAAUAAAAACACCAUUCUUGAUCAAGGUUAGUUAAUGAUUCUCUUUCUCCCUCUCGCGCAUCUUAACUAAAUUUAAUUGCGAAUAUCUGUAAUGCUAGCUAUUUAUAAACUUAAUGAAAGAUGAUAAGGAGCCAUAAUAAUGACAAAAAUAACUGUAAAAUAGUGCACUGUUGUAGUGUUGAUUGAAAAAUAAUGCUAAUUUUUUACUUAACACUAUAACGCUGUAUAAUUUUACAGUUAUUUUGUUGCCAUUACGUCAUAUUCUACUGUUCAACUAUCAGUGAUCAAACUUAAUUUUUAAUAUGUACUUUAAAGAUUUUAUGCAAUUAUUUAAGUUUUAUGCAAUUAUAUUUUUCAGGACUUUGUCGGUUAGUGCAUCUGCAAGAGUUAUACAUCAACGGUAAUGAUUUGAGAGGUAGCUUGCCAUGGUGCUUGGCAAAUUUGACUUCCCUUCGAGUAUUAGAUGUCUCUUACAAUCAACUAACUGAAAACAUCUCCUCAUCUCCCCUCAUGCAUCUAACAUCUAUCGAAGAGCUCAUACUUUCAAAUAAUCACUUCUUCCAAAUCCCUAUUUCACUUGAACCACUUUUCAAUCUCUCAAAACUCAAGACUUUCGAUGGUGAAAUAUGCGCAGAAACUGAGUCACAUUAUAAUUCUUUGACCCCAAAAUUCCAACUGACUUCUAUCUCACUGUCUGGUUACAUAGAUGGUGGCACAUUUCCCAAAUUCUUGUACCAUCAGCAUGACUUGAAGAAUGCUGAUCUCUCACACCUUAACUUGAGUGGACAAUUUCCAAAUUGGUUGGUAGAAAACAAUACGAACUUAGAGACGCUUCUUCUUGCCAACAACUCUCUUUUUGGAUCAUUUCGGAUGCCAAUUCAUUCCCACCAGAAAUUGGCAAGAUUGGAUGUCUCUAAAAAUUUCUUUCAAGGCCAUAUUCCGGUGGAAAUCGGAACAUAUCUGCCAUGUUUAAUGGAUUUAAACUUAUCUAGAAAUGCUUUCAACAGUAGCAUUCCCUCUUCAUUUGCUGAUAUGAAAAUGUUGGAAAGGUUGGACAUAUCCUACAAUCAGUUGACUGGUGAAAUCCCUGAGCGCAUGGCCACGGGUUGCUUCUCAUUGGAAAUUCUUGCAUUGUCAAACAACAGUUUGCAAGGUCAUAUAUUCUCUAAAAAAUUUAACUUGACAAAUUUGAUGACGUUGCAGUUGGAUGGUAAUAAUUUCAGUGGAGAGAUCCCAGAAAGCUUAUCUAAGUGUCGUUUCUUAAGAGGAUUAUAUCUAAGUGAUAAUCAUCUCUCUGGUAAGAUUCCAAGAUGGUUGGGUAAUUUGUCAGCUUUAGAAGAUAUUAUAAUGCCCAAUAACAAUCUUAAAGGACCAAUUCCAAUCGAGUUUUGUCAGCUUGAUUAUCUGAGGAUUUUAGACCUUUCAAACAAUAGUAUUUUCGGAACCUUACCAUCUUGUUUUAGUUCAGCAUAUAUCGAACAAGUUCAUUUGUCAAAAAACAAGAUAGAAGGACGGUUGGAAAGUAUAAUCCAUGACAGCCCCAAUUUGGUGACAUUAGAUCUCAGUUAUAACCGCUUACACGGAAGUAUUCCAAAUCUGAUUGACAGACUACCUCAGUUAAGCUACCUUCUUUUGGCUAAUAAUUAUAUUGAAGGUGAAAUACCAGUUCAAUUAUGCCAGUUGAAGGAAGUGCGGUUGAUUGAUCUUUCUCAUAAUAAUCUAUCUGGUCAUAUUCCUCCUUGCUUGGUUAACACUUCACUCAGUGAAGGUCAUCAUGAGGCAGUAGCUCCAACUUCUAGUUCGCAGGAUCAAUCGCCUGCCUUACUUCCAUCUGAGGCUCCAACUGGAUCUCCGAUGGGAAAGGAAGAAACUGUACAAUUCACAACAAAGAAUAUGUCCCACUAUUAUCAAGGAAGAAUUUUGACGAGUAUGUCUGGGAUUGAUCUUUCUUGUAACAAACUGACAGGUGAGAUUCCUACUCAAAUUGGAUAUCUUACUAGGAUUCAUGCACUAAAUCUAUCUCAUAACAAUUUGACGGGCACAAUCCCGACAACAUUUUCAAACCUGAAGCAAAUCGAAAGCUUGGACCUCUCCUACAACCUACUGCAUGGGAAAAUCCCUUCUCAGCUCACUGUGCUAAAUACAUUGGCGGUCUUCACAGUAGCAUACAAUAACUUAUCAGGCAAAAUUCCAGACAGAGUUGCACAAUUUUCAACUUUUGAGGAAGAUAGCUAUGAGGGGAAUCCUUUUCUUUGUGGAUGGCCACUGUCUAAAAGUUGCAAUGAUAGUGGAUUAUCAGCAGUGACACGAGAAGCUUACACUGAUAAUGAAGAAGGUGAUAGUUUAAUUGACAUGGACAGUUUCCUAAUCACUUUUACAGUAUCUUAUGGAAUUGUGAUAUUAGGAAUUAUUGGAGUUUUAUACAUAAACCCCUAUUGGCGACGAAGAUGGUUUUACCUUGUUGAAGUAUGUAUGAUCUCUUGCUACUAUUUUGUAGUAGAUAAUCUUAUUCCUAGAAGAUUCUAUGGUGGAUGGAUGUAAUUUCAUUUACUUUACAACUUAUAUGUAAUUUUUAAAGAAUUUUCUUUUGCAUGCAUGGAAUAGCAACUCAAUAAAAGUAUUUGAUGCAAAUUGUCCUAGAACAACUUAGUAAUUUCAUUGCUACUAUUUGGUUGUAUAUAUACAGUUAAUGAAAUUUUUAAUCAUUCGCAGUAGGAAUUUCUUUAGAUGGCGGCCAAAACUAACAGAUUUGGGGCUCUACUUCUACACAUCAUAACAGGCAAAAGGUCUCUCUUUUACACGAUCUGAAUGAAGAUUAACUUACGCCCUCUAGGCUCUGGAGUGUGUGUAAGUUCUCUAUUAAACUUGACGGUUGAGAUUUCAGGUCCAGAUGAAAGUUAAAUGCAGGCGACGAGACUUCACUUCAAGUAAACUGGGACAAACUGAGAGUGAUGGGUAGCUCAACUUAUGGAGGAUAACUUGGACUUGGAGUAACUAUCAGAUUUGCAACUCUUGUUAUAUGCUAGUGGGGAUUUAGGUAGCAAUUAUCGCCUUGAGAGUUACAGUAAUCGAUUCAUUUCCUCCUCCAUUUCUGAUGGUAACCCAGCUCUAUACAAGAACAAUCAGAGAAGGUUCAUUUAAGAAAUUUCACAACCCACAUUUUUUUUUUCCUUUUUGCCCUCUUCCUCACAAUAAAAACACCUAACACACCAAGCCGUGCACAAAAUAGUCCUAUUUUAUUCAAGUCAUGAAUCCAAAAACUAUCCCAGCUCACUUUGUUUAACCAGCAUAACUAAAUUGUGGGCAUAAAUGAACACACUUUCAGAAAGCUACACAAUACAAACUGGGUUUCACUUGCAGAAAGCUACACGAUAGACAAAAUCUAGCAGCUACAUAAUGGUAUCACUUUCAGCUGGUCAUGAAUGGUGUGCAUUCAGCAAUGCUCGAUAGACCAUGUCUAUGAAUUGAUUGUCCUAUUACAUAUAAAAUCUGGUCAGAUAUACAAGGAAAAAAAUAAUAAUUGAAAAUGCAUCACAAAAAAUAAGUCUCGCAUUAGUGUUUGCACUCUAAGCAUGAUUUGAAGACUGCGAUAAGUGAAAAAUAGUUCAAUCCACUGAUGAGCAUAAAUUUAUUUAAAUGUCAAUUUAGAUAUCAUAAAAAAGUAAACAGUAAUUCACAGUCACUUAAAAGAGUUGAUAAAAUGCGUGCCAUGAAUGCAUUUUUGUACAUAAGAAAUCCAAAGAGUAUUUCUGACAAUACAAAUAUGCUAGCUUUAAAUCUGCCGUCAAUAUGCAAUUAAGAAGAUUAUACCAGCUGCACGAUAAAGUUCCCCUAAUCUUAAUAACAGUAAACAUGAACAUGUCAGAUGCAAUUAUAGCUUCGAGCAUUUGCAUAACCAGAAAUCCUAACCUGAACAAGCACCAGAAGUGUCUCUCGGACUUUCUCCUUGCUGAUAAAUGGUCCGCUGUUUGAAGUAAGAGCAGGAGUAAGAGAUGGUGGAGGGGUUGGUGGUGGAAAAGGUUGAGGGACUGGGGCACCAUAUGGGCUGCAACACUCAGGGGAGGAUUAAGUGGCGGAGCUGUUGGUGUAGAUGAAGAGACAAGCUGCAUCAUCCGUGCAUAGGAGGAUGGAGGAGGAACAAAGAAUAAGGAAGGCUUUACAAGAUUAGGGGUAGGUGCUGAUAGAGGUGGAGAUGGUAUUUGCAAGGUUGGCACGAUAGGAGAAGCAACACUGGCGGGAUGAGAAGAUAAAGAAAUAGUUGUAUUGGACUGGUAAGGUUGUGCAGAGAUUGCUGCAUUAGAAGUAUUCCCUACAGUCAAAGCUGUCUGCAAUGAUAAGGACAGAUGUCAUAUACAAGGACAUCAUAGAAGUUGAACCUCACACAAAAAUGAAGUGAUAACAUAUGAAAAUAGUAUAUGACUUGCAGCAUUUUUGUGGUAAUGUUGCAUACUUAUGUAGAAACAUAUUAUUUCAAAGAAAACAUACACUGAAGAAGUUCACAAAAGCAGGAUCUUCAGGAACAUCAGCAGCAUUUGAGGGAGUUGACUCUAGAGGACCAUCCAUAACUGCCAUAGUUGGAACAGCUUCCAGUUCCUCAAACUCACUGCAGUUUAACAUAAAAGGAACUUGAUGACCAAUUUAAGUAAUAAUUAGAUGAUAUAAGAGGUUAGGGAAAAUGAUGAGUGGACCCUUAUGGAAGGUGAUUUCACCUUAGCUAAACACGAAAAUAAAAAGAAAUCACCUCGAGUGCAAUGCAAAGAAUUUUUUCUCUCUCUUCUCUAACUCCUCUUAUUCGAAAUUGCUCAUCAUUGUGCUGUUCUUCGAGUUUUCGCUAGAGUAGAGAAAGCUAUUCUCCCGUUAAGUGCAGAGGAAAGAGAAGGGAAAGGGCCUGGUAUGAUGCUAUUCUAUAGGAAGUGAGAAGGUGAAGGGUCGAAAUAUUUUGUAAUUUGGAGGUGGUGUUUGUUAGUGUGUGUGUACUUCUGAAUUUAUUACCUCUGUAGGAUCCAUAGAAAUUGCCUCUUGUUCAGCAUGCACUGUGCCUACGAGUAAGGCGAGCUUGCAUGGUAUCUAUUGUCUAUUUACUUGGAUAUUCAAACAGGACUACCAGUAACACAAAUCCCCAAACAAAACACUCUUUCAAGUGCAAGGAAAGAGUAACUUGGCCAUAUUUAUGGUUCAAGCACUACAAUAACUAAGAAUGUGAUGACUGUCCACAAACACUAUAUCAGUGCCUUUUGAACUACAUCACAUGCUCGAAGACUUUUUUUUUUAGUCAUACAUAAAUUAGCUAUAAAAUUAAGACCAUUAUACAACUAAAAAGAAAGAAAAAUUGUUUGCUACUACAUAUCAAUGUAAGAUGGCAGACUUCUUACUUAAACAGAUGAGAGGCUACAAAUAAAAAAUUUGUGCAAAUAAAAUAUAUGAUAAAGAGCAUAAUACUUUCUUGGGGGCUAAAAAUAAUAUACAACUUGUGAAAUAUAAAUUGAGCUACCAUUACCUUUUAGAUGUGGCAACUUUCGACUUUUGAGGCACCUUGGAAUAUGCAUUCAGAAUCCUGCAUUUGGAAGCCAAAUAAAUAAUGUUAAUAACAAUUUUACAAUAGAAAAAUUAAAAAUUGAUAAAUGGCAGUUGUAAUUUAUGUAUGCGUAAAGAUAGCUUCACAUCCAGGGUCCUCCCAUAAACAUGCUUGUAACAAGAAUUAGUUUGCCUCAACUGUUAGCAACUGCUAACAAUAUACAAUAGUAAAAAUCACUCUUAUGAAGUCAACAAUACUAGGCACCAAUAAGAGUAUGAUACAGCCAUUCUAAAAUGGAAGAGAAUACAACUGUUUUACAACUUUGUUGCAUCAGGAGAUAUGUUAGGAGGAUUAAUCCAGAUACCUUCCAACCCAAUUAGGAAAACUCGAGUCAGAAACAAGGAGCUGCAACCGAACCUUACAAUCUUGAAGGAAGAAGGAGACUUGGGGCAUUUUUCCAGAUAGGUGACUUACUAGAUCUCCUGCCAAGAGAAUAUCUAUUGCUUUGAACCUCCAUUGAAUUUUCUUUUCCCUUUUUCUGGUUUUGACUUGGAACUUUCCAGCAUCAUCUAUUUGAUCUUUUUUAAAGCGAAAAAAGCAAUCUAUGGGUUGUCAACAUCUUAUCACCCCCCCCCCCCGGCCCCCAAAAAAAAAUCAAUGAGUUGUCAAUAAAUAGCGCCUACUCAAAUGUUUUCCAAUGUAUAACAAUGUGCAAAUCGACCUAGUAGCCACAUUUUUCCCCGGUUUCAACCACCGUAUGCAACUUUUCUAACCUUCCUUCAUUGCCCACGUCUACAGAACUAUCAUAUAAAGACUACAUUAUUAUUGGGAUAGAGAAAAAAAUACAGACUAUAUUAUUAUUAUAUCUCAUUUUAUUAAUUAACUAGUGCAAGACUUAUUUAGUGUCAAAUCAAGAACUAAUUAGAAAAGACAACUCAUGAUAAUACAGACCUUAAAAAGCAAUAGCUAGGACCACCCCAUAUACUCCUAUUUUAGCCUUCAAUAUCCUGGUAAAAACACAAUUAAGUCUUGCAAAAGAACAUUCACAAGUAAAUUCAACAUUAAUUAAGAUUAAGUAUCUACUGCACCUUCAAUCAAUGACUGGGUGAAUAGCAUGGUCAACCAUCCAGUUCCUGUAGCCCUCCUUGUACCUAUGUUAGUUACAUUUUACAUAUUAAGCCAGGAAAAUGAAGGAUCACAGCCUGGUAAAGAAAGCCAUUAAUUAAUAGUUUUUGUUUAACAAGUUCUCGUUUAGAUCUUUCCUAUUCAAUGAAUCAAUGUAAUCCAAGGAGAACUCUUCCAUUUCAAGCAGUGUUAGAAGAUAAUUGGAAAGCCUAAAGAUAAUAUACAAGGACCAAGAUAUCAAUUAGGUCAAAUAGUGAAUGUCAAAUAUAAAAAAUAAAUAAAAGAAGUUGUACAUGAUCAUUUACUAUCAAGUUCUGUAAAACUGAAAAUACCAUUAUCCCUAUAGAGAUUCUCAAACAACUCUUUAGCAAAUUAUAAAAUAGUUAAAAAAAGAACGAAAGUUUAAAAAAAAAAAAUGUACAACAGCCAUAUCAGGAGAUGUUUUUCUUCUCAAUCUCAAUAUUUUCUAGCCGUAAAACAAUUGAAAAGCUUAACACCAAGUGAAUUAUUAAGAAUUCAUCAUUUAAAUUCCCAAAUCGCGAAAUGUUGGUGCAACUAGGAAAGUGCAAAUGCAAUCACUUUACUAACACAAGAAACAUCAAUAGUGAGAAGCCAACUUUGUAUCAAAUUUGAAACAGAUAGAUAGAGGUCAAAAAAAUUAUAAAGACACUCAAUUAAAAGCCUUUCAAACAGCUUUUGCAUGCAACAAGAACAAAUCAAAGGCGAUGUGAAUGUAUUGAAAGACUAAUUUACAAUCAUCUACAGGACAUAAAUAUCUUGGAUAACUACUCUCUAUACCUUACUGUCCCACUGAAAAUCAUCAAAUCCCUCCAAACAAAAAUGACAAAAUGGAUAAGAAUUGUGUGGUCAAACUUCAAUAACUUAGCAGCCACAGCAAAAACUUAUGUAGACACGCAAGCCACUCAAAAUAGUCAUAUUGUUUGCUUUCCAAACACAAGCCACUUUGUAAUGAAUAUUCAUAAAUUGCUACUACCAUGUUUGUUAAAACACGUGAAAACCACCAUCACUAACUAAAUGUAACUAAUGAUCAUCAUCACGUUCAUGGAAUCACAUGUCUGACAGUAUUAAUUAGUGCAAAUGGCAUGCUUCUUAAAACUCCUUAUUUAUCACAUGGGUGGCAUUCCAAUCAACCAAUGAUUCUGAUCUAGUCAGCAUAUUCAACCCACGAGCCAGUAAUACCUCCAUUGCUUCUUUAGAUUUCUCAACAAAAUUCCACAUUCUAACCAUACUUCUGAACUUGUUGCUCCCAUAGACUAAUACAAUAUAAAGAUUUCUUCCCACACCACCUCAGCCCUCACUCCUAAAAAACCAAUUUAAAUUCUCAUUGACUGUACAACCUAUAGUCCAUACCAAAUUGAAAAAUUUACAAUAUAGAACCUCAAAGAAUCUUCUUGCGUUCCAUUUUUUACGGCAAGAAAAUUGACUUUUACCACAUGCAAGUCAACAAAUAAAACAAUCAUGUCUUUGUGAGAUGCACAUUUUCAGACGAAUCUGAAGAACAAUGAAACCAUAAAAACCUAAUAUGAGAACACCGAGGACUCCAGAUAUCAUCUAUAGAAUCUUUGGUCCACCCUUGCAUGAUGAAAAAAAAUUGAAGGCUUCGUCACCAACUCCCCAGGUUGUUUUGUUCUCCUAUCUCCUAAAUGUAAAUGAAAGACAACCCGUUCUUUUUCCAAUCUUCAGGGGCACAGAACGACUCUAGUAUUAAAUAGUCAGUUUCUAUACAAAAAUAACUCCUUUGCACUUGGCACUGCACAUCUCAAAAUAAAAAGCAUGCAAGGAGGAGAAUAUAAUAGCAGUAAACAAGUUUUAUUAACCAAACUUCAAAGAUGCCACACAAGGCAAAAAAGAAAUCUGUACAAGCCAGAUCCCAAGAAUAAUAAUUCCAAUAUACAAUUCAUGAAAACAAUAACAAAAACCAUGUUCAUGAGGCCUCAGCAGAAGCAACAUGUAAUAACCAUACUCUAUUAUUUGAAACACAUUUCCAAGUUUGGUUAAGAUUCUAAACUAUUCUCUAUCUGUCAAUUAUUAACAUGUAAAACAUAAUAAUAUACACUUAAACUACUACAGUAGUAAAACCAGUAAAACAACAAUACCUGCUAAAAAGAUUUGCUACCUCUUCACAUUCACGAGCAUUGUAGAACCAAAUCCCAUUUACUUCUUGCGAUGCAUUCCGAUAUAACAAAUACGGAACCUGAACUUCAAACUCUAAAUCUCCCAAAAGAUUUUCCACUAAAUUAUCUGCACAUAUACAAGAUAUUGAAGCUUAUCAGUGCAAAAACAUAUACAAAAAGACAUGAAGGUUAGGAGACAUAACUAAAACUUAGCAACAACUGAUAAGCACAACAAGACAUGAAAUAUAACACUAGUUGUAAACAAGAUAGACACACGGUAUCUAAAUAAUUGUACCAACCCCCUCUCCUGAUUGUCAUAAAAUGGCCAAUAUUUAACGCUAGACAACAACAUUGCAAAUACUCUAGCCUCUAUAUUAUUGGCAUAUAAAUAUUUUCGGUUAGGUACAUUAUAUUCUUCGUUCUAAAACCUCAAUUAUUAGCUAGUACUGUGAUAAAAUGAUUCAUCACUGAAAUUAAAACUAGUUCACGUACAAAUAAUCAAAACUGAAAUAGAAACAACGACAAACCAACCUGUAUUACGUCGAUUCAUCACAACAAACUGAAAUCGAGGCUGUGUGUUCCUGAAAAUUGAAAAAAUAAUAAUUUCAUCAACUUCAUAUGUAAUACAAUCUCCAAAACACCGAAUAUCAAAUAAAAAAAUGGAAAGCAUACGAGGGAAAAUAAUCUUAUUUUAUGACCUUUUGACGACGAAGAGAGAUCCUUCAACAUCCUUACGACUCCAUUGGCUGAGAUCGAUGUUGAACUCGUAGAAGGUGACAUGAGCGGCCGUGAUGAGGAUCUCCUCAAUGAAUGGAUCAAUUCGCUGAAGAACCGUCAGGUUUAGGAGUUUUGUGCUCUGCUGGUCCAGAUUAGGCAUCAAUUUUCCGUUCUGCGACAUAUUUCAUAGUCCUUUUGGGCUCUGCCCCCAGCACAAGCCCCAUGGUUUUUCUGUGAGCUCUCUCUUUUGUAAAUAAAGUGUUCGAUGAGAUAGCCGAGAGAGAGUGAAAGAGUUGAACAGCCAAACAAGGUGAGGUGAACAGUUUCGGACCGAGACUCGAGAUUGAUCUUGCUUUAACUUCUUUUUAAACAUUUGGGAAAUAGCAUUUAUUUCUUUCAAUUUCUCUACUUUUUUUUUCCUUUAUGUCAUUUAGACCCCAAAAUUAGAUUUAUUAUAAUCAUAUUUUACCCAUACACUAUUAACCCAUUUUAUUUUUUAAAUUGUCAAAUAUUAAUGUAUUAAAAUAAUGUUAGAAAUCCCAAUUAUUAUCUCAAUGUUUCAAUCAUAACUAAUGUGAUAACUCAUCGGUAACUGCAACAUUAACUUAAUUAUUAAUGUUUAUCAUGAAAUGAUGAGAUUAUUAUUCAAGAAAAACUUAGUAAACAUCAAUGACUAAUAUAAUAUGACAAUUACAGCUGAAUAUUAGUACAAGAAUUAGGAUCCCUAAAGUUAGUGAAUGUAUUAUAAUAUAUGUGUGUUACACCACUUUAUGUCUCUCAAAUUUAAUUAAGUAAUUUUAUAUUCAAUGAAUCAAUGUAAUCUAAAGAGAACUCUUCCAUUUCAAACUGUGUUAGAAGAUAUUUGCAAAGCCUAAAGAUAAUAUACAAGGACCAAGAUAUACACAGAUUGUUUCUUUAUGGAAUUAAAGAGCUUUAUAGAUGUUAAAACUGUUUCAAACAAUUUUUCUUGUUUGGUUUAACUAAGGAAGAGCUUGUGGAAGAUUAAAAAUGAUGUUUCCUAUUCUCUGUAGGAAGCUUUUAGGAGAUAUUUUGGGCUUUUUUGAAAGGUUGAAUUGUCAAAAAUACCUUCAUGUUAUUGUUUGCUAAAAGAUGUUAUGGACAACUAAACAACCAACGACAUUUUGUUAAAAACUCUACUAGUGUAGGAUCUACUUAAAGAAGUUAUACCAAACAGACUCUUAGACUGAAUAACCCGAUCUUAAGUUUGUAAAAUUGGGCUCAGAAUCUUCACUAACAACCCCGCUUCGGUGAGAAAGCCCAAGCCUGUUACUUUGUAUAACCUUAUUCUGUAUGUUUGAUUGUAGGAACUGGCCAAUCAUACCGACGAGGUGAGUGUGCAGCAUGAGGUGCUUGACGGGAUGUUUACUUUCAAUGAUACAACUAAAGCUAGCCUCAACAUAUAUCAGGUGCCUGCUUGUUUUUGCCUUCUAGAUACUAAUAUUGUUUAGACGUGUAAUCUCUCUCUCCAUUGAACGCUAGCCAAGAGAAAUGUCUGAAUUAUCGAAACAAGAUGAAUUAUUUUUUGUUUAUCGCAGCAGACGAUCUAUGAGCAGAAUUUCUUACAACAAAAGAUGUGUGUCCACCGGCUUGUAUUUAGUCUCGUAAUGCAUUUUAUAUAUAUGCACGCGCACACAGUUUGAGAAGAAUCAGACCAUUAAUUUUCGUUUGAGCCAAUCAACAGAAUGUACAUUUCUUCUAUGAACUUGUAACCGAAACCGCAGUUUUUCAGGUUUGAUGCAUCUGGGAAAAUUUUCAGAUGGAAUAAAACCACCAUGCGCCAAGGUACCAAUGAUGUUUCUUCCAGCUUACGAGCACUUCAAAUAAACUUAGGUCAUAUUUACACAAGGGCGCACAUGAUAUCAAUCUAAUGGCAAUUAUAUCAUCUAAAAUCCAAGACCAAGAGUCUCCCAUUUUCCCGUUCCCUACUCUGUUCAUAUUAUCAUAACUUGAAGUUGCAAGGCAGCCGCAAUCUCCCAGAUCUUUGCUCCUUCCUCAUAGCAGUUAAUCAAACGAUAAACAGAGAUAUCCCAUGUCAACAAGGAGGUAAUCAUAAAAGAACAACAGAAUUGUUGCAAUAUAUUCAUAUGAAAUGUAAAACAAUUUUGAGAAAAAAUAUUGGGAAGAUAUUUUUUUUUUCAUAGAAGUUGCAAUCUUUACGUUAUAUACUAGUUUGACUAGACUAUACAAGGAAGCUAUAUGAAAUUAGAAAAAUAAGCUAUACUAGGAAAGAAUAAAUAUAUGUACAGAAAAUUAGGCUAUAAUCUCUGACUUUCAACAAAUUUAAUAUCAAUUUUCUUCAGGAAGUUGUCUCGCAAGGGGCGCAUCAGUAUUGCAACGUCUGCUGGGUCUUACAUUAUCCACAAAAAUAACUCGUCCAUCUAGUAACUGCAAGUACAUACUGUGAGAUGCUUAAACUCAACAAUAUAAGCAUGGUAAAUUAGAGAAAAAUGAUGCAAUUUUACCUUCCCAUUCAUGUCUGCCAAGGCUUUUUGGGCUUCCUCUUAUGUACUGAAAGUCACAUAUCCGUAACCUUUUGAUCUAUUCUUACCUUAUCCAUUAUUAUUGUAGCUGCAAAAAGAAAAGAAUCGGAUAUUACAAAAUAGUGAAGAGGGAAGAGGGGUUGAGACUUAAAACAGAAAUAGACCAAACCCUCAGUGACGUGGCCAAAUUGUGAAAAAGCAUCAGCUAACAUGCCUUUAGUGGUUGAGAAAGAUGCGCCUGCAAAGGAUGCCAGUUAAUUUUAUCAUAAUUAGAUGGUAAGAUUGCAAAUUCUGCAGCCAAAGGUAGUACGGAACUGAAUGAAGGAAAUCAAAUAUGAAUAUGUUGUCAAUCUCAAAAUAUUAAGAGUAGCAUAAGUAACUUGUGAAACAGUUAUAAGUUCAAGGGAAUUAGAUGAUGGUAUGGUUGAAUUUAUAAAUAUUUGAUAUUUAACAAGUUAGUGUGUACUAUGCAAUUGCAAAAUUUAAGUUCCACAGAAUCGGUUCCUUUAACAUGAUGCAUCACAUAAUAUUUUGUUUGCAAAAUAAAGAAGAAAGAUGACAUAAUAGAAACACUCACAGAGAGAGAAUACCUUUGACGAAAAGCUUAGAAGUGAAUCCUCUGUAAAAUACGAGUUGAGCUGCUGAAUUUUCGAGUUUGAAUGAGAGACUGCGGCAAUUCUGAAAAUGUUUUUUUCUCAUUAGCGCCGCCAUUUUUGUAAUAGAGGGUAAAGAAAUAAGUAACAGAGUAAGAGGUGAGCAGAAACGGCCCAAUUUAGUUAUAUGCCAUGCAUGCGAUCAAAAUUGAAUGGUUAAAUGGCAGCCACUAUGUUACAUCUUGUGUAAGUAACAAACCGCCUACAUGGAUCGUUGGAUUUGGGAAUAUGAAAUCCAAUGGAUAAUAUUGAAUUUAACGAAAAAUAGAUUACAGGUUGCAUUAGUCCAAGAUUAUUUCAAACAAACCAGCUGAUGAAAUAGCCGCUAAUCAAAUUUAAAAGGGAAAAAAAAUCAUAGGUUAUAGAUCUUAUUUCCAUCUUAAAUCUAUGUCUUUCAUGGUAACUCAAUGUGUAUUCUAAUUUAUAAUUUGGAUCUAUAUUAGAGCUAAUGCUUCCCUAAAUAACUAAGAAAAUUUUCUUUUCAUUGAUUAAAUAUCUAUUUCCAAGAUCUUGUAUAUGUAGGAUUUGAAAAGAGGGAGAAUAGUAGGGUUGAUAAUGAGAGAAGAUAGAGAUGUCCAUUCUCAAAUCUAAUAUUAAUGCUAUACUUAUGUUCCUAUACUAAAUAAAUUAUCCAAGGUUCGUGGUUAAUGAUAAGUUGCGAAAUUUUAAUUUCUAUUUAAAGUUUUGUCUAAUAUGGCUUUUCAUAAAGCUUAGAGAAAAGUAGAGCUUUUACAAAAAAACAUUUAAUUAGAAUUGUGAAUGAUAAAUUUUAUUAAAAUUUUUUAAAAAGUACUUUAAUAAAUAAGCUUUUAAAGUUAUAUAUAUUAUGAAAGAAAUGAAAUAAGAUUAUAUAAUAAAUUAAGAGUAUCUUAGAUAAUUGAACUUAAAAAAAAAACUCGCUAAGAGGAUUAAAAUUUGAGUUUUAAUAGUGGAUACAAAAUAGUUUAUUUAAUUCUCAAAAGCUCUACUCAAAAUAGUUUAUUUAAUUCUCAAAAAAUAUUUUUUUCAAUGAGUAAAUAAUACUAAACAUGCACUAAAGUGUUAGGACCAGAAGUUGUCCAAAUAAAAUCAUGAAAUUAUAUGCUGUUGGAUGGAUAUUUUUCAAAUUUGCUGUAGUUUUUUUUUCUUUUCUGCUGGGAAAUUGAAAUGAUGGCUACAACUUAAAUUAUGAAUGGAGUAAUCGGAGAAUAUUGAAACCCAUUUAAUUUGGAUCGUGCAUUGAGGGACGAAAGGAUAAAAAAUUUAAUUUUGAAAUUGCUGUUGGGUACGGUACAAUGACUUACCGUUGACAGCUUGUGCAACCGGAUUACAAUCGGUUAGUUCAAUAAUUUUAUAUCCCUAUUCAACCGCCACGUGCUGCUGUUACAUGGGUCAAUUACUCAUGUCAUUACUGUUACUUACAGCUGCUGUAACAUAACCGGACCCAAAUGGUUAAAUUCUGUUGUUUCCAAUAAUUUUAUGCUGUAUCUUCUUUAAUAAUAAAGAAAACUUGCAUUAAAAUUAAAAUUAGGGUAAUGCCUGAUUUUAUAAAUAGAUUGCAAUGUAAUUUUGAAAAAUAAAUUAAUAAUUUACGAAAUGUUUAUAACAUAAUUUAAUUUUUUUCAAAAAGGAAAAACAACAAAAGUAAAAAAUAGAGAAUGAGGGCUACAAACUUUGCAUCUUAAACGGCCGUUAGAUUAUUUGUAAAUGAAAGCAACGGUCAGAUAUUGGUGGAUUAUGGAAACAUGUAAUCAUAAGGACUACGAGUUUUUUUUUGUUACAUUAAUAUAUUACAAUCAAAAUUCUGUUGGUAUUUAGAACCAGAAUUUCAUUUGACUAUCUUUGAUAAUUCUAAGCUGGUACAGCCUAAAUUCUUAUUCUCAUAUAAUAUCAAAGAGAGAUAUAUAUUCUUCUCCUCUAUUAAUAAAGAGACAUUUUUACUUCUAUCCAAUUUAAAUAGAACAAGAAUUAAGUCAUUUUAAUAGUUAGGACUCAAAACUCAUACACGUUAGUUUGAGAGUGUGGGGUGUGACAAUGGGCCAAGAGACCAUUGACAAAUACAAAAGAGUGGCAGAAAUUAAUUCAAACCGCUACACACGCUAUUGCAACCAAAUUGAGGGCACAUUUUUGUUUAUUUUGUUGAAAAGUAGUCUGUAAAAUUAACUCAAACCGCUACAUACGCUAAUGCAACCCAAUUGAGGGCCCAUUUUUGUUUAUUUCGUUGAAAAGUAGUUUGCGCAAUUAAUUCAAACCGCUACACACACUAUUGCAUCUUUUGAAAAAGAAAAAUGGAAUAAUUUUUCAAAAUUAAUUUAGAGAAUAAGAUUUACUAAUAAUGAUGUUAGAAAUCUUAAUAUUUGAAUCUUAAUAUUAUCUAUAGAAAUCUUAAUAUUUGAAUCUUAAUAUUAUCUAUCACUCAUUUAUUAAAUAAUAAAUUUCAUAGUUUGUAAAAUUACUUAACCACUUGAUAAAUGUUAUAUUUGUUGGGACUAGAUUGGGACUUAAAUAUUAGAAUAUCUAGUAUUACAUAAAAAAAAUUAACAAUUUAUCUUCACACGACUAAUUGUUUUUACAUCACAACUAACCUUAAUUAUUUUAAAAGUUAUAGUAUUAUUAAAUUGCCCUAACUAGUUAUCAAAAGGUGAAAGCAUGUUUUAAAAAGAAAUUACUAAGAAACAUUUGUUUAAACGAAGGUUAAGGUUAUGAUCAAUUAAUUAAGAAGAAACUUACUAUCAAAGGUUAAGAUUAUGAACAAUUUAAGGAAGUUAUUGAGCAGAGAAAGGGACAGAAUGGAUGUUUGAAUUGCCGGUGACAAGAAUGCUUGUGUUGUGAAAAGAAAUCCGAUGGUUUGUAAAUGGGUUGAAUUUUUCGCUCGCUUCAAUGACUUGCUUAUGCCCAAUAUAUUACUUUGCACAGUAGUAUUUGGGAUCCUAACAAUCAACUCUUAAUUUGGUCCCAAUAUAUUACUUUAUGAAUGAUUAGUUAAUAACUAUCAUGUUAAAGCUUCUGUCAAGCAAACACCCAUUGAAUUUUUCGCUCGCUUCAAUGACUUACUUAUGCCCAAUAUAUUACUUUGCACAGUAGUAUUUGGGAUCCUAACAAUCAACUCUUAAUUUGGUCCCAAUUAGUAUAGUAAUCAUCUAUUGAGCGGUAAAAUUUUCUUGCUUUCAAUUUCCACUGUUAUUUUUUUUAAAUAAAAUAAUUUAUUUAAACUAGUCAUAGAAAUAAGAGAGAAAAGGGGUCAUUUCUUGACUCAAAGUCAAUUGUAAUUAUCAAAACUUGAGGGGACAUCGCAUGCCUAAAUUCCACACACCCUAAAACGGUUUGAUUUGCUUUCAGGCGUUCAUGAAUUUCCAUGAAAGAGCCUGCCUUUCGUCUCUUUCGGGACAGUGACUACAAUAAUGGAAAAAAUUAUAAUUCUCGUUAGAUUGUAACCAAAUUAUUAUCCCUAAUUUUUUUAAGUUAAAUAUAAUUAAAUUCAUGCUUAAGUAUUUAGUAAUUAGAGAGAGAUAGAGAGGAUUGAGGGCCAAUGUUUCGCGAUUUGGGGUCAAUUUAAAGUCAACUAACGUGUAAAACACGUGUAUGCAUAGAAAACGCUUAGAUUAUUUGUGUUCCCAAGUGCAAGAAAUUAAGAAAAGAAAAUUUGAUUUCCUUUCAUGAACUUCCAAGAAAGAAAGAAGACCCUUCACCUUGUUCGUGACAACAAAUGAAUGAAUGAUGUUGAUAUGACAAAUACAAGCGCUAUUACAGGGAACAGCAUAAGAUCGAGACUUGAUAAAGGGUUUGUUAAAUUACAUGUUAUUUUCUUUUGACUUGAAUGAUGUUGAAGAAAAAAAUAAAAUAACAUUGUAAUCAGGGUGAUGUGUGGAAUAUAGUGAAAUAAAUAAAUAGAGAAGAGAAAUUCGUUGAUCAAUAUUCAAGAACUCAUCCAAAGUGAUCGUCAAAGUCUAGAGGUUCGGUAUGAUUAGCAUUUAUUUUUAUUUUUUUUUGGCUUAGCAUCAUAUAUAGUCACCUGUCGUGUGAUCUAGGACAUGUUUAGAAAUCCUUUUAUUUUAACUUCCGUAUUCUUAUUAUUUAAUUAGUUAUUGGGUUUUUAAGUAUUUGAGUAUUGAUCACAUGUCUCCUAAUCUAAAAAUAUGUUUUUAAGAGUACAAAUAACAAACUAGGAUUUUAACAGCCUUUUAUACUAAACCCUAAAAAUACAUGAAUUUAUCAAAAUAAGUAAAUUAAUUUAAAUUGGUAUGGCAUAUUAGAAGUUUUACCAGCCGAAACAAAUUAAAAAAAUAUUACACUUAAAUCAAAUAUUGACAAAAAUAGAUAACAAUCUAAUGAGAAUCUUAACUAGACAUUUUUACUUCUAUCCAAUUUAACUGGAUAAAUUGACAAAUAUUGACAAAAAUAGAUAACUCAUACACGCUAGUUUGAGAGUGUGGGGUGUGACAAUGGGUCAAAAGACCAUUGACAGGUAUAAAAGAGUGGUCGCAAUUAAUUCAAACCGCUACACACGCUAUUGCGUCUUUUAAAAAAGAAAAAUGGAAUAGUUUUCCAAAAUUAAUUCAGAGAAGAAGAUUUACUAAUAAUGAUGUUAGAAAUCUUAAUAUUUGAAUCUUAAUAUUAUGUAUCACUCAUUUAUUAAAUAAUAGAUUUCAUAGUUUGUAAAUUUACUUAACCACUUGAUAAAUGUUAUAUUUGUUGGGACUAAAUUGGGACUUAGAUGUUGGAAUAUCAAGUAUUGCAUAAAAAUAAAAAAUAAAAACUUAACAAUUUAUCUUCACAUGACUAAUUGUUUUUACAUCACAACUAACCUUAGUUAUUUUUUAAAGUUAUAGUAUUAUUAAAUUGCCCUAACUGGUUAUCAAAAGAUGAAAGCAUGUUAAAAUAAGAAAUUACUAAGAAACAUGUGCUUAAACAGAGGUUAAGGCUACGAACAAUUAAGAAGAAACAACUUACAAUCAAAGGUUAAGAUUAUGAACAAAUUAAGGAAGGUAUUGAGCAGAUAAAGGGACGAAAUCAUUGUCUGAAUUGCCGGUGACAAGAAUGCUUGUGUUGUGAAAAGAAACCUGAUGGUUUGUAAAUGGGUUGAAUUUUUUAUUCGGUCGCUCCAACUGACUUACUAAUGCCAAAUUUAUUACUUUGCACAGUAGUGUUUAGGAUCCUCAAGAUCAACUCUUAAUUUGGUCCCAAUUAGUGUAGAAAUCAUCUAUUGAGCAAUAGAAUAAGAAUUUUUCUAGUCAUGAAAUUCAAUAUAUAAUAUAUCCUUGACACACAUCGAUUAUAACUUAACUGUUAGAAUUCAUAACAUUACUCUACUCUCAAGGGGAGUUCUCUUAACAUAUUAUGUUAGGUUGCCUACAUUCAAAAUAUGUUAGGCUGCUCUUUGAAAACAAUAUUCCUUUUUCCGUAACUUUGAAUUGAUCCAAUAGCUCUUGAAAAGCACAUAAUAAUCAUUAUAAAUUUAAUCAAAGACUAAGCAAGUCUUCUUUGCAUUUGAUCACUGGCAUUUCAGUUAAGUUUGUCAUUUACUUAAAUUUUUCUUGCUUUCAAUUUCCACUGUUGUUUUUUUUAAUAAAAUAAUUUAUUUAAACUAGUAAUAGAAAUAAGAGAGAAAGGGGUUUUCUUGACUCAAAGUCAAUUAUAAUCAUCAAAACUUGAGCGGACAUUGCAUGCCUAAAUUCCACGCACCCUAAAACGGUUUGAUUUGCUUUCACGCGUUCAUGAUUUUCCAUGAAAGAUAGUGCCUGUCGUCUCUUUCCGGACAGUGACUACAGUCAUGGAAAAAUUAUGUUAAAGUGACGAAUACAAAACGUUAUUACAUGCAAGAAUAAGUUUUUGGAGCCGAGACUUGAGGGAGGUUCUAUCUAAUUCUAAAGAUUGUAACCAAAUCAUUAUCCCCAAUUUUUUUCAGUUAAAUAAAAUAAAAUUUAUGCUUAAGUAUAAAUAAUUUUUUUAAGUUAAAUAUAAAAUAAAAUUCAUGAACUUCCUAGAAAGAAAGAAGACCCUUCACCUUCUUCACGACAACAAAUGAUGUUGAUAUGACAAAUACAAGCGCUAUUACAGGGAACAGCAUGAGACCGAGACUUGAUAAAUAUUAAAUAUAUAAAAUAAGUGGAGCAAACAAACAGAAUAAUAGAUUUUUAUAAUAUUCUUCAUAAAAAUCCAAGUUUUGAGCUGGCCCAUAAGCUUAUCUAGUGAAGUCUGGGUAUCCGCAUUGCCCAAGGUUCCGCUUGAAUCCAGGCUGUGCUGAUAUUUAUGACAUCCCAUAUGGACGGAGAGGAAAUAUAUUCAGUUGACUGAAUUAAAUAAAAAUAUAUUACAAUCAUAUUAUAUAUUAGCAGCAAAAAUAAAAAGAAAUGAAGAAAAACGCUGUGUGGUUCAAAAAGAGUGUGGGUGAGUGAGUUAAUUUUCAUAUUAUUAGUAGUAAAAGGGUGGUGGAGUGAGGGAUGUUUGGAGCAAGAGAGGUCUGCUCUCCUCCAACUCAAACAUUUCUUCGAUGAUGAUCACCGUCUUCAAAACUGGGUAGACGAUGAGAAUUAUUCAGAUUGUUGUCAGUGGGAAGGGGUUGAGUGCAAUAACACCACUGGCAGAGUGAUUGAAUUAUAUCUAGGAGCCACUAGGAAUCGGGAAUCAGCAGAGUGGCAUAUGAAUGCUUCUCUGUUUACUCCCUUUCAACAAUUAGAGUCUCUUGAUUUAAGUUUGAACAAUAUAGCCGGUUGUGUUGAAAAUGAAGGUCCUUAAUUUACUUUAUUUUAAUUCUUCCUAUAAAUUUCUUACAUUUAUCUGAUCCCUUUUGGCUUUUGUUUAAUUUGUACGUGAUACAAUAAAAUUAUUUUUUAUUUUUUGGCAGGUCUAGAUAGGUUAUCAAGGUUGAACAACUUGAAGUUUCUUUUUUUAGACUUUAACUGCUUCAACAACAACAUCUUUUCAUCUCUAGGUGGUCUUUCAUCACUCAGGAUCUUAUCAUUGUUUCUUAAUAGAUUGAAUGGAAGUGUUGACAUUAAAGGUAAAGUAAGCUUCAUCCCUUCUCCCGUGUCCCAUCUUUUGUGGAUCUUAUUUCAUCGACCAGCUGGAAGUAUUGAUACGAGAUCUUGCUAGUGCAAGCUUCAAGGCUUUGAGUGCUACAAAAAUAGGUCUAAGAAAUUAUCAAUACAUAACGUUAUUACAUACAAUAAUAGUUCUAAAGAUUGUAACAAAAUCAUUAUCCCCAAUUUUUUUAAGUUAAAUAAAAUAAAAUUCAUGCUUAAGUAUAAAUAAUACUUUGGACAUUCUUGAUAUUUGUCCUUUUAAGAUAAACAGCAACCCAAUUAUCUAUUUGUUUGUCUGUUUUUUUUUUUUCAAUAACAGUUUGUUAGCAUAAAUAUUUACCUGUGAAGUCGAGGAGGAGAAAAUGUUAGAAAAAAUAAAAAGAAAAAAAAUUAAGGGGGAUAGAAUUAGAUUUUCUUUUUUGAGCAAAGAACAUACGUAAAAAGAUAUUAAAUCUAUUAAGUCUAAUUGUCUAUAACGGUAAAUUGCAUAACGAAUAAUUUAUUAGCGUAAAAUAAAUUUUAUUAGAUUCUGAUUAUUUGUUUGAUUUCUUUUCUCUCUGGACUCAACUUAUUUUGUUUAUUUGAUUUGAUUUUAUUUUUUUUUUAAAGAAACUUAUUGUUUAUCAAUACUGAAUGGCUUAAGAUUGAUGUCUUGAUAAUAGAUGGGGCAAUAUUGCAUUUUUAAUGCAGUAGACUUUGAAGUUAUCAUUGACAAGCUUAGAUGAAUUACUAGGACCAUAAUACAAAUGUCACAGGCAUCGAAGGCACUUACCAAGUUUUGAGUACAUUCCUGUUCCUAUCUAAUAGUUUUUAAUUUCUUUAAUUUAAGACCCCAUUCAUUAAUAUUUUCUUUAUUGUGAAGUUAAUUUUUUUAUCUGAAAUUAAAUUUUUUUUUUAAAUUGUUGACUUAUAGUUUACCUUUGUGUUAAAUGUUGGCAAAAUUAUUUUGUCCAAACCAUUUUUUUUGUCCUGAACGUCCAACUAAAAACUGAAUCAAGGGUUAAGUUGUAAGGUUUCAGUUCGUCCGUUAUAUUAAUUUAUUGUUUUAAUAUUAUGCAGUACAAAUAGGUGUAUAAGUCCAGAGGCGGAUGCAGCACAUGACCAGUGGGGGCUUGAGCCCCCACUGGCCAAAAAAAAAAAUUAAAAAUAAAAGAAUUUUUAAAAUUUUUUAAUUAGCCUCAUUAAAUUUAUUAAAAUAGUCACUAUAAAAUAUAAAUCCCAUAAAAUUUAAACUUUGAUUUUUAAAAAAUAUAAAAAUAUAUAUUUUAAUUAAAAAUAAUGAUAGCCCACUACUCAAAAAUUUUCUAUUCUAAAAAAUAUGGUUAAUUCUUCCAGUUUAUAUAAUAAUAGUAGAACGAACAGUUUCAGUAAUAAAACUCAUGAAGAAUCAUCUUUGGAAUCGGAUGGGAUACGUGAUAGUUUGAUUGUUUAUAUAGGAAAUAAUAAAUUUAAUAAUAUUGAUAAUGAGCCUAUUGCAUAACAUUUUAAAAAUAUAAAAAUGCGUAGAGACUAAUUAUAAAUAUUUUAUAUAUUCAAAAUUUUAAUUUUUUAUAUUUUACUAUUAUCUAAUUUAGCCCCCGGUAAAUUAUUUUUUUAGAUCCGCCACUGUAUAAGUCCAUCAUUUAAAUGCAAAAUGAAACCACAUCAAUAUAGAAAUUAAAAGAAAAUGAAUUCUCACAACCAUACGGUGAGAUUCAAACUCUCUAUCUCCGAGGAUUUCUUAAAGUUAUUCUUAAAUUACACUUAAAUGGUUAAAUUUAAUAAAUAAAGGUUUAAUUCUUUUCUCGCACAUUGUAGAAGCAAAUUUUCUCCUCUGUUGAAAAUUCUAAAUAUUUUUUUAAAUUAGGUUUCAACUAUGACAUGUCAGGACAGAUUUGAUACAUUUCUAAUGCAACCGAUAUAACAACACAACUUUGUGAUUUUUACUAUUCAGGAGAAGAAGAACACAACCUGUAUAACCCAACCGUUUAUAUACAAACAUCGAAUCGCUUUUUAAAAUUAAAUUGGGAAAAUUGGGGAUAUAAUCGUUUUUCAUAUAUAUACAUUUUUUCCUUACAAAUUAAAUUCAUGGUUGUUAGCUAAAUAUACCCGCUUAAAGCCACUCAGUCGAACCCUUUGAGAGCUGCUUUAAAUUUUUCGGAUUAGCCAUAUUCUUUUCACUGAGAUUUAACAUAAAAAAAAGGAGAAAAUAAGUUAUUUAAUUAACUCUAUUUUUAAGUGUUGGCAUAAAUACAGGACUCGAUUCCUUGAGUAACUUGGAGAUGCUGGACAUGAGCGACAAUGCAAUCGACAAUCUAGUGGUUCCUAAAGGUAUACAAAAUGUUCAAAUAUUUAUAAUUUGGAGGACAAUUUAAUUGAUUUGAUAAGGGAAUGCCCAAUGACACUUAUCCAAAAUAAUUUAAUCCGAAAUUGUAUCCCAAAUAGAUUACAGAGGCUUGAGGAAGUUGAAUACCCUUGGCUUAGGGGGAACGGAAACUGCAAUUAUAGAUGGAAGUAAGGUGUUGCAAUCAAUAGGAUCACUACCGUCCCUCAAAACACUUUACCUUUCGUGUACUAAUUUUACGGGAACAGUAGUUAAUCAAGGUAAGUAAAUCUUUUAUGUCGAAAAUAAUUGAAUUAAUAUAUAUAGCUAAAAUUUAUUGUUUUUACUUCUUUCUAAAUAGAAUUGCACAAUUUCACCAACUUGGAAGAAUUGAUAUUGUACAAGUCUGAUCUCCAUGUAAGCCAACUUCUGCAAGCAUCAUUCACUUCGUUAAAGAAUCUGUCAAUGCAUUAUUGUGUACUCAAGGGUGCCCUACAUGGUCAAGGUAAAUUACGGGUAUCCGAAGCUUUUAUGAUAUUAAUUUGAUAAUAAUUCUUUCUUUUCAAGUUAAUUUUUUCCCCUAAAAUAAGAUUUUUUUUCUUUUAAAUUUUAUAUAUUUUCAUUGUCCAAUAGUUCUAGCUUCUCUUAAUUGCAGGAUUCUUGAUUAAGGUUAAUGAAAUUUUAGUUCUAUUAUGUUAAGAAUAUUUCGAUCGCUUAGAAGAGUAAAGAAAAAUUAGUAAAUUAACCAAAACAAAAGGAUCAGAUUAUCCUUAUUCCCUUGCAUUAUGUGAUCAAUAUCAAAAUUAUAACCAUUUCUUGUUUAUUGCUUGUAGAUUUUCGUAAAUUCAAGAAUUUGGAACAUCUGCACAUGGGUGGGGCGCAGGUUGACGUCAACACCAGUUUUCUUCAAAUUGUCGGUGAAUCGAUGCCUUCACUUAAGUUUUUAUCACUGAUAAACUCUAGUAAAAAUAUUUGAACUAAUAAUAUCAGACAGCUGGCCUUUCUUUUCCUUGAGAUACUGAUUCGGAGUACUAAUAAUUUUUUACAAGUAAAGUUCCAUUAAAAUAGCAUAAGCCAUGACAAACACGUAUUGUUUAAUGGGCAUCCGUGAGACAAAGGAAUUGAUUAACCCAAAAGAUCAUAUGUACGGACACAACGUUUUAAUUAUUAACUUGUUUAAGUUUCUAAUCAACCUCUCUAAUCAAUCACAGCAAUUUUUCUUUUCCUCUAUCUCAAUCACUAAUUUCUUAAAGUGUAUACAAUUUUAGGAUGUUUGUAUUCUGAGAAGUUACACCAGCAGCAACCAAUUAUUUCGAAUGGAUCAGACUCAUCACGUAGAAAUAUUUAUUGUGGAUAUGAGGGAUAUUUUAAUAUAAUCUUAUUCCCACUCUCAUAUGACCGUGUAUAUUUAUAUGAAGAUUUAUUUCUUUGUUUUUUCAAUAAUAACGUGUAACAAUUGGAGUUUAAUUGAGUGGUUUUCAACUAAAUUUUAUUUAAUUGGCCACUCAAUUUUAAAUUUCAGGAGAGUUGAAAAUUUAAAAAUUAGAUUAAACUUUACUCAUUCUUUACCUUUCUAAAAGAAGAAAAAAGUACUGAUUUUUAAACAAUUGGCCGUUACAGUCUAUAAAGUUUUGAUUUGCUUUUUUAUAUAAUCGCUUUUAUUAAAAGAAGAAAAAAAUAUCGAUUUUUAAACAAUUGGCCAUUAUGAUAUAUAAACUUUUGAUUGCUUAUAUAUAAUCUCUUUUAUUAUUCCCCUAAAAUAUUGUCGAUAAUAAAAAAAAAAAAAAAAGCAGUCGGCCUAUGUAGCAAUGCAUAUGUGGUAGUAUAUGCAAAAUAAUAAUUUAUAUAAAAUUAACCCACAAAAAAAAUGAUUGAUGUGAAUAUAGAGUAUAAUUUCAUAUUCAUACACUUUUGAUUUUGUUAGGGCAUAUACUAUAUUGAUAUGAGCAUAGGACAUUGUUUACUAAAUAAAAUUAUUAAUAGUUUUAGUCUUCUAGAAUCCCCUGAUAGUGCUCUUAAUCAAAUUAUAAUAUAAGUCAUUGCUUUUUCUUUUUUAUUUUACCAUUUUAUUCUAUUCACCAGAUGCAUUUUUAGUAAUUAUUUUCUAUGUACAUGGUAGUGUUUGAUUUAUUAAUAUUAAAGAAGUUAUCAAUCACUUUUAAGUUUUUAAGUGUUUUUAUUAGGUGUCAAUUUGUAUUGGCAUGUCAAGUAGAUUUUUUAUUUAUGUUUUGUUAAAUUUAUAUAGACAAGAAUCUGGAUUGUUUUGACACUUUUUAAUUGCUUUUUUUUAAAUCACUUGUUAACAUAUUUUAAAAAUAUUUGUACUAUUAGUUACUCAAAUUCUAAUCGAUUUCGGUCUAAAUUAGGAAAUAAUUUUAAAAUAUAUAAAACAUAAUAUAGAUUUAUAGAAUAAUCUGAGAAUAAAGAAGUCGAAAAUUGUCAUUUAUACAAUUAAACUACUCUUUUAUUAUUCACCAUUUUUAUAAAUAUUAUCAAACUAAAAGAUCUCAUUUAAUAGUCAUAUGGUCUUGUCUGAGCGAGAUUCGAUUCCUAAAUAAUAAUAAUAAUAAUAACAAUAUUUUAAGCAAUGUCUUUUUAACAGCAGUUCAAUCAUCUAAAUACAUCACUAACGAAGAAUAUAAUACAUAUUAUAUACAUAUUUAGAUCACACAAAACACGUUAUCAUCUAAAUCUCACUUUUUCUCCAAUAUGUAAUAAAUUCAUGGAAAAUUUUUGAGUGUUCAUAGUGUAUGCUCCCACUCUAACGCAACUCUCUCUCUCUCUCUCUCUUCUUUUUCACCUGAAAGCUUGUCUAAUUUGGUUACAUUCAUGCAUGCUUACAUAAUUAGGCUCUAAUGGAUCAUAGUGUUGCAAAUUAUUAUUUUAAUGAUACGAUCGAUAUAAGCCGUGACUUUAUUUAAGAAAAAUGCUUGUUUGAGUGCUAAGGAAAGAUAGCAGUUAAUGGUGGGCUGAGAAUAUUAAUAAACAGAAAUCAGCAACAAGAAAAGAGAAAAGAAUCACGUCUGCUGACCCAAAAAAGGGAAAUAAAAUGAUAAAAUCACUGUGCGCAACAAUGAUUGACACAAGAACUUUACUCUUCCAAGCAUUGGUCCUUUUCAUGUCUUUGCCUGCCAAUUUUAGCAAAAUGUUUAAAAGGAAAGAAGUGUUUGUGAAGAGAUUCUCUCUUUAUUAUUCUCCUCUGUGACACUGACACACAACACAAGUGAGCAAAUUAAAACCGAGAAUGUUUCUUUUCGCAGUGCUUAAAGCAAAUUAAAAGCGUGGUGACAUCUGCUCCUCAGCCUCUGUGCUGAAAGAGUUUAAAAAAUAAAGCUGAUCAAAGUGUGUAUGUGUGAGUGUAGGUGGAGUGCAUGGGAUCAGCAUAUAUGUGAUUUUGUGUUCAUCUGCAGUAUAGAAUGUGAUUCUUUUUUCCUAUCACUUUCUUCUAUGCAAGGAUCGUAAAAUGCUGUUCGGUAUGAUCAGCUGCUGGUACUUUUGAGCUUGCAGCAGCUUCCAAUGAUUUUAUUUCCAUCAAAUGACAGCAUAAUUUGCAUCAGCAAAUCCGAGAUGACAUGCCAGUUUUUGGGCUGUUCCAUUUCUAGAUAUAACAUCCAAACUUGAAUAUGUAUCUCAUUUGAACAUGUGUGAUACUGGAAUGGACACACGAGGAGUUGGAAUUUAAAUGAGGUAUCAUAUGCUUUUCUUGAAAGAAAUAACCAAUUCAGUAACGGCCUAGACAACUCUAGCCACUUCAAAUUGUCGGUUAAUUAAUGAUUCUCUUUCUCCCUCUCUCUCGCAUCUUAACUAAAUUUAAUUGAGAAUAUCUACAAUGCUAGCUAUUUAUAAACUUAAUGAAAGAUGAUAAGGAGCCAUUAUAAUGACAAACACAACUGUAAAAUAGUGCGUUGUUGUAGUGUUGAUUGAAAAAUAAUGCUAAUGUUUUACCUAACAACACUAUAACGCCGUAUAAUUUUUAAUAUGUACUUUAAACUAUCAGUACUCAAACUUAAUUUUUAAUAUGUACUUUAAAGAUUUUAUGCAAUUAUUUAAGUUUUAUGCAAUUAUAUUUUUCAGGACUUUGUCGGUUAGUGCAUCUGCAAGAGUUAUACAUCAGCAGUAAUGAUUUGAGAGGUAGCUUGCCAUGGUGCUUGGUAAACAUGACAUCCCUCCAAGUGUUAGAUGCCUCUUCCAAUCAACUUAUUGGAAACAUCUCCCCAGGCCUUUGUGAGUUGGUGCUUCUGAGAGAGUUAUACAUUCAUAACAAUGAUUUAAGAGGUAGCUUGCCUUUGUGCUUGGCAAAUUUGACUUCCCUUCGAGUAUUAGAUGUCUCUUACAAUCAACUUACUGAAAACAUCUCCUCAUCUCCCAUCAUGCAUCUAAUAUCUAUUGAAAAGCUCAUACUUUCAAAUAAUCACUUCUUCCAAAUCCCUAUUUCACUUGAACCACUUUUCAAUCUCUCAAAACUCAAGACUUUCGAUGGUGAAAUAUGCGCAGAAACUGAGUCACAUUAUAAUUCUUUGACCCCAAAAUUCCAACUGACUUCUAUCUCACUGUCUGGUUACAUAGAUGGUGGCACAUUUCCCAAAUUCUUGUUCCAUCAACAUGACUUGAAGAAUGCUGAUCUCUCACACCUUAACUUGAGUGGACAAUUUCCAAAUUGGUUGCUAGAAAACAAUACAAACUUGGAGACGCUUCUUCUUGCCAAUAACUCUCUUUUUGGAUCAUUUCGAAUGCCAAUUCAUUCCCACCAGAAUUUAGCAAUAUUGGAUGUCUCCAACAAUUUCUUUCAAGGCCAUAUCCCGGUAGAAAUCGGAACAUAUCUGCCAGUCUUAAUGGGUUUAAACUUAUCUAGAAAUGCUUUCAACGGUAGCAUUCCCUCUUCAUUUGCUGAUAUGAAAAUGUUGGGAAGGUUGGACAUAUCGCACAAUCAGUUGACUGGUGAAAUCCCAGAGCGCAUGGCCACGGGUUGCUUCUCAUUAGAAAUUCUUGCAUUGUCAAACAACAGUUUGCAAGGUCAUAUAUUCUCUAAAAAAUUUAGCUUGACAAAUUUGAUGACGUUGCAGUUGGAUGGUAAUAAAUUCGCUGGAGAGAUCCCAGAAAGCUUAUCUAAGUGCUAUUUGUUAGAAGGAUUAUAUCUGAGUGAUAAUCAUCUCACUGGUGAGAUUCCAAGAUGGUUGGGUAAUUUGUCAGCUUUGGAAGAUAUUAUAAUGCCCAAUAACAAUCUUGGAGGGCCAAUUCCAAUCGAGUUUUGUCAGCUUGAUUCUCUGAAGAUUUUAGACCUUUCAAACAAUAGUAUUUUCGGAACCUUACCAUCUUGUCUUAGUCCAGGAUCUAUUGAACAACUUCAUUUGUCAAAAAACAAGAUAGAAGGACGAUUGGAAAGUAUAAUCCAUGACAGCCCUUAUUUGGUGACAUUAGAUCUUAGUUAUAACAGCUUACACGGAAGUAUUCCAAAUCGGAUUGACAGACUACCUAAGUUAAACUACCUUCUUUUGGCUAAUAAUUAUAUUGAAGGCGAAAUACCAGUUCAAUUAUGCCAUUUGAAGGAAGUGCGGUUGAUUGAUCUUUCUCAUAAUAAUCUAUCUGGUCAUAUUCCUCCUUGCUUGGUUAACACUUCACUCAGUGAAGGUCAUCAUGAGGCAGUAGCUCCAACUCCAAGUGGAUCUCCGAUGGGAAAGGAAGAAACUGUUCAGUUCACAACAAAGAAUAUGUCCUACUAUUAUCAAGGAAGAAUUUUGACGAGUAUGUCUGGGAUUGAUCUUUCUUGUAACAAACUGACAGGUGAGAUUCCUACUCAAAUUGGAUAUCUUACUAGGAUUCAUGCACUAAAUCUAUCUCAUAACAAUUUGACGGGCACAAUCCCGACAACAUUUUCAAACCUGAAGCAAAUCGAAAGCUUGGACCUCUCCUACAACCUACUGCAUGGGAAAAUCCCUUCUCAGCUCACUGUGCUAAAUACAUUGGCGGUCUUCACGGUAGCAUACAAUAACUUAUCAGGAAAAAUUCCAGAUAGAGUUGCACAAUUUUCAACUUUUGAGGAAGAUAGCUAUGCGGGGAAUCCUUUUCUUUGUGGAUGGCCACUGUCUAAAAGUUGCAAUGAUAGUGGAUUAUCAGCAGUGACACGAGAAGCUUACACUGAUAAUGAAGAAGGUGAUAGUUUAAUUGACAUGGACAGUUUCCUAAUCACUUUUACAGUAUCUUAUGGAAUUGUGAUAUUAGGAAUUAUUGGAGUUUUAUACAUAAACCCCUAUUGGCGACGAAGAUGGUUUUACCUUGUUGAAGUAUGUAUGAUCUCUUGCUACUAUUUUGUAGUAGAUAAUCUUAUUCCUAGAAGAUUCUAUGGUGGAUGGAUGUAAUUUCAUUUACUUUACAACUUAUAUGUAAUUUUUAAAGAAUUUUCUUUUGCAUGCAUGGAAUAGCAACUCAAUAAAAGUAUUUGAUGCAAAUUGUCCAAGAACAACUUAGUAAUUUCAUUGCUACUAUUCGGUUGUAUAUAUACAGUUAAUGAAAUUUUUAAUCAUUCGCAGUAGGAAUUUCUUUAAAUGGCGGCCAAAACUAACAGAUUUGGGGCUCUACCUCUACACAUCAUAACAGGCAAAAGGUCUCUCUUUUACACUAUCUGAAUGAAGAUUAGCUUACGCCCCCUGGAGUUCUCUAUUAAACUUGACGGUUGAGAUUUCAGGUCCAGAUGAAAGUGAAAUGCAGGCGACGAGACUACACUUUAAGUAAACUGGGACAAACUUAAAAUAAAAAAAAUUGUAGUCCAGGGUGAGAGUGAUGGGUAGCUCAACUUAUGGAGGAUAAUUAGGACUUGGAAUAACUAUCAGAUUUGCAACUCUUGUUAUAUGCUAGUGGGGAUUUAGGUAGCAAUUUUUUUUUUUUUCCUUUUUGCCCUCUUCCUCACAAUAAACACACCUAACACACCAAGCCGUGCCCAAAAUAAUCCUAUUUUAUUCAUGUCAUGAAUCCAAAAACUAUCCCAGCUCACUUUGUUUAACCAGCAUAACUAAAUUGUGGGUAUAAAUGAACACACUUUCGAAGCCUGUAACUUAUAAUAAGCUCAAACCCAAAAAUGACAUUUAAAUCCUGCAAGUGUUUUUCAUCAUCCCUAACAAAAAGAAACAAGAAUAAUUAUAUACCAAUAGUUUUUCCAUAAAAAAUACUGAUACCAAUAGUUUUUCCAUAAAAAAUACUGAUUUGAGUUGAAACACUCUACAAACUGGAUUUUAUACACUUGCAGAAAGCUACGCGAUAGACAAAAUCUAGCAGCUACAUAAUGGUAUCACUUUCAGCUGGUCAUGAAUGGUGUGCAUUCAGCAGUGCUCGAUAGACCAUGUCUAUGAAUUGAUUGUCCUAUUACAUAUAAAAGCUGGUCAGAUAUACAAGGAAAAAAAUAAUAAUUGAAAAUGCAUCACAAAAAAUAAGUGUCUCGCAUUAGUGUUUGCACUCUAAGCAUGGCAAAGUGGUGCGGGUUCAUGAUUUUGAAGACUGGGAUAAGUGAAAAAUAGUUCAAUCCACUGAUGAACAUAAAUUUAUUUACAUGUCAAUUUAGAUAUCAUAAAAAAGUAAACUGUAAUUCACAGUCACUUAAAAGAGUUGAUAAAAUGCAUGCCAUGAAUGCAUUUUUGUACAUAAGAAAUCCAAAGAGUAUUUCUGACAAUACAAAUAUGCUAGCUUUAAAUCUGCUGUCAAUAUGCAAUUAAGAAGAUUAUAUCAGCUGCAUGAUAAAGUUCCCCUAAUCUUAAUAACAGUAAACAUGAACAUGUCAGAUGCAAUUAUAGCUUCGAGCAUUUGCAUAACCAGAAAUCCUAACCUGAACAAGCACCAGAAGUGUCUCUCGGACUUUCUCCUUGUUGAUAAAUGGUCCGCUGUUUGAAGUAAGAGCAGGAGUAAGAGAUGGUGGAGGGGUUGGUAGUGGAAAAGGUUGAAGCAUUGGGGCACCAUAUGGGCGUUGCAGACUCAGGGGAGGAUUAAGUGGCGGAGCUGUUGGUGUAGAUGAAGAGACAAGCUGCAUCAUCUGUGCAUAGGAGGAUGGAGGAGGAACAAAGAAUAAGGAAGGCUUUACAAGAUUAGGGGUAGGUGCUGACAGAGGUGGAGAUGGUAUUUGCAAGGUUGGCACGAUAAGAGAAGCAACACUGGCGGGAUGAGAAGGUAAAGAAAUAGUUGUAUUGGACUGGUAAGGUUGUGCAGAGAUUGCUGCAUUAGAAGUAUUCCCCACAGUCAAAGCUGUCUGCAAUGAUAAGGACAGAUGUCAUAUACAAGGACAUGAUAGAAGAUGAACCUCACACAAAAAUGAAGUGAUAACAUAUGAAAAUAGUAUGACUUGCUGCAGUUUUGUGGUAAUGUUGCAUACUUAUGCAGAAACAUAUUAUUUCAAAGAAAACAUACACUGAAGUAGUUCACAAAAGCAGGAUCUUCAGGAACAUCAGCAGCAUUUGAGGGAGUUGACUCUAGAGGGACCAUCCAUAACUGCCAUAGUUGGAACAGCUUCCAGUUCCUCAAACUCACUGCAGUUUAACAUAAAAGGAACUUGAUGACCAAUUUAAGUAAUAAUUAGAUGAUAUAAGAGGUUAGGGAAAAUGAUGAGUGGACCCUUAUGGAAGGUGAUUUCACCUUAACUAAACACGAAAAUAAAAAGAAAUCAAAGCUGAAUCCUCGAGUGCAAUGCAAAGAAUUUUUUCUCGCUCUUCUCUAACUCCUCUUAUUCGAAAUUGCUCAUCAUUGUGCUGUUCUUAGAGUUUUCACUAGAGUAGAGAAAGCUAUUCUCCCGUUAAGUACAGAGGAAAGAGAAGGGCAAGGGCCUGGUAUGAUGCUAUUCUAUAGGAAGUGAGAAGGUGAAGGGUUAAAAUAUUUUGUAAUUUGGAGGUGGUGUUUGUUAGUGUGUGUGUACUUCUGAAUUUAUUACCUCUUUAGGAUCCAUAGAAAUUGCCUCUUGUUCAGCAUACACUGUGCCUACGAGUAAGACGAGCUUGCAUGGUAUCUAUUGUCUAUUUACUUGGAUAUUCAAACAUGACUACCAGCAACCAAACACAAAUCCCCAAACAAAACACUCUUUCAAGUGCAAGGAAAGAGUAACUUGGGCAUAUUUAUAGUUCAAGCACUACAAUAACUAAGAAUGUGAUGACUGUCCACAAACACUAUAUUAGUGCCUUUUGAACUACAUUACAUGCUCGAAGACUUUUUUUUUAGUCAUACAUAAAUUAGCUAUAAAAUUAAGACCGUUAUACAACUAAAAAGAAAGAAAAAUUGUUUGCUACUACAUAUCAAAACUGGUAAUAGCAAUGUAAGAUGGCAGACUUCUUACUUAAACAGAUGAGAGGCUACAAAUAAAAAAUUUGUGCAAAUAAAAUAUAUGAUAAAGAGCAUAAUACUUUCUUGGGGGCUAAAAAUAAUAUACAACUUGUGAAAUAUAAAUUGAGCUACCAUUACCUUUUAGAUGUGGCAACUUUCGACUUUUGAGGCACCUUGGAAUAUGCAUUCAGAAUCCUGCAUUUGGAAGCCAAAUAAAUAAUGUUAAUAACAAUUUUACAAUAGAAAAAUUAAAAAUUGAUAAAUGGCAGUUGUAAUUUAUGUAUGCGUAAAGAUAGCUUCACAUCCAGGGUCCUCCCAUAAACAUGCUUGUAACAAGAAUUAGUUUGUCCAACUGUUAGCAACUGCUAACAAUGUACAAUAGUAAAAAUCACUCUCAUGAACUCAACAAUACUAGGCACCAAUAAGAGUAUGAUACAGCCAUUCUAAAAUGGAAGAGAAUACAACUGUUUUACAACUAUGUUGCAUCAGGAAUUAUGUUAGGAGGAUUAAUCCAGAUACCUUCCAACCCAAUUAGGAAAACUCGAGUCAGAAACCAGGAGCCACAACCGAACCUUACAAUCUUGAAGGAAGAAGGAGACUUGGGGCAUUUUUCCAGAUAGGUGACUUACUAGAUCUCCUGCCAAGAGAAUAUCUAUUGCUUUGAACCUCCAUUGAAAUUUCUUUUCCCUUUUUCUUGUUUUGGCUUGGAACUUUCCAGCAUCAUCUAUUUGAUCUUUUUUAAAGCUAAAAAAGCAAUCUAUGGGUUGUGAACAUCUUAUCACCACCCCCCCCCCCCGGGCCCCCCAAAAAAAAAUCAAUGAGUUGUCAAUAAAUAGCGCCUACUCAAAUGUUUUCCAAUGGAUGACAAUGUGCAAAUCGACCUAGCAGCCACAUUUUUCCCCCCUUUCAACCACCAUUAGGCAACUUUUUUAACCUUUCUUCAUUGCCCACGUCUACAGAACUAUCAUAUAAAGACUACAUUAUUAUUGGGAUAGAGAAAAAUAUACAGACUGUAUUAUUAUAUCUCAUUUUAUUAAUUAACUAGUGCAAGACUUAUUUAGUGUCAAAUCAAGAACUAAUUGGAAAAGACAACUCAUGAUAAUACAGACCUUAAAAAGCAAUAGCUAGCAACACCCCAUAUACUCCUAUUUUAGCCUUUAAUAUCCUGGUAAAAACACAAUUAAGUCUUGCAAAAGAACAUUCACAAGUAAAUUCAACAUUAAUUAAGAUUAAGUAUCUACUGCACCUUCAAUCAAUGACUGGGUGAAUAGCAUGGUCAACCAUCUAGUUCCUGUAGCCCUCCUUGUACCUAUGUUGGUUACAUUUUACAUAUUAAGCCACGAAAAUGAAGGAUCACAGCCUGGUAAAGAAAGCCAUUAAUUAAUAGUGUUUGUUUAAAAAGUUCUCGUUUAGAUCUUUCCUAUUCAAUGAAUCAAUGUCAUCCAUGGAGAACUCUUCCAUUUCAAGCAGUGUUAGAAGAUAAUUGGAAAGCCUAAAGAUAGUAUACAAGGACCAAGAUAUCGAUUAGGUCAAAUAGUGAAUGUCAAAUAUAAAAAAUAAAUAAAAGAAGUUGUACAUGAUCAUUUACUAUCAAGUUCUGUAAAAUUGAAAAUACCAUUAUCUCUGUAGAGAUUCUCAAACAACUCUUUAGCAAAUUAUAAAAUAGUUAAAAAAAGAACAAAAGUUUUUUUUUAAAAAAAGAACAUCCAUAUCAGGAGAUGUUUUUCUUCUCAAUCUCAAUAUUUUCUAGCCGUGAAGCAAUUGAAAAGCUUAACACCAAGUGAAUUAUUAAGAAUUCAUCAUUUAAAUUCCCAAAUCGCAAAAUGUUGGUGCAACUAGGAAAGUGCAAAUGCAAUCACUUAACUAACACAAGAAACACCAAUAGUGAGAGCCCACUUUGUAUCAAAUUUGAAACAGAUAGAGGUCAAAAAAAUUAUACACUCAAUUAAAAGCCUUUCAAACAGCUUUUGCAUGGAACAAGAACAAAUCAAAGGCGAUGUGAAUGUAUUCAAAGACUAAUUUACAAUGAUCUACAGGACAUAAAUAUCUUGGAUACCUACUCUCUAUACCUUACUGUCCCACUAGAAAUCAUCAAAUCCCUCCAAACAAAAAUGACAAAAUGGAUAAGAAUUGUGUCGUUAAACUUCAAUAACUUAGCAGCCACAGCAAAAACUUAUGUAGGCACGCAAGCCAUUCAAAAUAGUCAUAUUGUUUGCUUUCCAAACAAAAGCCACUUUGUAAUGAAUAUUCAUAAAUUGCUACUAUCAUGUUUGUUAAAACACGUGAAAACCACCAUAACUAACUAAAUGUAACUGAUGAUCAUCAUCAAGUUCAUGGAAUCACAUAUCUGACAGUAUUAAUUAGUGCAAAUGGCAUGCUUCUUAAAACUCCGUAUUUAUCACAUGGGCGCCAUUCCAAUCAACCAAUGAUUCUGAUCUAGUCGGCAUAUUCAACCCACGAGCGAGUAAUACCUCCUAUUGCUUCUUUACAUUUCUCAACGAAAUUCCACAUUCUAACCAUACUUCUGAACUUGUUGCUCCCAUAGACUAAUACAAUAUAAAGAUUUCUUCCCACACCACCUCAGCCCACACUCCUGAAAAACCAAUUUAAAUUCUCAUUGGCUGUACAACCUAUAGUCCAUACCAAAUUGAAAAAUUUACAAAUAUAGAACCUCAAAGAAUCUUCUUGCAUUCCAUUUUUUACGGCAAGAAAUUUGACUUUUACCACAUGCAAGUCAACAAAUAAAAAAAUCAUGUCUUUGUGAGAUGCACAUUUUCAGACGAAUCUAAAGAGCAAUGAAACCGUAAAAACCGAAUAUGAGAACACCGAGGACUCCAGAUAUCACCUAUAGAAUCUUUGGUCCACACUUGCACGAUGAAAAUGAUGAAAAACAAUUGAAGGCUUCAUCACCAGCUCCCCAGGUUGUUUUGUUCUCCUAUCUCCUAAAUAUAAAGGAAACGCAACCCGUUCUUUUUUCCAAUCUUAAGGGGCACAAAACGACUCUGGUAUAAAAUAGUCAGUUUCUAUACAAAAAUAACUCCUUUGCACUUGGCAUUGCACAUCUCGAAAUAAAAAGCAUGCUAGAAAGAGAAUAUAAUAGCAUUAAACAAGUUUUAUUAACCAAACUUCAAAGAUGCCACACAAGGCAAAAAUGGAAUCUGUACAAGCCAGAUUCCAAGAAUAAUAAUUCCAAUAUACAAUUCAGGAAAACAAUAACUAAAACUAGGUUCACGAGGCCUCGGCAGAAGCAACAUGUAAUAACCAUACUCUAUUAUUUGAAACACAUUUCUAAGUUUGGUUAAGAUUCUAAACUAUUCUCUGUGUCAAUUAUUAACAUGUAAAACAUAAUAAUAUACACUUAAACUACUACACAAACUACUACACUAGUAAAACCAGUAAAACAACAAUACCUGCUGAAAAGAUUUGCUACCUCUUCACAUUCACGAGCAUUGUAGAACCAAAUCCCAUUUACUUCUUGGGAUGCAUUUCGAUAUAACAAAUACGGAACCUGAACUUCAAACUCAAAAUCUCCCAAAAGAUUUUCCACUAAAUUAUCUGCACAUAUACAAGAUAUUGAAGCUUAUGAGUGCAAAAACAUAUACAAAAAGACAUGAAGGUUAGAAGACAUAACUAAAACUUAGCAACAACUGAUAAGCACAACAAGACAUGAAAUAUAACACUAGUUGUAAACAAGAUAGACACAUGGUAUCUAAAAAAUUGUACCAACCCCCUCUCCUGAUUGUCAUAAAACGGCCAAUAUUUAACCCUAGACAACAAAAUUGCAAAUACUCUAGCCUCUAUAUUAUUGGCAUAUAAAUAUUUUAGGUUAGGUACGUUAUAUUCUUCGUUCUAAAACCUCAAUUAUUAGCUAGUACUGUGAUAAAAUGAUUCAUCACUGAAAUUAAAACUAGUUCACGUACAAAUAAUCAAAACUGAAAUAGAAACAACGACAAACCAACCUGUAUUACGUCGAUUCAUUACAACAAACUGAAAUCGAGGCUGUGUGUUCCUGAAAAUUGAAAAAAUAAUAAUUUCACCAACUUCAUAUGUGAUACAAUCUCCAAAACACCGAAUAUCAAAUGAAAAAAUGGAAAGCAUAAGAGAGAAAAGAAUCUAAUUUUAUUGACCUUUUGACGACGAAGAGAGAUCCUUCAACAUCCCUACGACUCCAUUGGCUGAGGUCGAUGUUGAACUCGUAGAAGGUGACAUGAGCGGCCGUGAUGAGGAUCUCCUCAAUGAAUGGAUCGAAUCGCUGAAGAACUGUCAGGUUUAGGAGUUUUGUGCUCUGCUGGUCCAGAUUAGGCAUCAAUUUUCCGUUCUGCGACAUUUUUUAUAGUCGUUUUGGGCUCUGCCCCGAUCACUAGCCCUCAUGUUUUUCUGUGAGCUCUCUCUCUUUUGUAAAUAAAGUGUUUGAUGAGAGCGCCGAGAGAGAGUGAAAGAGUUGAACAGCCAAACAAGGUGAGGUGAACAGUUUCGGACUGAGACUCGAGAUUGGUCAAGCUUUAACUUCUUUC
rnacentral:lncRNA from 1 species